UUUUUUUUGUAGGUCUUCUAAUCUCAAGUUUAUAUGAUUCUAUAUUUUUUUUAUAGUAGAUUAUUUUAUCAAGAUGGCAUAUUUUUUAUCAUGUAUAAAAUCUAUUAUAAGUCAAGAAAUAGCUAAGCUUUUUUUUCUUAAUAAUAUCUAUUGUUAUCAUGGAUUAUUCAAAGAUAUUGUAUCAGAUAAGAAGAUUCAAUUUAUAGCAAGAUUUUAGAGAGUCUUUUUUAAGAUUUUAAAGGUGGAUAUGAAGCUCUCUUUAGCUUUUCAUCUUUAAACUAAUGGACAAAUAAAAUGAGUGAAUAAAGUUCUGGAGCAAUAUUUGAGAUAUACCAUCAAUUAUCAUCAAGAUGAUUGAAUAACUCUUUUACCAUUAGUAGAGUUUGCAUAAAAUAAUUUAAUAUAUUCUUCAAUUUAAUAAACAUUUUUUUUUUAUUAAUUAUAGUUAUCAUCCAUGACUUGAUACUUUUAACUUUUUAAAAAUUGAUAAACUUGUAGCAAAAGAUUUGGCAAAUUAUUUAUUAGAUCUAUAUGCAAUGAUGAAGGCAUAAUUAAAAGAAGAUCAAGAAUAAAAAAAAGAUCAAUGCAGAUGCCUAUUGUAAGAAACAAUAACAAUUCAAUGCACGUGAUAAGAUAUAAUUAUUUUUUUGUAAUAUCAAGACUAUUCAUCUUUGUGACAAGUUGGACUAUUGUACGCUUUGACCUUUUCUUGUUUGUAAAUAAGUCAAUCUUAUUAUUUAUCAAUUACAUCUAUCAGAUUCUAUAGAGAUUCAUCUCAUAUUUCAUAAAUCUCUUUUUAAGUCAUAUAAAAUAGUGAAUAUUUUGGGAAGAAGACAAAUGUCACUUCCUCCUAUAGAAGUGGAUAAUAAUCAAGAAUUUGAAGUAGAAGAAGUCUUAGAUUGAAGGUAACGCCAAAAUAGAUUGGAAUAUCUUGCUCAUUGGAAUAGAUAUGAUAUUAGUAAAUAUACAUGGAAUGAAACAUAACCGGUCUAUCUCAAAAAUCCAAGACCUUUUUAAUCUACCGCAACAUAAAAUUUUAUUAUGAGAUAAGAAAAAUUAGACUACAAAAAAACUGAAUAAAACUAAAUAGAGUGGAAAACAAAAGAAAAAAUUAAGCAAACAAAAAUAAAUAAAAACUAUACUAAACAAGAAGAUACAAAACUAAAUUUUAUUAAGAGAAGAUUCAAAGCCAUACCUGAUCAGAUAUCCCAAAAGGUCCUAGCCAGUCCUAUUUAUAUCUUAUUCCACCAUCCUAAACUUUCUAGAAUAUUCUUAGGUAGUGGAUUUCACAUAGAUAACUAUCCUAAGUCUUUUUUAAAAGGUUCUAUGAUAGGUUCUACCUAUUUAAGUAUUGUAAACUCUUUCUAGAAUGUUCUACAAUAGAUCCUACCUAAUCCACUAAUUUAACCUCAAUUUUAAAAACUUCUAUAGUUCUAAUUAUCUAUCCUUAUACAAAUAUCUUAUUCAUAUCGUGUUACAAUUAAUCCCACUCCAUUAAUACAAAACAUCCUUAUUUUGCUCUCAAUGGUAUCUCCAAAUUGUAUCUUGGCAAUAAGUGAGGUUUUGUGCACAUUUCCAUGUUGCAUCGUGAAUGGGAUAAUCUUUCCAAAGAACUUUGUAUUAAAAUUAUAGACAUUCACUUCAAUAGUAAUGGUAGCAAUAUUCCAAAAUACUGUUGAUUUCAUAUUUCUAUUAAUCAUCAACUACAACUAAUGGUGUUGGUGGUUGGUAUCAAUCUGAAAAGUACUUUGGCUAGGUAUGAAAUUCUUUCAAUUAUGAAAUAUGAAAGAUUGAAUGGACUUCAAUAUGUGGCAGAAGCUCGAGGCAAUAUGCGACAUCAAAAAUUACUACAAAAAUGUGAAAAGGUCCCAGCAAUCAAGGUGUUAGUUUAAAAAUUUGGAUUGAUAUAAUAAGUGGCAAGUUGGUAUUGAAGAGUAACACUUGAUCACCCUCUCGAAAGAUCUUUUAUUCCUAGUGGUUAUCCACAUAUUAUUUUUCUUGAUUAUGUAUAGUAAAGAAGCAAUACCAUGACUUUUGUAAUGUUAUUAUAAGCCAUUGUAUAAAUUCAUCUAUUGUUGGGUUGUUGGUAUUGAUGGAACAAUGGAUAAUUAUUGGUGUAAUUACAUGCUGAUUGGUAUUAAAGAAAAAUGGUGAAUGAUUGGUACUUGCUUUAAUAUUGUCAUUGUAAGCAAAUUCUCAAGGCAUCAAGUAUUCAUCCUAAUCAUUAUGAUGAACCACCACAAAUGCUUGUAUUAUAUCCUCCAAGGUUUGAUUUGAAUGCUCUAUUUAUCUAUUUAUUUGGAAAUAGAAAGUUGUAGACAUGACAAGUUGUGUGUCUAGUAGCUUGAAUAAAGCUUGUCAAAAACUUCCCAUGAAGCAUGGAUCCUAAUCUAAAAUGAUGACAUGAAAUAAUCCAUUAUGACAAAAGACAGAAUAAAAAAGGACUUGUGCAAGUGCUAAGGCAUCAAUAUCUGAGCAUAUUGUGACAAAAUGAAGUUGUUUUGAGAGUCAAUCUACAAAGAUAGCAAUCAUGAUAUAAUUAUGAGGCAUUUGCUAUAAAUACAUAAUGAGAUCUAUAGUCACUUGCUUCCAACAUGUUGUAAGUAGCACAAUUGGCUAUAAUAAUUUAGGAGAUUUUGCAUUGCGUGCUUUAUUACAUUGACAUGACUUGCAGGAACAUAUAAAGGCUUGAACAUCACAACUCAAUCCUGUCCAAAAUCAUAUCCUUGAGAUGCAUUCUAGAAUCUUCUCUCAUUUCAGAUAUCCAAAUAUUAAGAUUUAAUGUCUUUCUUGAAGUAUGAGCAUCCAAAGUAUAGUAUUAUAAAGUACAUAAAUUUACUUCUUGAAAUAGAAGAAGCCAUUACUAAGACUAUAAUCUUAAUACUAUAUAUUGCUCAUCUUCAAUCAAUUGCUAACCAUCUUGAAAUAAGCAUCUUGAUGUGUAACUUCCUUCCAUUUCACUUCUUUUGUUAGAUUUGAAAUAAUACUACUAAUGGUAGCGAUUUCUACCUCGUCUUUUGAUUUAUUUUUCAAAUCUAAUUUGUACAAUAAGAUGUCUGGCAUAGUAUGUUGUCACCUUUGCUUGUACUUAAGUUGGAUAUCAAAAAGUUGUAACUAUUCUUUUCAAUGAUGAUGUCGUGAUUUUAUAUUUUUCAGAUACAAAUUCUGUAGCAAGGGUCAAUAGUGAGUUCAAAUAACCAUUGGCUUCUCCAAUAGAUAGUGUCACCAUAGCUUUAUGAUAUGUACAAUCGCUAAUUGCUCUCGAUUAGAGGUAGAGUAAUUGCACUCUUUCUUUCUUAACUUCUGUGAUUCAUAUGCCAUAGCUUGAAGGUCCCUACCAAAGUCUUGUUAAAAGAUUGUUCCAAUAGUAAAGACAGAAGCAUCAAUGUCAAGCGUACAAGAAAAGUUAAGAUCAUGUAAUUAGAAUAUUAGAGCAAUAAUAAGUGCAUUCUUUAACUUGUGAAAGAUGCUUUGUUGCUCCAAUUUCCAUUCAAAUGGGGCACCUUUUUUUAAUAGAUUUAUCAAUAAAGCAGCAAUGUGAGCAAAUUGCUAAACAAAACGACAGUAAUAUCUAGUAAGGUCUAAAAAUGAAUGAACUUCAAAAGGAUCUUUAAGGGUUGGCCAAUCCUCCAUUGCUUUCAUCUUAUCUUGUUUUAUAUGUACAUCUUUGAAAGACACCACAUAUCCCAAAAAGAUUACUUUUGAUUUUUAAAGUUCAUAUUUUGAUUGCUUGCAAUAAAAGGGACUAUCUUAUAAUUGAUGUAGUACUUUUCAUAGGUAUUAUUCAUACUCUUCAGGAAUUUUAUUGUAUAUGAGGAUAUCAUCAAUGAAAAAAACUACAUACUUAUCUAAAAGAUUCCAAAACUAUUUAUUCAUGUGAUCUAUGAAAGAAGUUAGAGCAUUGGUGAGGCUAAAGAAUAAAACCAGCCAUUCGAAAUGUCUAUAGCGUGUAUAAAAUGUCAUCUUUUCUACAUCCUUUCUUGAAAUAGGUAUUUUCUAAUAGUGGCUCCAAAGGUCUAAUUUAUUAAAAAUGGUCGCACCUUGAAGUUGGUCAAGAAGAUCAUCUAUGCAUUGUCAAGAUAGAGAGAAUUUGCCUCAAGAAAGCAUUAGGCUCCUCGUUGCCACUAAUUGCUCAAUUAAGUCUUAAAAUAAAGAAGACUAAGUUUUUAUAUAUAAAUAUAAUACUUUUAGAUGUUAUUACAUCAAAUAUAUAAGUCUUAAGUUCCCAACAACAUCCAAAAUAUGAUAAAAUAUCUAAAUCCUUUAAUAUCCUUAUGUAGUAUUAUUCCCAAACUUCAAAAACUCAUAUCCUCUAAUUGGACCAUUCACACAUAUUCAAAUUUUACAUGAAGUAGUGAUGUACUUCUAACAACUACAACAACAAUUUUUAACUAUAAAUUCAUUGCAGAUCUUAAGAUAUCACCAAAAUCCUAACAUAAGCUUCAAACCCUAGAUUUUAUAUAUUUGCAUGAAAUUUUCUUCAUAUCUCACAAAUUAAGCACUUAAAUUUCACAAAUUUUUUAUUUAUAGCUUUUUAAUAUAAUAAUCUAUCUUCUUCAAAAGGUUUGAGCCAAAAAUUUGUGAGAUAUGAAGAAAAUUUCAUCCCUCCUAAUAAGCCUCCUACAAGUUAAGAUUUUCAUCUUUUGGCUCUAAUCUCCUCUCAAGGCUUCAUACUGAAUAUUUAGGUCCUAUAAUUUUUUUGAAAUACUAGAAACAAAAAAAUUAAAACUCAAAAUAAAGAUUCUUAAAUCCACUCUCUUUAAUUAAUCUAUUAAUUAUUCUAACACAUACUAAGACUUAUGAAUAUAUUAUAUAUUAUAACUAAUUUUUACAUACUGUAAGCAAUUACAAUAUGACAACAUGGAGGUGGAUAUGCAUUCUUAACAGUUUGUUUGUUGAAACCUCGAUAGUUGAUGCAAAUACAAAGUCGACUAUCCUUCUUGGAUAUAAAGAAUAUAUGUGUUCUCCAUGGUGAUGUGGUUUCUUCAAUGAGAUCUUUCUCCAAGAGUUCAUCCAAUGUCUUUCACAACUCUUCAAGUUCUUUUGGUGCUAGACAAUAAAUUGAUUGACUUGAUAGUUUGGCUCCAAGCAAUAGUUCUAUUUGAAAGGGGGCACCUCAAUCAAGAUGCAAGCCACUAGAUAGGUCGAUUGGAAAGACAUUCUAAUAUUCCUAUAUAAGUUACUUUGUCCUUUUUGCUCCUCCAAUUGUCUUGCCUACCAAUGAUGUAAGAUUUGAAACCACUAUAUAUACUAAUUAUUUAUGCUGUAUUUAUUUCUUCAUAAAGCUUGUCCUUACAAGUAAAUCUUUGGUUGCAAAUUAUCUUUUUUCUUCACUUGAUACAAAGGUACAAAGAGUCACCUUGUAUCUACCAUCUUUAAAAAAAAUUGUCCUUGCUACUCAAUCAACUUACUUAUUUUUCAUCUCUAAUCAUGGAAUACCAAGCAUAAUAUCAUAUCUUAGCUUUGUCACCUUAAACCUCUCUUUUAAGACACAAGUCUCAAUCAACCUGAAGGUUUCUUUUGCACAUGUUUUAUUUAAUAUGUUUUCUUGGUCAUCUACAAGGUAUAUACUUCUUCUCUUGAUUUCUUUAGUUUUAAUUCUAAGUCAAUUAAUAAUUUCAAUAAAGAUAUAAUUUUUCAUAGAGCCAAAAUCUAUAAGUACUUGGCAUGGUUAUCUUCUAAGUAGUCCUAUUAGAUACACUAGUUGACUCUUGUUAUAGUUGUCUAAGGCCAUGCCAUUUGUCUUUGAGGGACAAUAACUAUCCUCAAUACAAUCCUUGGUACCUUUACUGAGGAACCUCAUUUUUUUGCUCUAUCUCAUUAUCAACUUAGUGAGUUUUGAAACUAUAAACCAGCCUUAUCUUAUUGGUGCUUGAAUUUUGAGGUUUUGGAUAAUCUUCAAUCUAAUGGCCUUAUUCCAAAAUAUAGAAAUAUAAUUCCAUUUGUACCAAUAUUUGUUGUCUUUGUAGUGUCAAUGAUCCUUGUAAGGCAUCAAUCUCCAUUGAUAUUGGUUUUUGUGCCAUAGUAUUAAAUGGUAGCAUGUAACUUUGUGCUAUAGGUCUUACUCUAUAAUUUUUGAAAUCUAUAGCAUCGAUUGUCUUUGCAAUCCAAAUUGCAUCUUCAAAUAUUUUUGGAUCUCUUAGCUCUACCUCUUAUUAGAUUCUAGGUUUCAAAUCUCAUAGAAAUCAAUCUAUCAUUUUUGCUUUCGAAACAUUGCCAAUUUAAAAAUAUAAAGACUUGAAUUAAGAGACAUAAUCUUGCACCAAUCUAGAUUGUAUAAGUUAUAUCAAUUGAUUGUGAGCUAUCUUCUCCACAUUGAUGGACCAAAAUUGAUUCUUAAACUUGGUCUCAAACUUCUCCCAAUCACAAAAUCCACCUUAAGCUUCAUAGCUUUGAACUCGAUGUCCCUACCAAAUGAUUGUUACAUCUCUCAAAUAGCUAGCUACAUAUAUAAUUCCUUUAGUGGUAUUUGUUUCAAAUACUUAGAGGUAUUGUUACAUGUUGAAGAGUUAUUUUCAUACAUCUUCUUGUCUUGAAGUGCCAAAGUAUUUACUAGGCUUAUUCAAUUUUAUCAUAGCAAAUGUAGAAUCUUUUGUCCUUGAGGCCAUUAUUUGUCCUUACAAAGUAAUUAUUUGGCCUAAGAGGUGUUAUAUUUGAGCUUCCAUCCAAGAUUGCUCUAUCAUAUUUUCCAUGUUGUAAUUUCUUUGUUGGAUUCUAUUAUUGUAAUGCCUUUUCACUUUUCAAUUGAUUUUUUAAGAGUAAUUCAUAGUAGCUUCAAUACAGUACUUGGUGUGAUCUUAACAAUUGAUCUUGGACUAGAUGAUGACUAUUGAUAUAUUAUCAAAAGUAAAUAAUAUAAUACAUGCUCUAAUAUUAAUGAAACAUGACCAGUCUAUCUCAAGUAUUGAAGCUCCUUCUAAUCCAUUGUAACAUAAAACUUCAUCACAAGAUAGGUCAAAUUGGACCAUAACAAAACUAAAUAGAAUUAAACAAAAUGGAACAUGGAUGACAAAACUGAGCAAACAGAAAUAGAACAAAACAUAACUAAACAAGAAGAUGUAAAAUCAAAUUUUACUAAGAGAGAAGGUUUGAAGACAUAUCUGACCAAAUAUCUCAAAAGGCCCUAACCAAUCCUAUUUAUACCUUGUUCUAUCACCUGGGACUUUUUAGAAUGUUUCUAGAUAGUAGAUCCUACUUAAAUAACGGCUUUAAACUCCUUCUAGAAGCUUCUAUAUUGGACCCUAUCUAGAUAACUAUUCUAAGCCUUUUUUGAAGGAUUCUAUAGUAGGUUCCACUUAUAUAACCAUCCUAAAUUCUUUUUAGAAUAUUCUAUGAUGGAUCCUAUGUUAUCUACUAAUAAAACUUUAAUUCUAGAAAUUCCUAUGGUUCUAAUUAUUUAUUCCUAUAUAAAUAUUUUAUCUAUAUCCUAUUAUAUAGGAUCAAAGAAUGAAUCUUGUAAAUGCAACAAAAAGAGUUUAGGCUUUUCAUAGAUGACAUCCAUCAAUACUAAGAUAAAAAUUAAUAAAUCCUUAUUAUAAUAGAAUCAAGUUCCAAAGAAGAUAACAUUCUACCUUCUAUUCUUGUUUGUAGUUUCUAUGUAUUUGUGAUACUAAAGAGAUAGAGAACCAACAACUAGCAAAUUUAACUCAAGAGCUUUUACUUGCUAACUUAUUGAACAAGACAUUACAAUUGUGACAAUCUUUAAAAUAAUAUAAUCAAGUUGAAGAUCUUUAAGAACAACAUGUCUUUCCUUGAAUAGAUGGCAAGAUAUAAUGUUAUUGUAUAGCAUGGUUUUCUAUCUAAGAAUACACUAAGUAUCUAAUUGUAGAGAGUUUAGCUUUAAUUUAUUGGUCAAGUUCCAAUAAGUGAUAUAUUUUUAUUACAUAGCCCAAAUAAAUACAAUAGUAUCAAAAGAUAUUCUAUUGAUAAAUUUCUUUUCUAUUUAAGAAGGUUUAUAUAUAAGGCUUUUUAAAGCAUCUACGAAAGCUCUAUCAUCUUUUGUUAUACCAAAUUAUAAUUAAUUAAUUACUAAUGAAUUUAAUUUUUUAUAAGUUUAAAAAAAUUUAUAAUCUUUUUAUAGCUCUAUAUCACUAUUUUUAAUAGACACACAUACACACACACACACACACAUAUAUAUAUAUAUAUAUAUAUAUAUAUAUAUAUUAACUAUUUGCUUCCAAAAACCCCUUCACUUUGCAUAAAAUGUCCAAAUUGUUGAAAAAAUCCUUUUGAACUAUUUUUCUUCCAUAAAAGAUUUUUUUUCUUCUAAAUUUUAGGAAUUCAUAUCUCUUAAUUUAAUUCUUCAAAUUUUCUCAAAUUUUUAGAUAAUAUAGGCUUUAUUUUUAAGCUUUAUUACAAAAAAAUGAACUAUAAAUGUACUACAAAUCAUCUGGUAUCUUAGAAAUCCUAGUAGGUACUCUAAAUCCUAAUUUAUAAGCACUUGAAUACUAUUUUCUUCAUAUCUUAAAAAUCCAAAUUUUAAAUACUACAAAACUUAUAAAUAAAGUUUAAUUAUAUAAUAAAACAUAUUUUUAAAAAAAUUUAGCUAAAAUCUUAUCGAAUUGCUUAAGAUAUAGCUCAAAACACAACCACUAAUAAAUUGGAUCUUUUACUACCCUUAGAUUGCAAGUGCUGACUUCAACUUCUUAUAACUUCUUAAUUUUAGUAUAAAAUUCAUCAAAUAAUAAAUAAAUAGUAUAUUAAAAAAUCUAUUUAUUUCAAUCCUUGUUGUCAAUCUUUCAUUGCUUUUUGUAUGCAUGCAUUAUAUCCAAAAGAACGAUAGAAGGUAUAUAACCAAUAUCUUAAUUUUGACUAUCUAUAUUUAUUUCAUAAAAACUCCAAAUCACACAAAAUUUACUUCAAAACUAUAGCCAAAAACCUAGUUUUUUUUUACUAUAGCCUCUUAAGUUUUAAUUACUUCAAAAAUUAAUCUUAAUUACUAAUAAGCCCUCAAAUAACCUCCUUGAAGCCUACUAGCUAUGCCUUUUAGCCAAAAGUAAUAGGAAUUUUCAUCAUCCAUUUCCAUUCAUCCAUAUGGAUAUCUUAACUAUUCUUUUUGCUACCAAAAUUCCUCUCCAAUAUUUUUUUUUUAAUAAGAUUUACAUAAUAUAUGUCCUAAACAUCAAAUAAAAGAAACAAGAUAAGAUUUCAAGUAUCACUUAUAUCUAAUAAAUAUGGCUUUAAAUAUAUAAAACUUUUAACAACAUAAAAUCAAUUUUAAUAAUAGCUCUUCAAAGUAAUAAUCUAAUCAUAUUUUGUAAUUAACUAAAAUCUAAUAAUGUUGUUCUUAUUAUAUUGUAUAGUAAAUUAUAUAUUAAAUAUUUAUAUGUAUUAUUCACAUAGUAAUCAAACCACAACACAAUAAAAUAUUUGAUAUCACAAUCUUAAAAAAGAGUCUCUAUGUUUGAUGAUUUUAUUAAUUUGAAUGCCUAUCAUAAAGAAUAACCACAAUUCAAUGUAGGUGACAAGAUAUGAUUACUUUGCUUCAAUAUCAAGACUACUCAUUCUUGUAAUAAGUUGGACUAUUAUAGGCUUGAAUCUUUUUUUAUUUGUGAAUAAAUUAAUUUUGUUGCUUAUCAAUUAUAUCUAUUAAAGUUUAUGAAGAUCCAUCUCGUAUUUGAUGUGUUUCUUCUUAAGCCAUAUAAGACAGUGAAUAUCUUGAAAAAAAGACAAAUGCCACAUACUACCAUAGAAAUGCAUAGUAAUUAAGAAUUUGAGGUGGAAAAAAUCUUAGAUUUGAGACGGUGCCAAAAUAGGUUGAAAUAUUUCAUUUAUUAGCAUGGAUGUGAUAUUAUUGAACACACAUGAAAGCCAAUAAAGAAUCUUAUAAAUACUAUAAAAAAAUCUUGUAAAUACCAUAAAGAAGCUUAUAAAUGUAUUAAAGAAGGUUAAGGCUUUUCAUCGAUGAUAUCUAUCAAAAUUAAGAUGAAGAAUAAUAAAUCUUUGUUAUAAAAGAAAAAGAUCCAAAAAAGAUAGCAUUCUACCUUCUAACUUUAUUUAUAGUUUUUAUAUAUUUGUGAUACUAAGAAGAUAGAGAACCAAUAAUCAACAAAUUUAAUCCUUAAAAAUACCAAGUCCUUCCUCAAAUAGAUAGCAAGAUACAACAUGUUUGAUAUUACAAUCUUAAAAAAGACUCUUGAUGUUUGAUGAUUUUAUUAAAUGAAUUGGAACUAAAUUCUCUUAAGGAUUUAAAAACCAUUCUAGUUUAUAGCAAUAUAAAUUCCAUCACAAAGUAGCAUAAAAUGAACUAGAAAAAAAUUAAAUAGAACUAAAUAAAAUAGAAUAUGGAAGAGAAAACUUAGCAAAAAAAAAAAAAAUAGAACAAAACAGAUAAUGCAAACCAAAUUUUACUAAGAGAAAGGGAUUGAAGCCAUGCUUGAUCAAAUAUCCCAAAUAAAAUCAAUUAGUUCUAUUUAUACUUUAUAUAAUGAUCUUAGAACUUUCUAAAAUAUCCUUAAUGGUGGCUCCAUUAAGAUAGUUGUCUUUUUAGAAGAUUCUAAAAUUGAGCCCCAUCUUAGUAACUGCCAUCUUGAGAGAUUUUAGAAGUAGGUUCUAUGUAGAUAACUUCUUUUAGUUUUUCUAAGAUGUUUCAUGGUAAAUCCUAUAUAGACUACCAAAUUUGUUUCAAUUCUAAAAACUUCUAGAAUCUUCUAAAAAACAACUUUAAUUACCUAUUCUUAUGUGUCAAUAAUACAAUUAUCUUAUCUAUGCCCCAUUACAAUUAAUCCUCAUCUACUAAUAUAAAACGUUCUUAUUUUGUUUCCAAUAGUACUUCUAGAUUGUUUCUUAAUAAUAAGUGAGGUUUUGUACAAGUUUUUAUAUUGCAUUGUGGAUGGUAUAGCCUUUCCAAAAGAUCUUAUAUUGAAGUUAGGAACAUCCAUUGCUACAACAAAAGUAGAUACUUGUUGAUCAUUAAUCACAAAUGAUGGUGGUGGUAAUUGAUGCCACUCCAAAAAGUGCCUUGGUUUAGUAUGAAACUCCUUGAACUGCAAAACAUGGAAGACUAGAUAGACUUGAAUAUGUGAUGGAAGCUCGAGGUAAUAUACAACAAAAAUCUUCAAAACCAUCAAGGAGCUAGCUUAUGAAGUUGAGUUGAUAUAAUAAGUAAAAAAAUUUGUAUUGAAAAGUAAUAUGGGGUCAUCCUCCUAGAAGGUCUUAUAUUACGGGUGGUUAUCUGCAUAUUACUCUUUCAAUUCUAUAUAAUAAAGAAGCAAUGCUAUGCUUCUUAUAAGAAAAUUAUAAGUCAUUAUAUAAACUCUUCCAUUAUUGAGUUAUUGAUGUCAAUAGAAUAAUAAAAAAUUAUUGGUGUAAUGAGAUGUUGAUCAAUAUCAAGGAAAAAUAAUAAAUGAUUAAUAUUUUCUUGAAUACUAUCAUUAUAAGCAAAUUCUAAGGGCAUCAAAUAUUCAUCCCAACUAUUAUGAUAAACCACCACAAAUGCUCGUAGCAUAUUUUCUAAGGUUCAAUUUGCAGGCUUUAUUUGUUCAUCCAUUUGAUGAUAAAAGACUCUAGAUCUAGUAAGUCAUUUAUCCAGUAGCUUGAAUAAGACUUUUUAAAAACUUUCCAUAGAGCACGGAUCUUGAUCUGAAAUAAUGACACAAAGUAAUCCAUAGUGAUGAAAGAUAGUAUCAAAAAAGAUUCAUGUAAGUACUAAAAUAUCAAUAUCAAAUUGCAUCAUAGCCAAGUGAAGUUGUUUUGACAAUUGGUCUACAAAGACAACAAUUGUAGUAUAAUUAUGAGGUAUCUAUGGCAAACAUGUAAUGAGAUUCAUGGUCACUUGCUCCUAACAUGCCAUAGGUAGUGGAAUUGGCUACAAUAGCUCAAAAGAUAUUGUAUUGCAUACUUUAUUACGUUGAUAUGACUCUCAAGAGGAUACAAAAGUUCAAAUAUUAUGGUCCAAAUCUAUCCAAAAUCAUAUCCUUGAGAUUUGUUCUAGAGUCUUUUGACACCUUAAAUAUCCAGAUAUUAGAAUAUCUUAUUCUUCUUAAAGUAUGCAUGUUUGGAGUAUAGCAUCAUUACAUGCAUAACUUUUCUUCUUGAAAUAAAACAAGCCAUCACUAAGAUCUUAACCACUUUUAGCCAAUUGCUAGCCAUUUCUAUAUUAUACAUCAUCCACUUUUAGCCAUUUGUUAACCAUCUUGAAAUAAAUAUCCUAAUAUAUAGCUUUCUUUUAUUCUACUUCUUUAAUUAGAUUUGAAAUGACAUUCGUAAUAGUAGCAAUUUUUGCUUUGUCUUUUAAUUCAGCCUUUAAGUCUAGUCUCCAUGAUAAGUUGUCUAGCAUAAUAUAUUGUACUCAAAUUGAAUUUCAAAUAAUUUGAAACUAUUCUUUCCAAUAAUGAUGUUGUGAUUUCAUAUUUUUCAGAUGCAAAUCAUAUAGCAAGAAUCAAUGGUCAAUCCAAACAAUUAUUGGCUUUUCUUACAAAUAGUUUUGCCAUAUCUUUGUGACAUGUACAAUCAUUAAUUAUUCUCAAUCAUAUGUAGAGUAAUUAUGCUUUGUAUUUUUUAGCUUACGUGAUUCAUAUAUUAUGGAUUGAAGGUCCCUACUAAAGUAUUAUUGAAGGACUACUCUAAUAGCAAAGUGGAAAGCAUCAAUGUUAAGUAUAUAAGGAAGGUUGGGAUCAUAUGAUUGCAAUAUUGGAGCAAUAAUAAGUGCCACUUUCAACCUAUCAUAGGUACUUUAUUGCUCUAUUUAAAUGAAGUACUUUUCUCUAAUAGACUUGUCAAUGAGAUAAUAAUGUAUGCAAACCACCAAACAAAAUGGUCAUAAUAUCUAGCAAGGUAUAAGAAUGAGUAAAUUUUAAAAGCAUCUUUAGAGGUUGGCCAAUUUUCCUCUGCUUUCACCUUAUCUUCUUCCAUAUGCAUGUCCUUGGAAGAUACUACAUGUCCUAAAAAUAUGACUUCCAACUUCUAAAGUUUAGACUUUGAUUACUUGUAAUAAAAGCAACUAUCUCAUAGUCGGCACAAUAUUUUCUAUAGGUAUUACUCAUAUUUUUUAGAAAUUUUAUUAUAGUCUAGGAUAUCAUUGAUGAAGACAACUAUAUACUUGUCUAAAAGUUCUUGAAAUAGUUUGUUUAUGUGACUUAUUAAGGAAGUUAGAGCAUUAGUGAAGCCAAAAGAUAAAACAAACUAUUGAAUAUGUCUAUAGUACAUACAAAAUACCAUCUUUUUUAUAUCUUUUUUUAUAAUAGAUAUCUUUUAAUAGCUACUAUAAAGGUCUAAUUUACUAAAUAUAGUUGUACCUUAAAGUUAGUCAAGAAGAUUAUCUACAUAUAAAAAUAGAUAUGCAUUCUUGAUAGUCUAUUUAUUGAAGCUUCAAUAAUCAAUGCAAGGCCAGAGUCCACCAUUCUUAUUAGAUACAAAGAAUAUAAGUGUUCUCUAUAGUGAUGUGCUUUUUUGAAUAAGCUCUUUCUUCAAGAUUUUUUCUAAUGACUUUUGUAGCUCUUCAAGUUUAUUUGGUAUUAAGUGAUAAAUUCGCCGACUUACUUGUUUGGCUCUAAGUAAUAAUUCUAUUUAAAAAAGGGUACCUUAAUCAAGUAGCACGCCACUAGAUAAGUCAAUUGGAAACAUAUCUUGAUAUUCUUUUUUGAAUUAUUUAGCUUGUUUUUCUCCUUCAAUUGUCUUUUCUACCACUGAAGGAAGAUUUGGAACCACUACAUAUAUUAGUUGCUUAUGUUAUAUUUAUUUUUUCAUAAAGGUCAUGUCUACAAAUAAGCUUUUAGUUGUAGAUUGCUUUGUUACUUCACUCGAUGUAGAAGCACAAAGAAUCACCUUAUAUUUAUUGUUUUUGAAAGAGAUCGUCCUUGCUAACUAAUCAAUUUACUUAUUUUCUACCUCUAGCUAUGGCAUACUAAAGAUAAAAUCAUAUCUGAACUUAGUUACAUUAAACUUCUCUCUCAAGGCAUAUAUAUCAUUCAAUCUCAAGGUUUCUUCUUUAUAUGUCUCAUUUAAUACAUUCUCUUGAUCAUUAAUUAAAUAUAUGCUUCUUCUUUUGAUCACUUUGAUUUAAAUUCUAAAUCAAUUGGUAAUCUCAAUCGAGAUAUAAUUUUUUGUAGAGCCACAAUCUAUAAGCACUCAACAUGGUUGUCCUCUUAGUCAAUCUACUAGAUAUGCUAGUGAAUCCUUUUGAUAGUUGUUCAAGGUCAUGCCAUUUAUCUCUGAGAGACAAUAACUAUCCUUUGUAUUGGCCUUUGGUGCUUUUAUUAAGAAGUUCCAUUUCUAUACUUUACUUCUUUAUCAUUUCAAUGAACUUCAAGAUUAAGAAUAUACCUUGAUUUAUUAAUAUCUGAAUUUUAAUGCUUUAAAUAAUCUUUGAUCUCAUGGCCUCACUCUUAAAAAUAAUAACUUAAUUCCUACUAUACCAAUAUUUGUUGUCUCUAUAGUAUUAAUAGUCCUUAUAAGGUAUCAAUCUCUAUUGGCAUUAGUUGUUAUGCCAUACUAUUGGAUAGUAUCAUAGAAUUUUGUUCUAUAGGUUGUACUCCAUGGUUUUUGAAAUCUAUAGCAUCAACCUUUUGUGCAAUCCUAACUACCUCUUCAAAUAUUUGCGGAUCUCUUAAUUCUACCUUUCAGUGAAUCAUAGGUUUUAAUUCUUAUACAAAUUGAUCGAUCAUGUCUGCCUUUUGAAACAUUAUCAAUUUGAAGACAUAAUAAUUUGAAUCAAGAGACAUAAUUUUGUACUGACCUGAAUUGUAUAAGGUUAGCUAAUUGAUAGCAUACCAACUUCUUUGCUUUGAUGGGCCAAAAUUGAUUUCUAAGUUCAAUCUCAAAAUUUUUUUAGUUACAAUAUCUACCUUAAAUUCUAUAGUUUUGAGCUUCAUAUAGCCACCAAAUAGCUGCUACACCUGUUAAAUAGCUAACUGCAUACAUAAUUCCUUGAGUGGUGUAUGCCUCAGAUAGUUGGAUAUAUUGUUGCAUAUUGAAGAGCUAUUGGCAUACAUCUUCUUGCCUUAAAGUUUCAAAAUAUGUUUUGAACUUGCUUAAUUUUAACCUAGCAGAUGUCAACUCUUUUGCUCUAAAAGCUUCCAUUUGUCCUUGCAAAGUAGCUAUUUGAUUUAGAAAGUGUUGCACCUAAGCCUCUAUUUUAGAUGGCUUUAUCAUAUCUUCUAUAUUACAAUUUUCUUAUCAUACUUUACUAAUAUAAUGCCCUCUAUUCUUCCAAUUGACUUCUUAAUAGUAGCUUGUGGUAGCUCUAAAAUAGUAACCAAUAUGAUUUCAAGGAUUAACCUCUAAUUAGACAAUGGCUAUUAACAUACUACUAAAGAACAUACUAAACUUUACUCUAAUACUAAUGAAAUGGGACUGAAUUCUCUUAUAGAUCUAAUAAUUCUUUCAAUCUAUAGUAAUAUAAAUUUCAUUACAAAGUAGGAUAAAAUGGACCACAAUAAAAUUAAACAAAAUAGAAUAUAAAAGACAAAAUAUAGCAAAAAGAUAUAGAAUAGAACAAAACAAAAAAUACAAACUAAACUUUACUGAGAAAAAGAAAUUUAAGCCAUAUUUGUAUGACGGAUAUACACAUGUAAACCAAUAAUUACCUAUAUGAUUAGAUAAAAAUAGAUAAAAGUAGAUUAAUUCCAUAACAUCUUCUAUAGAAGCUUUUUUGAAGCUUUAUAGACGGUGCUUUGACUUUAUAAGUAUCUAUAAUUAAUUUUUUAAGUUAAAAAGUUAGUCAACAAGUUGGCCAUGUGCCACACAUGUUGGUAGCUUGAAAAAAAAAACUAACUAUAUAGCCGACAUAUAGAAAAUUUGUUUUGUAAGCUAAGGCAUUUGUCCUAUAAAGUCAACACAUAUAAUAUUGAAACAUAGAAAGCAAACUCCACACAAGCAAGUUAGGACCAGCAAGGUUGCACUUCACAAAUAGAAUGUGGUAUGAGAUAAUUCUUCCCAUGCCAACCCUUUUCUUAUAUACUAGUACCAAGGUACCAUGUGUUACAACCCAUAUGGGAUAUCUCUUAGGACCAGCCUCUCCUUGUAUUCUAAGGCUCUAUAGACCAGCAACUAACCUUGUAGGAUAUCCCUCAUUACUCAUAUACUCUAUUGACCAUUAGCAACAACUAAAUGAGUUCUUUCCUUCAACACUCCCACUUUGCUAUUGGUCAAUUAGCUAUCAAUCCUAAUGCCUUACUCAAUAUGUUGUAUCUCUCUUUCACCAAGGCUUUUGUUAGCAAAUCAGCCAACAUGUCUUUGGUUUCACAAUACAUCAUAUCAAUAACUCCCAUCUCUAUCUUCUCUCUUAUAAAGUGGUGUUGAAUAUCAAUGUGCUUGGUUCUUGCAUGAUGCUUUGGAUUCUUUGCAAAAGCCAAACAUCCUUGAUUGUCACAUCUCAAUGGAGUGGCUUCCAAUUGCACAAGUCCAAUGUCUUCCAACAACAACCUCAACCAAAUUGCCUCCAUUGCUCCAUGACUUGCUGCCAUAUACUCCGCCUCCAUUGUGGACCUUGCAAUGGUUGGUUGUCUCUUACAAUUCCAAGAUAUGGCUCCCAUUCCAACAAAGAAUACAUAGCCCGUUGUUGAUCUUCUAUCAUUUGUAUCUCCAGCCCAAUCCGCAUCACAAUAUCCAUGUAAUCCAAUAUUAUUUCCUCCAAGACAUAGUUUAUGGUUCAAAGAGCCUUUCAAGUACCUCAUGAUUCUUUUGAUGGUUGCCCAAUGCAUAGGACCUGGUUUUGCCAUGUGUUGACUUACAACACUUACUGCAAAUGCAAGAUCCAUCCUUGUACCCACCAUUGCAUACAUGAGUGAGCCUACUGCUGCCUUGUAUGGUAUGCCUUACAUUUGAUGCUCAACUUCAGCAUAUUCCUCAUCCGUGAGCUUCAUCAACUUCAAGUUGGCUUCCAAAGGAGUUCCAAUGGGCUUGCAAUCUUGCAUGUUGAAUCGUUUCAAUACUUCUUCAAUGUAUUUGCUUUGACUCAAUGUGAUGGUCUUUGAUACUCUAUUCCUUAUAAAUUCUACACCCAAACAAUAAUGAAGCUCUCCCAAAUCACUCAUUUCAAACUCUUUCUCCAAUUUCUUCUUCAACCAAUCUAAUUUUACCAUGGUGUUGCUUAAGAUGAUUAAAUCAUCUACAUAGAGGAUCACAACCAGCAAGAAGUCCUUGGCUUGCAACACAUACAAAGAAUGGUCAGCUUCACUUCUUAUAAAACCUUCCUUCACAAAGAAUGAGUCAAUGCGUUGAUACCAUGCUCUUGGUGAUUGCUUGAGUCCAUACAAUGACUUCUUCAACUUGCAUACAAGUUUGGGUUUGUCUUGAUCAAUAAAUCCUUGAGGUUGCUCCAUGUAGAUGUCUUCUUCCAAUUCUCCAUUCAAGAAGGCUGUCUUGACGUCCAUUUGAUGCAUCUUCAAGUCUAUUGAUGCUCCAAUUGCUACUAUGGUUCUAAUGGUAGUGAAUUUGGCCACUGGAGCAAAUGUCUCAUUAAAAUCCACUCCAGCAACUUGUGAGUAGCAUUUGGCAACCAAUCUUGCUUUGUACCUCACAACAUUGCCCAUAGCAUCUCUCUUGGUUCUAAACACCCACUUACAUCCAAUUGCUGAACGAUUUGGUGGAAGUGGAGUCAACUCCCAUGUCUUGUUGUCCAUAAGAGAUUUGUACUCUUCUUGCAUAGCAAUCUCCCACUUCAUUGCAUCACCACACCUCAUUGCAUCACACAAAGUCAAUGGAUCAUCAAGAAGAGCAACAUUGGCCUGAUCUUCACUUACUUGUGGAAAGAUGUGGUUUUUCCACCAUUCACCUUGUGGUCUUCUUUCACGUGUUGGAUAUCUUCUUUCAUGCAAAGAAGAUGAGCCUUCAUGCACCUCUUGCUGCCUUCUAUGGCUCGUACACUUCCUUCUCUCAUUCAUUGGUUGAUAUUCUUCAUCUUCAUUCUCUUCAUUGUGCUUGUUGUAUCUUGCUGGAAUUGAAGUCUUUAUAGAGUUGGGCUCUUCUUCAAUGAUAUCUUCAUUUCCAUCUUCACUUUGAGAAUGCUCUUCUUCAUCUUCUUCUUUGUUUGCUGAAAUUGAAGAUGUGUCCACAAACACACCACUACUCCCACUUGGACACAUCUCCCACUUUUCACUUGUACUCUUAUACUCCAAGAACUCUACAUCACGACUUUUGAUGAUCUUUUUGGUGUCUAAACACAUGAGCCUAUAUGCCUUGGUGCCUUCACAAUAUCCAAGGAAUGCACAUCUUGUGCCCUUUGCAUCAAGUUUGCCUCUCAUACUAUCUGAAACUUUAGCAUAUGCAAUGCAUCCAAAAAUCCUCAUAUGAGAUAAACAAGGUUUCUUACCAGUCCAAGCUUCUUCGGGAGUCAUUCCUUCAAGUGCACUUGUGGGACACCUAUUUCUUGUAUAUACGGCAUUUACCACAGCUUCCGCCCAAUACUCAUAUCCAAGCUUUUGAGCAUGAAUCAUACUCCUUGCCAUCUCCACAAUGGUGCGAUUUGCUCUUUCAGCAACUCCAUUUUGUUGUGGGGUAUAGGGAGUGGAGGUUUGUCUUGCAAUGCCUUCAUGCUUCAAUAACUCAUCAAAGUCUUUGGACAAAUACUCACCUCUAUUGUCCGAUCGCAUCACCUUAAUCUUGUGCUCACAUUGCUUCUCCACAAGUGCUUUUCACUCCUUAAACUUAGCAAAACACUCACUUUUGGCCUUGAUGAUAUAAAUCCAUACCUUCCUUGAAAAGUCAUCAAUAAAUGUGACAAAAUAUCUUGCUCCACUCAUAGAUGCUGUUUUCAUGGGUCCACAAACAUCCGAAUGCACAAGCUCCAGCAAUUGAUUUGCUCUUGUUGCAAUUCCACUAGGAAAUGGUGUCCUAUGUUGUUUGCCUUGAAUGCAACCUUCACAAGAUAGAUUCAUAGUAGAAUGGCCAAGGUCUAAGCCACUUACCAUGGAUUGAAGCUCCUUCAUGCUUUUGGCAUUCAAAUGUCUAAGUCUUUGAUGCCAAAUGCCCACCUUAUCUUCAUUUGAUGGAAAUUCAGCAAAAGCAGCAACCUCUACUCCAUUGAUGCGCUUGCAAUUGAUAAUAUAGAGAUUGCCAUCUCUAAUCCCUUUUGCUACUUCUUUGCCUUCCAUGGUUCUCACAAAACAUCCAUUCAUAUUGAAUUGCACUUUGCACCCAUGACUUACAAGUUUACUCACCGAAAGGAGGUUCUUCUUCAUCUUUGGCACAUGCAACACAUCCUUGAGUGUGAUCCUCUUGCUUAUGCCCUUGACCACUACUUCCACUACAAUGGUGCCCAUUCCAAUGGCUUGUACCAUACCAUUAUCACCUAACCAAACCUUAGUUGCUGGAAUUGGUUGAUAAGUGUUAAAUAAACACUUGUAUGGAGUCAUGUGUUUGGUACAUCCAGAAUCCACGAUCUAUUUGCUCAUAUCAAGCAUGGAAGAAGUUUGUUUUGCCAUGAAUACAAAAUCAUCACCUCCAUGGUCAUGAAAAGCAUUAUUGGCAUUCUCUCUUUCUCCACUCUUUGCCUUGAAACAAUUCCUAGCAAAAUGCCCUGGUUUUCCACAAAUAUAACAAGUUUUGGGAAGAUUACGUUGAAUGAAAGUACUUGCCUUACUUGGUCUCGUGAAUAGUGCUGAUUGCUCUCCAAUAGACUCUUUUUGCUUUCUUUUGGUCACUUCAUGGGCUAGUCUUGCCGUGACAUAGUCCAAAGUAAGAUCUUUUCUUGAAAUUGACUCCAAUGCCACAAUGAGGGAGGAAUAGGAGUCCGGAAGGCUUGAGAGCAAUGUCAUCACAACAUCUUCUUCAGGUAAAGGCUUGUCAAUAACAGCAAGUUGGUUUGCAAGUACUUUUACCUUAUUUACAUGAGCCAUGAGAUCUUCACCUUCUUCCAUCUUCACGGUGAAGAAUUUUUGCCUUGACCAUAGUACAUUGGAGAGAUUUCUACUCUCAUAGACGUUGCAAAGAGUCUUCCAUGCCUCUGCUGCCCCUUUGCAAGAAAUGACAUGAGCAAAGUUGCUCUCAUCUAAAUUGGUGGCAAUUAAGCCAAAAGCCUUCUUUUCUCGUCUUUUGAACUCCUUAUGCUCUUUGAUGCUUGCCUCUACCCCAAGUGCCUCUUCCUCCUCACAUACAAUCUCCCAAAGAUCCAAUGACACCAAAAGUAGCUCCAUUUUGGCCUUCCAGUGGUGAAAGUUGUCACCUUUGAACUUUUCAACCAUUCUCAAGCUAUCACCCUCAAAAGAUGCCAUCUCAAGCUACACGUAGGUCCAAAAAACUCUUGAUUUGGAGUUGUAAUGGAGAAGAUAUCACUACUCAAAGAUCGCUAAACCACAAACCCAAAAUUCGCUGUUUUGCAACUUUUUGUAAAUUAUGAGUCCAAAUCACGUCUAAAUGGUGGGGAAUGAAUUGUAAAGUAAUUCUAUAGCUCUCAUAAGUCUCCCUCACGUCACUCCACUCAAAAUGACUCACUAUCUCAUAUAACUUUCAAACACUAGUGUUACUUCAGCAAAGACACUAUCAAGGUCUUGCACAAAACUCAUAUACUCACAAAUCCAGGAGCAAUGACUUCAACAACACACUAGCAACACUCUACCAUAAGAUCCCAACCACCAAAGUAAGCAACAAAGAAAUAAUGCAAGAACAACUUACUUGGUAAGAGAGUGUGGGCCCAUAACCUAUUGAAACAUAGAAAGCAAACUCCACACAAGCAAGUUAGGACCAGCAAGGUUGCACUUCACAAAUAGAAUGUGGUAUGAGAUAAUUCUUCCCAUGCCAAUCCUUUUCUUAUAUACUAGUACCAAGGUACCAUGUGUUACAACCCAUAUGGGAUAUCUCUUAGGACCAACCUCUCCUUGUAUUCUAAGGCUCUAUAGACCAGCAACUAACCUUGUAGGAUAUCCCUCAUUACUCAUAUACUCUAUUGACCAUUAGCAACAACUAAAUGAGUUCUUUCCUUCAACACAUAAGAGGUCCUAUAGAACAUCAUCAUGUAGCUCCUAGUUAGAUAGUAUAUAUAGAAGCAAAAGUGAAGCCCUAUUCAUUUUUGUCAACUCUUUUCUUGCUUCUAGUCUAGAUUUAAGAGUUUGUAAUUUUCUUGUCUUUUGGCAAUAGCCAUUUUAGUUUUUUUUUAAUAUACAUAAUAUUUUAUUGCUAUUUUUUUUACUUUUCUUUUAACAUAAUUUUUUAGAUUUAUGUAUCUUCUUUCAAUUCAUAACUUUGACAUAUUGAUAAGAGUAUACUUGUAAUAUUAGAGCCUUGUCUUUUCUUGAUUAAAAGUGGAUUAUCUCUUUUUCUUGAUAAAAGAUAAGUAUACUAGAAAUCACAAAUUAUCUUCUUCUAAAUUAAUAUUGUUCUUAGUCUCUUCUCUGUUCUCAAGUCUCAUCUUUUUCUUAACUUGAGUGAUAUUAGAUAUUUAUUUUCAAAGUAUUAUCAUGACAGAGCUUCUUGAAAUGAAGAGCACAAUGGCAUAAAUACAAGUUCAAUUGAGGGAGUUAAUGCUUGCAAUGCAUCAACUUAGUUUACCACCAUAAGGAACAACAAGAAUGGUAGGAAAUAAAGAUAUAGAUAUUAUUGCAUUUAAUCAUGCCCCUUCUCUUGCAGUGGAACAUCCUUCUAGUACUAAAAAAUCAAGAGUUGUCCUAUUUGAAAAGUUUGAUGGUACAAGAUCCAAGUUUAAGGAUUUAUCAAUCAAAUACAAAUUGUGAUUAAACUUCCAAUUCCAAAGCUAUCCAACUCUAAGAUCACAAGUUAAAUUCAUUGAUACACUUCUUUUAGAUUCAGCAUUAUUAUGGUUUUCAUCUUUUCUAGAAUGACAAGAUUUAAUAUUAGAUUAUUUGGAGGCUUUUUUUACCAUAAUUUCGAUUCAUGCAUAGAAAACAUGAUCCAACUUGUGUUGCAACCAACUUGUGUUGCAACCAACAAGAUUUGUAUUUUAUAAUAAUGCAAUCAAUCUAUAAUAUUAUAUAUUUCAUAAUUUCAAUAACUUAUAAUUGAUAUCAAGUAGAAUGAUGCUAUAUUUAUUAGCCAAUUUUUCUAUGGAUUACAAUAUGAGGUAAAGAAAUUGAUGCCCAACUUACUUGAUCUUCAAACAUUGAGUCAAGCAAUUGACUUUGUUGUGAAGUAUGACAAUCAACUUUUCAAAUUUUGAUCUGAGAAUUAGAUAAGUAGGCCUCAAUGUUAUUAUAAUUCAGUAGCAAUAUCAAGUCCUCUUCAACACAUACAUUCAAAAGUAGAAGAUAUGUAAAUUAAUGUAAUACAUUUUAAAUAUCUUAUUGAGCAAAAAAAGACUCUUGUUAUUAGGAAAGAUUGUGCUUAUAUUAUAGAGAGCCUAAGCACACUAUUCAACAUUGUUUAAAAAAACAAUACAAUUAUAAAAUAGUGACUACUAAUAUCAAAAAACAUAAUAUAUCAAAAUUUAAAUUUUUCUAAUUAUGUUAGAAACUAUGCACGUAGAACCUUAUACAAUAUCUAAUGAAGGUCCUAUUCUCUCCUCAAAAUCCUCUCUUUGUUUUAUAUUAAAUAUUAUUUUAGAACCUAUACAUUACAAAGCCUCUGCCUUAUUAGAUUUAGGAGCCUCAAAAUAUUUCUUAUAUGAAGAAUUUAUUAAAAGACUUAGUAUAACUUUAGUAAAAAAAACUAAACCUGUUCAGAUAGAAGUCAUAGAUGAUUAUUUAUUAUCUUCUAAAGAUGUUAUUCACAAAAUCCUUCUUAUAGAAGUAAUAAUCAAUGGUCAUAAUAGCUUUGUGGUAUUUAAUAUCAUUAAAUCUCCUUCUAAUCUAAUUAUUUUAGACUUGUUGUAGUUAAAAAAAUACAAUCUUUAAGUAGAUUGGAUUUCUUGUACUUUCAAAUUUUCUAAAAGUAAAACUAAGAGUGUAAUUAAUUAAAUAAAAAAUUAUAAGUCUAGUAUAAUUAAACCUAUAUUUGUAGGUGUAAGACUUUUCUUGUAUGUUGCAAAAGAAGGAUCAUCUUAUGUCAUUUAUGCCACACUUUUUUUUAAUGGUGCAAAGACUUCAAACGGCAUUCUAAGCUAAUAUCAAGAAUUUUAAGAUAUAUUUGAGAAAUAUAAUGUAAUUAUUCUUCUAGAAAAUUGUCUCUAUGAUUGCUCAAUUGGUCUUCAAGAGAUACAAGACUCUAUACCAAAAUAAAAAAGUGUAUAUUUCAUACUACUCAAGUUGACUUCUUAGGUUAUAUUAUUUCAAUCAAUAGACUUAUGAUAGAUCCUAUGAAAAUUUAAACUAUUUUGAAUUAGAAGAUCUCAAAAAUAGUCUAAGAUAUCCAAUGUUUUUUGAGAUUUGCCAAUUGCUAUUUGAUCUUCAUCAAGGACUUCUCUUGAAUUGCCAUUCUACUUAUAUGUUUGACUUGUAAAGACAAACUUCAAUAGAAUCAAGAAGAGGAAGUAAUAUUUGAAGCUUUAAAGAGAACAUUUAUUUUUGUACCAAUUUUGUACCAUAUUGACUUUUUUAAGGCAUUCUUCAUGAAAACAAACACAUCGAACUUUGCUUUAGAUGUUAUAUUAUCACAAAUAGAAAUAGAUGAUAAACUUCAUCCAAUAAUUUUUCAUUCCAAGAGAUUUUUGACAUCCAAGAUUAACUAUGAAAUCCAUGACAAAGAGCUUUUUGCAAUUGUAGAUUCUUUUUUAGAAUGGCAUUAUUAUCUAGAAGGUGCUUCUUGUCUAGUCAUUGUAUAUAUGGAUCAUAAGAACCUCAAGUAUUUUAUGCCAACUUGUGUUUUGAAUUGUUGCUAAGUUUAUUGGAGCAUGUCUUUAUUAAGAUUUGAGUUCAAUAUCACUUAUUGACCAAGAAAACAACAAUGUUUAUUUGAUGUCCUUUUUAGACAUUCUUAUCUAGCAUCUACAAAGAAAAUGUAGCUUUUCAUCAAUAAAAGAUAAUUUUAUUGAAGCUAGAACAAUUUCAACUUUGAGCAAUGAAAUCAACAUUGACUAUUGAUUCAACUUUUUUCAAACAAAUUUAAUUAAAUAUAUUCUUUGAUCUUUUUGUUUAUGAUAUCAAGAAUACUUCUUUUAAGUCUCAUAAUACUUCUAAGUUCAAGUUCAAGAACAACCUACUUUAUUUCAAAUGACAUCUAUAUGUGCCAAAAGAAGCAAUAUGUUUACAUUUUCUUCAAGCAUGUCACAAUUUUUCAACAGCAAGACAUUUUAAAUACAACAAGACUUUGGAGCUAAUAUCCAAAGAUUUUUGGUGGCUGCAAAUGUCGAUGGCUAUAAAAGACUUUGUUCAAUCAUGUGACAUUUAUUCAAGGUCAAAAACUCCUCAGCAUCAAUCUUAUGGACUUCUUCAGCCAUUACCUAUUCUAAAACAAUUAUAGUCUUUUAUUUCUAUAGAUUUUAUUAUGGAUCUUCUAGUUUCAAGAUUGUAUGAUUUUAUAUUUAUGAUAGUAGAUUUUUUUUUUUUUUUUUUAUCAAAAUGGCACAUUUUAUACUAUGUACAAAAUCUAUUACAAGUGAAGAAACUGCCAAGCUUUUCCUUGAUAAUAUCUAUUGAUAUCAUGGAUUGCCAAAAGAUAUUAUAUCAGAUAGGAGGACUCAGUUUGUAUCAAGAUUUUGAAGAAUUCUUUUUAAGAUUCUAAAGGUGAGCAUGAAGCUUUCUUUGGCCUUUCAUCCUCAAACUAAAGGACAAAUAGAGUAUAUAAAUCAAGUUUUGAAGCAAUAUUUAAGAAAACCCUCUUGUAAUUAGUAGAAUUUGCUUAUAAUAAUACAAUGCAUUCUUCUACGUAACAAAUACCUAUUUUUGCCAAUUAUGAUUACCAUCCAUGACUUGAUAUUUUGACUUUUUAAAAUUUGAUAAUCUUGUAGGAGAAGAUUUAAUAAAUUAUUUGUCAAAGCUACAUGCAACAAUCAAGGUGCAAUUAAAAGAAGCUAAACAAUGACAAAAGAUCAAUGUACAUGCUUAUCAAAUGGAACAACCACAAUUCAAUGUAAGUGACAAGAUAUGGUUACUUCAUUGUAAUAUCAAGACUACUCGUGCUUGUGAUAAGUUGGACUAUUGCAAGCUUGGAUCUUUUUCUAUUUGUAGAUAAAUCAAUCCAGUUGCUUAAUGAUUACAUCUAUCAAAAUCAAUGAAGAUCUAUCUUGUCUUUUAUAUAUCUCUUUUUGAACCAUUCAAGACUUUGAAUUUACCAAGAAGAAGACAAGCUCUACUUACUUCUAUAGAAGUGGACAAUAAUAAAGAGUUUGAACUAGAAGAAGUUCUAGACUCAAGGGAGUGCUGAAAUAAAUUAGAAUAUCUUGUCAAUUUGUAUGGAUAUGUUAUUAGUUAAGGUACAUGGGAGCUAAUAAAGAUUUUAAAAAAUGCAACAAAGAUGGUGGAGGCUUUUUACUGACGUCAUCUAUCAAAAUCAAGAUGAAGAAUAAUAAGUCUUUGCUAUAAAAAAAACAAGGUGCAGGGAAGAUUGUAUUCUAUCAAUUAUUUUUGUUUGUGAUUUCUAUAUAUUUGUGACAUCAAAGAAAUGGAGAAUCAACAAGUAAGAAAUUUGAUUCAAGAGCCUUUUUUUCUUGACUUUUUGGAUGAAAUAUUAUAAUUGUCUCAACCUUCAAGACAAUGCAAUUGAAAUGAAGAUCCUCAAGAAUAACAUGUUCUUCCUUGAAUAGAUGACAAGAUACAAUGUAUUUGAUAUCACGACCUUGGGAAGAACUCUCAAUAUUUGGUGAUUUUAUUAGAGGUAGAAACAAUUCUUUAUGGUAUUUCAAAUCUUUUAUUUGAAGGAGGUUAUGAACGCCUCAACAACGAUCAAAUAAUUGGAUGGUCUUUCUGCCUUGGUAUAGAAUACUAUCGAUGGUUUAGAGGCCCUAUCAACCAUCUUCAAAGAAAACAAAGAUCAUAAUAUGUCGCAAAUAUAAUUUGUCGCAACUUAAAUUUCUUUAACAAAUGAUGAUCACUAUUGAUAGAACUUAUCUCUUAAAGGAGGAAAUAAUAUCACAGACAUAGACAUGUAAACCAAUAAUUACCUAUAUAAUUAAAUAAAAGUAGGUAAAAAUAAAUUAAUUCCAUAAUAUCUUCUAUAAAAGCUUUUAAGACGCUUCAUAGAUACUGCUUUGACUUUAUAAGUGUCUAUAAUUGAUUUUUUAGGUUAAAAACAUGGUCAACAAGUUGGCCAUGUACUAUACAUAUUGAUAGCUUGAAAAACAAGCUAAUUAUGUGGCCCACAUGUAGAAAAUUUAUCUUGUAAGCUAAGGCAUGUAUCCUACAAAGUCAACACAUAUUAGAGGUCCUAUAGAAUAUUGUCAUAUAGCUCCUAGUUAAAUAAUAUAUAUAGAGAUAAGUGUGAAGUACUCUUCAUUCUUAUCAACUCUUUUCUUGCUUCUAGUCUAGAUUAAAAUGAUUAUAGUUUUUUUUAUCUUUUGGCAAUAGUCCUUCUAGUUUCUUUUUAAUAUACAUACUACUGUAUUGUUAUUUUUUUACUUUACUUUUAACAUAGAUUUUUGAGGUUUAUUCAUCUUCUUCCAAUUCAUGUCCUUGACAACUUGAUCAAAAGCUCCAAAUGGCCUCGGUUAGUCCUAUUUAUAUUUUGUUCAAGAAUCCUAAAAUUUUCUAAAAUAUUUUUAAUAAUAGGCUCUACUAAGAUAAUUGCCCUUCUAAAAGAUUCUAGAUGUGAGUUCUAUCUUGAUAAUUGCCCUCCUAUAAGGUUUUAAAAGUAGACUCUAUAAAGAUAACGGCCUUUAGUUCUUUUAGGAUGUUCCAUAAUAGACCUUAUAUGGAUCUUUAAUCUAUCCUCAAUUCUAAAAACUUCUAAAAACUUUUCAAAUACGACUCCAAUCACCUAUCUCUAUGUAUUAAUAAUAUAAUUAUCUUAUGUAUGUCUUAUUAUAAUUAGAAGUAAGAAUAAUUUCUAAUGAUAUUUUAAAUAUUUUAUUUGACUAGAGUUAUGAAGGCCUCAAGAAUAACCAAAUAAUAGGAUGGUCUUCUUACCCUAGUAUAAGAUAUUAAUAGUUGAAAAGACCUAUUAACCAUUUUCAAAGAAAACAUAAAUCACAGUAUAUAACAAACACAAUUUGUUGCAUCUUAGAUUUUUUCAACAUAUGAUGAUUGCUCCUCAUCAAACUCAUGUCUAGAAGAGUGAAUAAUAUCACAGACAUAUAUAAUUAUUCUAAUAAUUACCUAUAUAAUCAUGUAGAAGUAAGUAAAAGUAGAUUAAUUUUAUAACAUCUUCUAGAGAAGCUUUAUAGACAUUGCUUUGCUUUUACACAUAUUUAUAGGUUAGAAACUUCGUCAACAAGUUAGUCAUGUAUCAUACAUGUUAAUAGCUUAUAGAACAAACAAACUUUGUGGCAUAUAUAUAAAAAACUUGUCUUGUAAGUUAAGAUAUAUAUUUAGUAAAGUCAACACAUGUUGGAGGCCUUGUAGAAUAUUGUCAUAUAGCUCUUAAUUAGAUAGUAUAUAUGGAGGUAAGAGUGAAGCCUUCUUCAUUCUUAUUGAUGCAUUUUUAGUCCUCAAUCUUAUUUCAAGACUUUCUAGUCUUCUUGUCUUUGGCAAUAACUAUUUUAGUUUAAUAUAUUACCAUCUUUGAGUCACUUUCUAAUCUUCUUGUCUUUGGAAAUAACUAUUCUAGUUUAAUAUAUUACCAUCUUUGAGUGACUUUCUAGUCUUCUUAUCUUUGGCAAUAACUAUUCUAGUUUAAUAUAUUACCAUCUUUGAAUGACUUUCUAGUCUUCUUAUCUUUGACAAUAACUAUUUUAGUUUAAUAUAUUACCAUCUUUAAGUGACUUUCUAAUCUUUUUGACUAAUACAAGAAAGUAUUGAGUUUUCUUUCUUUAUGAUUCAUAUCCUUGACAACUUUUUAGUUACAAUAGAAUCAUAGUCUUACUCCUUUAAGUUCUAAUUUUUGUGAUGUUAAGAUAAUACAAAACCCAACUAAUUAUAAAAUUCUUGUAGAAUAUUUUUGUUUAAGGUGCAUUCUAAUGUAAUUGAAUAACAUUUUUUAGAUGUAAGAUUUUCAAUUAUAAUUUUUAAUAAUAUAUCACUUUUGAUUUGAGAAUCCAUCAAAAAUUAUAUUGAAUUAUAUUUGAAGUAAAUUCCUAUAUAUAUGGGCAUUGCAUACUUAUUAGUAGGAGCUAAUUAGAUAAAUCUUAAGUCCUAAAUUUUUUGUUGUUGCAGGUCCUUGCAUGUUGAGUAGAUAGGCACAUGUGUGUGGCUUAUUUAUUUGCUUUAGCACUAAUAAAUAUUCAUUGUAGAAUAGUAAAUUCCAAAAGAAGUAUCAUUGUAAGAAAUAAUAAAAGAUGUACUUUUUAAAGUUCAAAUUGUAUCAACUUUAUAGAUGGAGAUAAAAAAGUCCAUCUAUUGAUAAAUGUUUUAGUGUACAUAGUAUUGUCAUUUGACCAUUCUUUUGUAUUAGUAUAUUUUUAUAAUUAGCUUAUUUGACUUAUUCAUAGUCAAAUUUAGCUAAGCCACUUUAAAAGCAACAUUUAUUUAGGUGGCACAAUCUGCAAAGGAACAUGUGCUACACACUAAGUGGCUACGAUUGCAAGUAGUACACAAAUAAGCAAUAGAUAGAUCUCCCAAAUUUGAAGCUUUUUAUUCAACCAAAUAUUUUUAAUGCUUUUAUAGUAAAUAAAAUCAAUGCAUUAAAAGCAUAUAUCCUCUCAUUUAUUAUUUUAUUUUUAUCACCAUAUUUUUAUUUUUGAAAAAUUUUGUAUAAAUAAAAAAUUAUAAUACAUCAAAAAUUUUAAUAUAAAAAAUAAAAUUUGAAAAAAAAAAAUGUAAGAGGAAAAAAAAAUGUAAAGAAAAUAUCUUUUGACAUUAUUUUGUUGCAUGUUUUUUUCUUCUUUUUCUUCUCGUAUUUAAUUCAAUUAACAUAUUUAGAAUUAUUUAUAAAACAGAAGUAGCCCAAUAGCUGCAUAAAAAUAAUAAAUCCUCAAAUAAACUCAAACUUGUGGAUAUGAGAUGUUUUAAGCGUUUCUUUUUUUAAUUUUUAAUUUUUAUGUCAUAGUAUUUCUGUAUUUUAAUAAUGCCACACUACCACAUCUUCUGAUGCAAAUUAGGGAAUAGCGCUAUUCUCCAUGAAGCAACGAGGCGCUUUCAUAUUAGCAAGCCCACCACGUGCGCACCGCCCCUAUUUACGGCCCCCCCCCCAAACCCGUCGGAUGUCCACCCCAUCAUCGUCCCCUUCGUUGAAAGGGUUAACGCCGCUGCGUGCGGGCAAAGAAGAGCGCACGUCUCGGCGCGGCACCUUCGCUUCACCUCGAUUCUCAAGACGCGCAAUCCUUCCUUGCUCGCUCGCUUGCUUGCAAUGUAGCAGAUCCUCGUGCCGCUGCUUGGAUCUCGCCUGCCUACACACUCGUGCAGUCUCAAAUCCAGCCGGAUUACAGUUGCAAUCGGAACCCAGGAGCUGCAGCGAUUGAGGUUCCAUCUUCACUGGGUGGUGGGGUAGGUUUCACUUUUGGGUGGAUUUAGUCGUUUCUUUGGGGUUUAAUCGUGGUUCUGAGUUCUUGAGCAGGGUUGUGAGUCUGUGUUGUGACUCAUUGCUUCGAUCACCCUAGUAUGAUCUUUUCGGAACGUGGGUUCGUGAAAUCGGGGGAGUUGUACUUGUGUUCUCUCGACAUUUAGUCGUUGCGCUUCGGUCUCUGCGAAUCUUUGGAUAGUGGUUUGUGCAGAAGCUUGUUCUCUGUGAGAUGGGGGUGUGGGUUAUGUCAAUGUGUUUCGAACUGCGGCUGGAUGUCGAUUUCGAGGUUGUACCGUUGUGUGGUGGUAGUUUUAGGCUUUUUAAAUGUGAAAGUUCGAAAGUCACACAAUUGCAUUUUUGAGAUUCUAGGUUUCAGCAGUGUUAUGUGGUUGUGUCCUUGUGGUUUCACAAUUAGGGGUGAUGCUGGGCGCGCAGUCGAUGUCAGUUGGAUAACAAGCGACCCUCACAUGACGUCUGCCACCGGUUUGAUUGCAGUUGCAGUAGUUUUGAUGUGAAUCUCACGGAUUGUCGCUCGUGAGCAAGAGUUGGGAUUUUUGUUCUUCAUAUGCUUAUGAUGGUAGUUUUAUCCUGGCUUCUGAUGAGAUCUUACUUUUUAUUGGGUCUGGAUUGCAGUGUUUGAUUCUGUACGAUGAAGUUCAGCAAUUGGAACCGUCUCUUUCUGGUGCUCGUUUUGUUAGCUCAGACUUUGGUCUUUACAAGCACGCAAGAAGAAAAGCCUUCCUGUGAUCUAAGAUGUAAAACUGGGGUUUGCAAUUAUGACGGUAGUUGCCACUGUGUUCAAGCUACUCUGGGAGGCCCUCUUAAUUUUUUUGGGUACCCAAUCUACUUUCCCUCACCUCGAAAUCUAUGAAUUAUUACUAGUAUUCAAAAUUUUCUGGGUCCUACAGUUGAAAGGACGAUACUGUGUGGUAUUGUUUAUGAAUGCUAGCUAUUAUCCACACUCUUUUUUCCACCAUGAGGUUCUUCAAUGUGAACAUGCGAAGGAAGUGUUGCUUUGAAUAGGAAAAUGAAAAGUUAAGAAGGUUUUUUAUGCCGCAGCACUACUAGUCAUCUGACUUAGCUUGAAUACUGUUAUGUUGUGUGUUUGCACAUUUCGAUAAGUCAAGUUAUACAAGCUCUCGUUCUCGAAGUCGAAACGUUUUGUGACACACAUAUCAUUGACUGAGUGAUGUUGUAUGUAGUGGGCAAUUUUGUGAUCUGCCGAGCCAUUAUUGCAGUGAAUCUCCCGACCUUAGUUUUUGGUGCGUAGACAACAACAACAACAGCACUUGUGGAAAAAAGGAAGAUGGCACCCCCACAUGUAUAUGUCAACUUGGAUAUAGUGGAGAUAGGUGCGAGUUCGCAGGUACUCUUUGUGGAGUAGGAUACUGCUACAACAAUGCAACAUGUGUUGAUGGAAAAAGCUGUGAUUGCCCUCUUGGUUGGCAAGGAAAUGCUAACUGCACUUUGGCUACUCCCGAGAAGUCUUCCAGUGGCUCAGGCAUCAAGGUUCGUUGCUAGAAAUUGCUAAAUAUUUACUAUUGUGUCUACGCUCAUCGUCACCUACGUUAGAAUUCAGUGAACUGCCACAUCUGGUCAUUUGUAUGGCUUUCCUUACAGCAUACUAUCUCUUCAGUACUCGCAUGAACCUGCCAGUGUAUUAAGUAUCUGCGUCAUCUAAUUGUGCGGAUUGUGUGGUCAGUGGUGGGGUGGUCUCCUGAUUACAGGUGCAGUUGUUGCUGCGAUUUCGGUGGCAGUUGCAUUUGGCUUGAAAAAGUACAAAGAGAAAAUGGAUGGAGUUAAUCGGUUCAAUGAGUUGAAGAAGUCGCAAAUGAGAGGCGGGGCUGAAUCUGAUGAUGACGAUGCAUAUGACAGCGAUCCUUAUGAAGAAGGUGGCAAGAGAUCUAGAACAACUCCACAACUGUAGUAUAUUUUCUGAUUUAGGAAUUCCUCAGGUUCCUCCGGAUGGACGUGAACUGCCGAUUGGCAUUUGAUGUCUUCUACUGCAGCCCAAAUUUGUUAUCAGAGGGCAAUUAUUUCGGCUUUUAAAGCUUUUUCUGUGAUCUUUCCUUAAUCAUUUUUUUUUUCCGUCUCCUGGUAGGCUAUCUUAUCUAUUUCCAAUUUUUAUUUUAUGUUCAUAAAACUAAUCAAGUUUCUGCCCAGCGUAGUGAAAGAUCGGUUUCGCCGACUCGUAUCAGUUUUAGUGUAUUAUGUCAUGCAGUGUAAUGCCAAUUCUAUUGCUUAAGAUUAUUGACUUCGAAAGUUUGAGUAUAGUGUUCUAUAUGGUCAUUUCACAAUACACAUUAUCUCUUUACUACGAUAGUUUGGUGGCAUGGUGUUCAAUUUCAUAGCAGAGAUGUCAAAAAUUUUGAUCGCUGGCAUAUCUAUCUUCACAUCCAUAGUUUUUCGGUUUUGAGCACCUGUGCACAGGAACAGGUGGCAUGUGAUGUGAUGGCACAUAUGUUAGUCCAAUUGUUUAUAUUCUUCAUCAAUGUAAGUAAUAUGAUUGUUGAGUGAUCUCCAGGCCUCUUUAAAUUAGGGCUUUUUUCGAAAGAACCCACAAGGGACAACACAAGUUGAGCUUAAUAGAGAGUAAGAUUUGAAUUGCAAAGCAUAAAAGGUGGAGAUUAAUUCUUUGCGGCUUUUCGAUCUUGUGAUUGAUUUUGUCUUCUUUACAGCAUUUUUUCAAUUUCAUGGAUGUCACAAAGAUUGUGUCGCACAUAUAUUACUUCAAUAGAUACACUAAUGACCAUGUGGCUUUGUUUGUGAGGAUAGUUUGUGUUGUGAGCUCCUCUAUAUGCAAUAGACAUAUUUGCUUGGGGUUGUGCGAGAUGUGAUGUGCUUUGUACCAAUUUGACCUCAUGGUCCAAGCUAAGUAUACUAAGCUGUAUGACAACUAAUUUAUCAACAUCUUGAUGAGUCUUGUCUCUUAUCUUUGUCGGUAGCACACUCUCAUCAAAAAGAUGAGUUGAACAUGUCCAAAAUUCAUGGACAUGCAAUGGUCAACUAUGAAAAAAUUGAGUAGGUUUUUGUGACAAGGAUGCACAAUGAUCUAUGAGUACCUUAUAUAGAAGUUGUUUGAAUGUAUUUUUUUUCCUUUCUUGGUGGUUGAUAUUACUUGUACUUAUUGAUGUUGCAGAAGUAAUCUCUAUCAUUGUGACAUGCUUGCAAGGACUAAGCAUCCUUCUAAAGGCGUAAUUUAGUCCUUAAUAGGUUUAUAUAAAGUACAAAGUGUACACAAUGUAGAGAUUUUGGCCAUGGCUUAUGGUACCUCAAAUCUAGUCAUCCACAAGUCUUGGUGUAUAGCUCUUACGAAUACAAGGACUUUCAAUCAAGAUUAAGAUAUCUUUGUAAUAAGCUUCAUGGCUUUGCUGCCUACAGCCAAGGGUAAAGUUAUAGUUUGUAUUGUAGAAAAAUUGUGUACUAGGCUCGUUAAGAGCAUUGCAUCCAUUGUUGUCCAAUAAAAUCACAACAAUGAUGCCAACAACAAGGAUAUUCUAAAAGUACUACUUGACAAUUUGUAUGCACUAUGGCGUCUUUACUGUGCAUUUCUAUCCAUCAGCAUAAGCUAUGAUUUGAAUUGACUAGGUGGAGUCUUCAAUCUAUUGAGAAUAUUAAGAAUGACCACUAAGCCAUUGUUAAGGAUAAGAACUUGAUGAAAGCAAAUAAACAAGUGAGAGUCUUUCAAAGAAAUAUGACAAAAUAGAAAUAGAGAAUCAUGUAUAUUAAAAAGAAAAUUGAAAUGGCUAUUGUUAAAAGACAAGAAAACUAAAGAAUCUUAAAACUAAACUAGAAGCAAGAAAGGAACUAAUAAAAGUGAAGAAGUCUUCAUUUUUGCCUCUAUAUAUACUAUCUCGACUAGAAACUAUGUGAUGACAUUCUAUAGGACCUCCAAAAAUAUGUUGACUUUAUAUGACAUAUAUUUUAACUUGCAAGGUAAGUUUUUUGUAUAGGCACCACAUAAUUAGCUUGUCAAACAAGCUACUAAUACAUAUUACAUGUGGUUAGUUUAUUCAUCAAGUUUCAAACCUAUCAAUCAACUACAAGUACAUAUAAAGUCAAAAUAGCAUCUAAGAGGCUUUUAGGAAGCUCUUCUAGAAGGUAUUAUAAAAUUAAUCUAUUUUUAUCUAAUUUUAUUUACUUCUACUUAUUCAUAUUAUUUACGUAAUAAUUAUAGUACAUAUAUAUUUGUAGCAUUAUUCUCCUUUAUAGGAACAAGUUCCAUGAAGAACAAUAAUUACAUAUUGAGGAAAUCUAAGAUGUGGCAAAUUAUAUCUGCAACGUACUUUGAACUUUGUUCCCUUUGAAGGAAGUAGAUAGGUCUUCUCAGCCAUCAGUACUGUCCCAUUCAAAGGUGGAAAGACAACCCUAUUACUUCAUCAUUAUUGAAACCUUCGUAACUUCCUUAAAAUGAAAUAUUUAUAAUACCAUCAUAAGUCGUUCCUACCUUCAAUAAAAUCACCAAAUAUUGAGAGUUUUUUUUAUAGGUUGUGAUAUCAAACACAUUGUAUCUUGCCAUCUAUUCGAAGGAGAACAUGUUAUUCUUGAAGGUCUUCAUCUCUAUUACGUCGUCUUGAAGGGUGUGAUAACUGUAAGGUCUUAUUCAAGAAGUCAGCAAAUGAUGGCUCUUGAGUUGAAUCUGUUGGCUGUUGAUUCUCCAUUUCUUUAAUAUUACAAUUAUACAAAAAUUACAAACAAGGAUAGAAGGUAGAAUGUAAUAUUUUUUAAAUUGUGUUUUUUUUAUAAUAAAGAUUUACUAUCAUUUAUCUUGGUUUUGAUGGAUAUCAUUGAUGAAAAGCUUUGACCUUCUUUGUUGCAUUUGUAAGAUUUUUUAUUAACUUCCAUGUGCAUUUGUAAGAUUUUUUAUUAACUUCCAUGUGCAUUUGCUAACAUCAUAUCCAUGCCAAUGAAUAAGAUAUUCAAUCCUAUGUCAAUGUCGCCUUAAAUCUAAGAUUUCUUUUACCUUGAAUUUUUGAUUAUUAUCCACUUCUAUAGAAGGCUAUGGUAUUUGUCUUCUUUCCAACAUAUUUAUUGUCUUUUAUGGUUCUAAAAGAAACAUGUGAAAUACAAGAUGGAUUUUGAUAGACUCUUAUAGAUAUAAUCGAUAAGUGACUAGAUUGACUUGUUUACAAAUAGAAAAUGGUUUAAAUCUAUAAUAAUCCAACCUAUUACAAAGGUAAAUAGUUUUAAUAUUAUGAAAAAGUAACCAUAUCUUAUUAUCAAUAUGAAAAUGAGGUUGUUUCUUGUAAUAAGCAUCUGCAUUGCUCUUUUGUUGUUCUUAAGCAUCUUUUAGUUGUGCCUUUAUUGUUACAUAUAGCUCAAAUAAAUGAUUUAUCAAAUCCUCUAUCACAAGUUUAAAAACUUUUGAAAAGUCAAAAGAAUCAAGUUAUGGAUGAUAACCAUAAUUAGCAAAGUAAGGUGUUUGUUAUGUAGAAGAAUGUAUCAUAUUAUUAUAAGCAAAUUAUGCCAAUGGCAAAAGAGUUGUCCAAUCAUCUUGUUGGUAGUUGAUGGUACACCUUAAAUACUACUUCAAAACUUGAUUUACACACUCUAUUUAUCCAUCAAUUUGAGGAUGAAAAGCUAAAGAUAAUUUUAGGUGCACUUUUAGAAUCGUAAAAAGUGUUUUUCAAAAUCUUAAUACAAACUGAAUUUUCUUAUCUGAUAUAAUAUCUUUAGGCAAUCCAUGAUAGCAAUAGAUGUUGUCAAAGAAAAACUUGGCUAUUUCUUCAUUUGUAAUAGUUUUUACACUUGGUGUACCAUCAACUAUCAACAAGAUGAUUGGACAUACUUUAAGGUGUACCAUCAACUACCAUUGGUAGUUGAUGGUACAUCACAAAGUAUGCCAAGUUGGUGAAAUGAUCUACUAUCGCAAAUAUAGAGUCAUAAGAACUUGAGACUAGAAGAUCCAUGAUAAAUCCAUAGAAAUAGAAGACCAUGAUUGUUCUGAAAUAGGCAAUGAUUGGAAAAGUCCAUAGAAAGAUGGUGAGUUUUUGACCUUAAACAAAUGUCACAUGACUAGACAAAGUCUUUCAAUGCCUUUUACAUUUGUGGCUACUAAAAAUCUCUAGAUAUAAGUUCUAAAAUUUUGUUAUAUCCAAAAUAUCCAACCGUUGGAAAGUCAUGACAUGCUUGAAGAAUACAUAAAUAUGCUUUUUCUUCUAAAAUGUAUAGAUGUGCUUUGAAAUAUAAUAAGUUGUUUUUGAACUUGAACUUGGAAGCAUUAUGAAACUUAGAAGAAAGGUUUUUGAUAUCAUAAACAAGAAGAUAUAUUUAAUUGAAUUUAUUUGACAAGGAUUGAAUUCACGAUCAAUGUUGAUUUUAUUGCUUGAAGAUGAAAAUACUUUGUCUUUAAGAAAAUCAUUCUUUGUUGAUUAAAAGAUACGUCUCCUUCUUUUGAUACAAGAUAAGAAUGUCUACAAAAAAACAUCUAACAAACCUUAUUAUUUUUUAAGUUGAUAAUGUAUUGUAAUUGCUUAUAGUAUGUAAAAACUAGUUAUAAUAUAUAAUAUAUUUUAAAGUCUUGAUGUAUGUUAGAAUAGUUAAUAGAUUAAUUUAAUGAGAGUGGAUAUAAAAAACUUUAUUUUAAGAUUUAUCUAUUUUGAUUAUAACAUUUAAAAAAAUUUCGGACCUAAAUGCUUAUUAUGAAGCCUUGAGAGGACAUUAGAGUCUAAAGAAAAAAGUCUAAACUAUUAGGAGACUUAUUGGAAAGAAUGAAACUAAGGUAUGGCUCGAUGAAGACAAGGAAUAAAGAUCUUCAUCCCUAUUGAUCAAAUAUCAUACCCAAUGAGCUUCAAGGAGGCUGUCCGAGCUAUAUUAGAGAUUAAGGUUUUUUUUUCGAUGUCAUUCGAGCUUUGGAGGUUAAGAUCAAGAAGUUUAGAUUUUUGGAUACAGAUUGGGUGCAAAUUUUGUGUAAUUUGGAGUUUUUAUGGAGUUAUUAGUGUUCAAAGUUAAGGUAUUAAUUUUUACCUAUUAUCACUCUUUGUGGCAUAACAUAUGCUUACAAAAAGUAAUAAAGGAUCAACAAUUAGAAUUGAAGAGAAAAUUUGUUUGGCUAGACUUUCCAUAUAUUAUUUAAUGAAUUUGGAGUUUUGAUGAAGAAGUUAUAGAGAGUUGAAGUUAGUACAUCCAAAUCAAAGGCAAUAAGCGAGUGAUUUUGUUCAUAGUAAUGGUUGGAGCCAUAUCUUGAGUUUUUAGACAAAUUUUUGGUUCAAACCUUUUGAAAAAGAUAGAUUAUUGUAUUAAAAAGCUAUAUAUAUAUAUAUAUAUAUAUAUAUAUAUAUAUAUAUAUAUAUAUAUAAAUUUUGUGGUAUUUGAAUAUUUAGUUUGUAAGAUAUAAAGAAAAUUACAUACAAGUAUAUAAAAACUAGGGUUUAAAGCUAUUGUUAGGAUUUUGGCAAUAUCUUAAGAUCUGCAACAAAUUUGCAGUUGAAAUUUGUUGUGGUAUUUUUUAAAAAUACAUUAGUACUUCUUGUAAUAAUUUGAGUAUGUUUUAAUGGUCCAAUUGAGAGAUAUGAGUUGUUGAAGUUUGAAAAUAAUAUCCUAUAAGGAUAAUUAAGGAUUUAGAAUUUUUAAUUAUAUUUUGGAUAUUUUUGGAACCUUAAGACUUAUAUGUUUAGUGUGAUUUCUCCUAAAAGUGAUAUAUAUAUAUAUAUAUAUAUAUAUAUAUAUAUAUAUAUAAACUUGGCAUUUUUUAUCCCAAGAUUUGAUUGAGAAAUUAAUUAUAGCUAGGAGUCCAAUACUUUUUUAAAGCAAAUUCUCUCUAUCCCGACAUCAAUAAGUGAUCUUAAAAUCUAAUUUUGAUAAAGACAUGCUCCAACGGGCUUGGCAACAUUUCAAAACAUGUACUCACAUAAAGUAUUUAAGAUUCUUUUGGUCAGUAUAAACAAUGAUUAGAUUAGAAGCACCUUCUAGAUAAUGACACCAUUCUUGAAACAAAUCCACAAUUGGAAGAAGUUUUUUGUUAUGAAUCUCAUAGUUGAUCUCGACUAUUGAAAAUUUUCUUAAUUAAAAAGCUAUUCGAUGAAAUUUAUCAUUUAUUCCCAUAUGUCAUAAUAUGAUAUCCAAAGCAAAGUUUAAUGCUUUUGUAUCUAUAAAAAAUUGCUAAAAAAAAUUUACACAAUACAAGAUUGAUGCAGAAAUAAAGGUUGUCUUCAAAGCUUCAAAUACUAUUUCUGCUUCUUAAUUCCAUUGAAGUUUUUUUUUAUAAGUCAAAUAUAUAAAUGAAGCUACAACUUAAGAGAAGUUUUUCAUGAAGAUCUGAUAGUAAUUGAUAAAUUUCAAUAAAUAAUGAACAUCUCUUACUGUUUUGGAUCUUAUAAUUUAUAAUAGUUUAAAUUUUUUUAGGAUCCGUUAUAAGUCUAUCAUUUGAAAUGAUAUAUACUAAGAAGUCAACUUGAGUAGAGUAGAAUACAUACUUUUCUAUUUUGGCUUAAAAUCCCACAUCUUUUAGUUUUUGUAAUACAUGACGAAGAUAAAGUUCAUGUUCUUCUGUGUCCUUAGAAUAGAUUAAGAUAUCAUGUAGAUAACAGAUAACAAAGUCAUCUAAAAACUCUUGAAAAGUAUUAUUUAUUAGAUAUUGAAAAGCUAUUAGUAUAUUUCUAAGUCUAAAAGGCACAACAUUGUUGUACUAUAAAUGCUUAUAGUAUAUAAAAAUUAGUUAAAACAUAUUAUAUGUUAAUAAAUCUAGAUGUGUAUUAGAGUAGUUAAUAGAUUAAAUUAAAGGGAAUUGGUAUAAGAAACCUUACUUUUUUUGUUUUACUUGUUUUGAUUUUGGCAUAAAAAAAUAAAAAUAAAAAUAAAAAUAUAUAAGACCUAAAUAUUUUAUAAAAAUCCUUAGAAGAAGGUGGAAGCCUAUGAAUAAAAAUCUAAACUAAUAGGAGGCUAAUUAGAAGGGAUGAAAGCAAGGCAUGGUCGGAUGAAGGCAAGGAAUGGAGAACUUCAAUCCUAUUGGUCAAAUACCAUACCCAAUGGCCUUUAAGGAUGUUGUUUGUGACCUUAACAAGGGUUUUGGCAAUUUUAAAGAAGGCAUUUGGAAAUUAGAAGCCAAAGUUGUAAAGUUUAGGAUUUGAAUUACAAUUUUUGUACAAAAAUUAGAGGAUUUGGAGUUAGGGUGAAGAGAUUAUAGCCAUUUGAAGCUGAGGUAUUAAUUUAAGACAUACUAUUACUCUUUUGAGGGUACAAGGAAUUGUACCGAAGUUUUUGAAGAUUGGAAAGUGCGGUUAGAAUAGUGAUUUCAAAAACUACAUCUUUUGUAAAAGAAUUAUUGCUUUUGGAGUUCAUGUGAAGGAGUUAUAGGGAAUUAAAGGAGGUUCUUUUAAAUCAAAAGUAGUAAGUGAGCGGUUUUGUUUGUAGUAAUGGUUGGGGCCAUAACUUGAGUUUUUGGAUGAAUUUUAGGCUCAAACUUUUUAAAAAAUAUAAAAUUUUGUGUUAAGAAGCUAUAUCUAUAAAUUUCAUGGUAUUUAAACUUAUAUUUUGUGAAAUAAGAAGAAAAUUACACAUGGGUGUAUAAAGACAAGGAUUUAAAGUGAUUAUAAGGAUUUUCAAGAUAUCUCAAGAUCCAGAAUGAAUUUUCUAUUGAAAUUUAUUAUUAAAGUUAAUAAAAAUAUAUAAAUACCUAAAGUAAAAUUUAAGUUUUUUUGGACAAUUGAAUUAAGAGAUAUGAGGUGUUGAAGUUGAAGAAAAUUUCUACACAAGGAUAUACAAGGUUUUAGAGGAUUUUAUCAUAUUUUAGAUGUUGUUGGUUACUUGAGGCUUGUAUAUUUGGUGUAAUUAUUAAAAAACGGAAAUUUUAUAUGUAAACUUGGUCUUUCUUAUCUCAAGACUUGAUUCAGCAAUUAGUGACAUCAAGAAGCCCAAUGCUUCCUUGAAGCAUACUCUCACUACUCCGAUAACGUUGUAUUCAAAAUGUCUAUACCUAGUUCAAAAUGUAGUCUUCCAUUCAUUUCUUUCUUUGAUGUGUAUCAAAUUUUAUGCUCCUCAUAGAUCUAUUUUUGUAUAGAUCUUACCUUGAUUGAACUGAUAAAAAAUUCUAGAUAUUAAAGAUAGCAGAUACCUAUUUUUGAUGGUGAUUUUAUUGAAUCUUUGAUAAUCAACAUAUAUCUACAAUGAUCUAUCUUUUUUCUUUAUAAAUAUAUUGGAGCUACUCCUAGAGAUUUGGAAUGGCAUAUUAAGUUCUUGACUAGAUUUUCUUCAAUAUAUUUCUUGAGUUCAACCAACUUAUUUUGUGAUAAAUUAUAAAUUGGUCCAAAUAAUGUUAUAUUAUAAUUAUUUAUAGUAUAUAAAAAUUAAUUAAAAUAGAUAAUAUAUUUAUAAAUAUUCAUAUACUUUAGAAUAUUUAGUAGAUUAAUUUAAAGAGAAUAAAUGUAAGAAAAUUUAUUUUGAGGUUUAUCUGUGUUGAUUAUAGUGUUUAAAUUAUAUAAGAUUUAGAUAUUUAGUAUAAAAUUUAAGGAGAAGAUUGGUGCUCAAAGAUGAAGACCUAAACCUCUAAAAAAAUUAUUUGAAGGGAUGAAAGUAAGGUAUAGAUGGAAGAAGGUUAAUAGUAAAGAUCUUCAUUCCUAUUGUUCAAAAGCCAUGCCCAUAAGCAUUCACGUAUCUUUUUAAGACAUAUUAUUGUUCUUUUGAGAAUGCAAGGAAUUUUAUGAUAUAUUCUGGAAAUAAAAAGAUAUGGCCACAAGGAUGAUUUUAAAAUCUACAUCUUUUGUAAAAGAAUUUUUGCAUUCAGAGUUUGUAUGAAGAAGUUAUAGAGUAUUGAAGAUAGCACAUGUAAUUCAAAAGCAAUAAGUGAGUCAUUUUGUUGAUAGUAAUAGUUGGAGCCAUAUCUUGAGUUUCUAAAUGAAUUUUUAGCUCAAAAUUUUUAAAAGUAUGUGUUAUUAGGUUAAAAAGCUAUAUAUUAAAGUUUUAUAAUAUUUGAGUACUUAAUUUGUGAGAUAUGAAGAAAUUUACAUAUAAGUAUAUGAAAGUAAGAGUUUGUAGCUACUAUUAGGGUUUUGACAAUAUUUCAAGAUUCAUGAUGAAUUUAUAGUUGAAAUUUGUUGUAGUAGUUAUUAAAAAUAUAUUAGUACUUCAUAUAAAAUUUUGAUUUUUUUGGAUGGUCCAAUCGUAAGAUAUGAACUGCUGAAGUUUGGAAAAAAUUCACCUUAAAGAUAUACAAGGUUUUAUAAUAUUUUUAUCACAUUUUUGGUGAUCUUUGGUACUUAAGGCUUAUAUAUUAAUGUAAUUGCCCCUACAAGGGUAAUUUUAUAUAUAGACUAUAUUUUUUAUUUUUUUAUUUUUAUCUUAAGGCUUGGUUGAAAUAUUAGUAACAAUUAAAAGUCCAACACUUAUUUAAGGCAAAUUCUCUCUACUCCAACAUUGGUUGUUGAACUCCUUUUUGAAGGUCAAUUGAGUAGUCAUAGGAACAAUGUUUUGGUAGAGUAUCCACAUUUUUUUUUUCAAAUACAUCUUGAAAAUCUUUAUAUUGGCUUUGAUAAAUCUAAAAUGAUUGGAUUAGAAGGAGAUCUAAUGAUAUUAAAUAUCACAAAGCUAUUAUAUCCAUUAAUUGUUAUCUCUAUAAGAAGGAUUUUAAGAAUAAUAUUUUUUGAAGACAAUAGAUGAUUAUCUAUGACUUUUACAUGAAUAGGUUUAGUUUUCUUCAUUAAAAGUAUGUUAUAUUUUUUUAGCAAAUUCUUCAUCUAAGAAACACAUUAAAACUCUUAAAUCUAACAAGGCAUACUUUUAAUGAAGAAUUUAUAUAUCUUCUACUUUUGAAUGUAUAUAUUGAGAAGACAUUGGCAUUGUCAUUAAAUUAUAGUGACAUUGAGGUGCACUUAUGUGACUUUCAGAUCAAAAUUGAAAAAGUCAAUUGUUACAUUCUAUAGCAAAGUCAAUUGCUUGACUCAAUGUUUGAGAAUCAAGUAAGUUGAGCAUCAAUUUUUUUACCUCAUACUGUAAUCUAUAAAAAAAUUGGCUAACAAAUGCAACAUCAUCUCACUUAAUAUUAAUUGCAAGUUGUUAAAACUAUGAAGCAUAUAAUAUUAUUAAUCCAUUUCUUUGUCACAAAAUAUGGAUCUUAUUGGUUAUAACUCAAAUUAUAUCAUGCUUUCUAUACAUGAAUCAAAACUCUAUAAAAAAAGCCUCUAAAUUAUCCAAUAUUGGAUUUCAUUGUUCAAGAAAAGAUGAAAACCAUGAUAAUAUUAAAUCUGAAAGGAAUGUAUUAAUUAAUCUAAUUUGUGAUCCAAGAAUUGAAUAGCUUUGGAGUUGAAGUUCAAUCACAAAGUAUACUUAGUUAAUAAAUCCUUGAAACUUGGAUCUUGUGCUAUCAAACUUCAUGAAUAGUGCAAUUUUUGAUUCUUUAACACUAGAAGGAUGUUCCAUCAUAGAAAAAUGGACAUGAUUUGGUACAGAUAUUGAAGCAAUUCCAACCAUUUCUAUACCUUUAUUUCCUAUCAUUCUUGUUGCUUUUUGUGGCAAUAAAUUGAGUUGAUGUAUCACAUGUAUUAACUUCCUCAAUUGCUCUUGUAUUUACACCAUUGCACUCUUCAUUUCAAGAAUCUCUGCCACGAUAACACUUUAAAAAAAAUAUGUCUAAUAUUACUCAAGACAAAUAGAAGAAAAGUUUUGAAAAAAAUAAAAUAAAAAAUACUAAAGAUAAUAUUAGUUUAAAAGAGGAUAAUCCGAAACUCCUAGUAUGCUUUAGUCUUAUAAAGAAAAAAGGAUAAUCUACUCUUAAUUAAGAAAAGAUAAAUCUUUGAUAUUAUAAGUAUACUCUUGUCAAUCUGUCAGGGAUAAGAACUUGAUAAAAGUAAAUAUAUAAGUAAGAUUCUCUCAAAGAAAUAUGAAAAAAUAGAAAUAGAGAAGUAUAUAUAUUAUAAAGGAAACUAGAAUGGCUAUUGCCAAAAGAUAAGAAAACUAGAGACUCUUGAAACUAGACUAGAAGCAAGAAAGGAAUUGAUAAGAGUGAAGAAGGCUUUAUUUUUGCCUCUAUAUAUACUAUCUAACUAGGAUUUAUGUGGCAACAUUUUAUAGGACCUCCAAAAAUAUAUUGACUUUACAUAACAUAUAUCUUAAAUUGCAAGGCAAGUUUUCUAUAUAGAUGCCACAUAAUUAGCUUCUUCUACAAGCUACAAACAUAUGUAGUACAUAGUUAGUUUGUUAACCAAGUUUCUAAUGUAUUAAUCAAGUACAAACAUAUGUAAAGUCAAUACAACAUUUAGGAAGUUUUUUUAAAAGGUAUUAUAAAAUUAAUCUACUUUUACCUAUUUUUACCUAUUUCUAUCUAUUUAUAUUAUUUAUAUAAUAUUUAUAAUAGUUAUAUAUCCAUAAUAGCCAUGGUGUGUGUUUACUACAAGGAGAUGACUUUUAAGGAUGCUAUUGAUAAAUGCUUCAAUUUCCAAAGAAAAUUUCAUAUCAAAUAGGUUCAUUGCAAUGGCUAAUUUCCACAACUUCAAAUUUUUUGUGGUAGGUUGGCUUCCAUUUUUCUAACAUAAGCACUAUCAAAUUUGACUUUUUCAUGAUGGUGUGGAAAAAGGAUAACUAUCAAAAGUGCCUCACGAAUUUGUUGCUUAAGAGUAUCUUGUAUUCUAAAAAAUUUGAUAGAAUCUAUCAAACUUAAUAAGGAUGGAUGUUUUUAGACAACUAUAGAGAUGAAUUUCAUCCAUUCUUAAUUUAUCUAAAAUAUAAUCUGGCCACAAUUUUAAAAUAAACUAAAUUAGGUAUUUCAAGGAAAGCCCUAAUUUAAAGAGUCUUGGUGAUCUUGCAACAUAGGUACCCAACUUGCACUCUAAACUUUUUAAUUCAUCCAUUCAUCAUCCAUACACUAAUAGAUAUAACUCACACUCUAACCUUUUUAAUUCAUCCAUUCAUCAUCCAUGCACUAAUUGAUAUAGGUGUCAAUGAGCUCAGUGACUAGCAACCAAUUGGUGCAGUGAUCCCUAAUAGAUUGGUACAAGGGAUGCAUGGUUAAGGUUUGGGCUUUUCUUUUUAUUAAAAAAUAAUAAUAAUAAUAAAAUAAAAUAAAUCAUUUAUGAAAAAUUAGACAGGAUUAAGAAAAUCAGUUAUGAACAAUUAGACAGGAUUAAAGGUUUAGGGUUUAUUAUAAUGAUCUGAAGCCAUUUGGGUUUUGCAUUCCUCUAGUACCAGGUAGCAGCUGGGUACCUAUUCCGCUACGGCCAUUGUUGAGUAAGUUGACGUAGUAUUUAAACGUAGGUUGGAUUGGUUAAAAUGUGCGGAUUGAAGGCUGGUGUAGGGGUCUUCCUUCCUGUGAGAGGACCCACAGGGAUGGUCCACAUCAAGAUUACUCUUGCCAUGCAUUCCAAUUACAUUGUUAAUACGGAUGGAUAAUUGCCUGUAAAAGCUACCAAUGAGUUUGAGCUCCCAAAUUGAGCGAUGAUAGACAAGAUACCAUUAGUCCUUACGAGAAGGAACACACGGAAGAAUGCAUCGCUUUGCACAGGUGUAUUUUAUUUAAUUUCUCUAUUCGUACGAUAUACGUAAUUUAAAAUUUUCUCUUCUUCAUAUGCUGAAUGCCAAUAGUGGCAGGAUUCGUUUUUAGUGUUAUUAUGCACAAUGCGAGGAGCGCGACAAAGCCACCACAUGCUGCAUACCUGUCUAGAUUACACGAAACCAUUGAAUGGAGAAAAGUCGUCAGUUUGUUAGCAUGCUUCCAUUGUUAAGAAGAUGGGAAGUAGAAUGUUCUGGUUGUAGUUGUGUAUAGCCAGCCUUAUAAUUAUACGCCUUUCGUAUGCCGAGCAUGGACAGUUUCUAACAGCAUUCUACCACUACCGGCAGAUUCAUGCAGAAUGAUAACGCAGGGAAGCAUCGUGAAACUUGUGGGGAACCAUCAAGCUACUCUGCACAGGAAAUAUUGGAUCGAUUCACUUGGCUGGUCACGAGAAAAUCGCUGUCUGCCAUCAACCUCUCCAUGUCUUCUCUCCACAACGCCAUGAAUACAUUGAUAGCUUUAGGUCCAAUGUGACUGGGCAGCAUCAGAAUGCAGCCAUUAUAGGGAUUGUCAGCAGGUCCUGCAAACACUGGCUUCCCGAACCCGAAGUCGGUAUCAUAGAAUGGCAUCCGGAACCAACCCGCGGAGGAGAUGUCGUUACCCAUGAGGUUGAUGGAGCUCAUGGUGAGAUGCUCCUGCGCCUCGCACCACGCCCAGGAAGAUUUUACAUACUCGUCCGUCAUCUUCACGACACUUUCUCGAACCAGUUGCGCUGAGAACGACAGAGGCUUCUCCAGGAUGUCGCAGACCUUCGCAGGCAUGCAUGUGAAGAUGAUCGCGUUGCCGAAGUAGCCCUCCGGCAAAUUGGGCUUGAUUCGCUUUCUGGCGUCCAUAGUGGUGAAAAAUCUGGCUUCCUCCGAAUCAGCGCAGCCCUUGGCUCGGAUUACCGCUCUAAAGAGGUGCGCAGACAGGCUUUCGAAAGUGGUGAAUGAGCCCAAACUUCCGUCACCUAGAGCCUCGGCCUUGAUCUUCUUCAGCAUCUCGGGAGUGAAGGUGAACAACCUCUCCACCAUUUUGCGCGUUGGCGGCGGCUCCAUUACCUUGGGUCGGAGCCGGAGCUCUCUGGGACAAGUGUCGGGCUUGGCACGUCCCAUUGAAGAGAGCAGGUGGUGGUCGUAGUUAGGCAGUUGCGAGAUCUGCUCCCCGCGGACCAGUUCUGUCCACGACGCCAUGAAGUUGUGAGCAGAGAUGCCGUCGGCGACGGUGUGAUGGUUGGCCAUUCCCAGCGCGAAGCCGCCGCAUUGAAACUUGGUGAUUUGAAUGAUCUGCACGGGCUGGAAUUCGAUGCUCACGGAGUAGUCCACCGUGGGCACUAAUAACUUGUUGAAGACGUAAUUUGGCUGGAAGUUCUCGAAGUCGUCGAUGGUACCAUCCACUUCGGCGUCGACCCACACCACUCCCUUAUUGUUACAGUGGAUUUCGUACCCGAUGUUCCCCUCCGCUCGCCGGACCCGCCCUGCCAUGGGGUAAAACACCACCAAGAGCUUGGCUAGGGCUGCUUUCAGCCUGGUUGUCACAUGCUCGUUGGCACCGGGAGAAGUCUCUCGGUAGAGAUACAGAGUGCGCACAUGGGUGGGACGGACAAAGUUAUCGCAGAUGGAGCAGGAUAACACAUGGAGCUCCGCGGGAAAUUCCAGGUACACAAUGGACGUCUUUGAAGAUAUGAUGCGCAUUCGAGGAACCGAUUCCGUGACCUCAUCGAUCCCUGCCGUAGGACGAAAUGCAAGGAGUUGACAAAUCAUUCGAAAUUUCACAAAUAGCAGAAUAGAUAUCUGAAUGGAUACCAACCUUAGGUUACAAACAACAUGAUGAGGCUAGAAUUAGCAGAACAAACGAACUGAAUAAUAUGUUGUUUGAACUCGUUGGAACUACAUCAUGAGCCAACCAACAAGACUUCCAUGAAGAAACUGUGUGUCAAAAAGUCCAUCAUACCCAUGACGAGCGGUCGCCGUCGAGGAGAGCCAAGGUGAAAUAUUGCUUUCAGUCCGCAAGAUGUGUGUCAAGGCAACAAACUAUUCCAACACUCUCAUGCCACUUGAUUCUCAGUGCUGGAAUGUAUUAGAGUUAGGGAUCGGCGAGGAACGCAACCGUGACUCAAUGGCAGCCGCUACCUUGAAGAUGCUUCCAUGAUCAGCAGCUGGAAUGAAGUUGAGGGGAGUGAAUCCUGCAUGAGUUGAUAGGAUGUCGAAAUGUGCCUGACAGACCCCGUGCAGACAGAGAGCUCUGCAUUGCAAUCGUCCUGCACUCUGCGCAUGAAUCCCGUCGACAGCAGAAUAGUGACUGAUAGAAUGAGAGCAACAUAAACAAAACAAGAUAUAUUACUUAACACUGCAGGUACAGAGAGAAUCUCAAUAUACUGAGAUUACAGAGUGGCCUACUACGGGCUCCAUUUGUGAAGGAUGAGGAAUCUAGACUUUCUGUUAACGGAGUAAUUUCCAACACCCCCCAUUACUCCAAGGUGGCUUGAGUGACCUUGUGAACUGCUGAGUCAGCUUAUCAACACUAACUGGGACAAGAGUUCAUACAAGGUAUUAUGUAUAUAUAUAUAUAUAUAUGAUUGGUUGAUCAUGGAGAUCCUUGUAACUAUAGUGAUAUUGGUUCCAUUGUUCUUGAUUCUAAGUUCUCUUGUGGUACUUAUAUUUGUGUCCAAGUGAUUUUUUUGGAGUUUCUUGAAAUGUUUAAACUUGUAUCAAAUUGUCAUUGUUCCUCGCAUCUUGACUUGUUAUUGUGGAGUAAUUGUUUUAGCUUAAGAGUUGUCUGAGAAGGUAGAGACAACAAAGUCUUAGUUUGGUUUUGUUGAGGUUAAAACAUCUGACCUCUCAGUAUGGUUGUCAUUUCCUGAUCCAUGUGAGGGCUGUAGUUUGGUGGAUAGUCUAGUGGGUGUGGUUGAAACUAGUAUGCAUUCUCUAAUAAAAUAAUAGUGUAAAAAAUAUGUUUUGUCAUUGGAUUGAUGUCUAGGUAGUUUUCUAUUCUCAUGCUUACUUUGUAUUACAAUGGAUUGGACCUUGUUUGUAGAUUUGUAGUCCCACAUCUUGUAUUAAAUUUUUCAGCUACGCGGAUUUCCUUGCGAUUGUUGAUAAUGCCAUGUAUUCUACCUGUCAAGGAUAAGAACUCGAUGAAAAAGUAAUUCAGACAAGUGAGCCUUCACUCAAAGAAAGGUAGCAAAAUAUAAAUAAAUAAAUAUGUAUAUUGAAAGAAAAACUAGAAUGGCUAUUGCCAAAAGUUAAGAAAACUAGAGAUCCUUGAAGCUAGACUGGAAGCAAGAAAAGAGUUGACAAGAGUGAAGAAGGCUUCACUCUUGUCUCUAUAUAUAUUAUCUAACUAGGGGCUACGCGGCGACAUUCUAUAAUACCUCCAAUAAGUGUUGACUUUGUAGGACACAUGCCUUGACUUACAAGGCAAGUUUUUCUACAUAUGGGCCACAUUGUUAGCUUGGUCUUCAAGUUAACAACAUGUGUGGCACAUUGCCAACUUGUUGACCACGUUUCUAAUCCAAAAAGUCAAUUAAAGACACCUAUAAAGUCAAAGCAACGUCUAUGAAGCUUCUAAGAAGCUAUUAUACUAAAUACUAUAGAAUUAACUUACUUUUAUCUACUUUUACUUACUUCUACCUAUUUAUAUAUAUAAUUAUUGGCUUACAUGAAUAUGUCCGUGACAUUACCCCCUCUUCUAGAGACGAGUUCUACGAGGAGCGGUUAUCAUAUGUUGAGGAAAUCUAUCAUGCAACAAAUUGUAUUUGCCACAUAUUUUGAUCUUUGUUCUCUUCGAAGAUGAUUGAUAGGGCCUCUCAACCAUCGGUAGUGUCCCAUACCAGGGCGGAAAGACCACCCAAUUAUUUGAUCAUUGUUGAGGCCUUCAUAACUUCCUUCAAAUAGAACAUUUGAAACACCAUCAAAAGUUGUUCUUACAUCUAAUAAAAUCACCAAACAUCGGGAGUCCCUUCCCAAGUCAUGAUACCAAACGCGUUGUAUCUCACCAUCUAUUCGAGGAAGAACAUGUCGUUCUUAAAGAUCUUAAUCUCAAUUGCAUCGUCUUGAAGGUUGUGACAAUCGUAAUGUCUAGUUCAACAGGUCAGCAAAUGAAGGCUCUUGAGUCGAAUCCGCUGGUUGUUGGUUCUCCAUCUCCCAAGCGUGACAACUACAAAGAAGCUAUAAACAAAGAUUGAAAGUAGAAUGUUAUCUUGCCUAGAUGUUGUUUCUUUUAUAAAGAAGGUUUUCAUCUUGAUUUUGAUGGAUGUCGUCAAUGAAAAGCCUCCACCGCCUUUGCUGCAUUUGUAAGAUUUUUUACUGGCUCCCAUGUACGUUCACUAAUAUCAUAUCUGCGCCAAUGGAUAAGAUAUUCUAAUUUAUUUUGGCGCGGCCUUGAAUCUAAGACUUCUUCUACUUCAAACUCUUCAUUAUUGUCCACUUUUAUAGGAAGAGGUGGAGCUUGUCGUCUUCUUCAUAUGUCCACUGACUUGUAUAAUUCAAGAAGAGAUACAUGGAAUACUAGAUGGAUUUUCAUUGACUCUAGUAGAUGUAAACGAUAUACGACUGGAUUGAUUUGUACAGAAAUAGAAAAUGGUCCUAGCCUUCGAUAGUCCAACUUGUCAUAAGGACGAGUAGUCUUGAUAUUGCGAUGAAGUAGCUAUACCUUAUCACCCAAGUAGAAUGGUGGUUAUUUCUUUCGAUAGACAUCCGCAUUGACCUUUUGUUGUUCUUGAGCUUCUUUUAACUACACCUUCAUUGUUGUAUGUAGCUCUGAUAAAUGAAUCGCCAAAUCUUUUGAAGCAGGAUUAUCAACUUUUGAAAAGUCAAAAAUAUGAAGUCGUGGAUGAUAACCAUAAUUAGCAAAGAAAGGUAUUUUUUUUAUAGAAGAAUGUAUCAUAUUAUUAUAAGCAAACUCUGCCAAUGGCAAAAGAGUUGUCCAAUCAUCUUAUUAGUAGUUAAUGGUACAUCUUAAAUAUUGCUCCAAAACUUGAUUAACACGCUCCGUUUGUCCAUCAGUUUGAAGAUGGAAUGUUGAAGAUAGUUUUAUAUCCACUUUUAGAAUCUUGAAAAGAGUCCGCCAAAAUCUUGAUACAAAUUGAGUUCCCCUAUCUGAUAUAAUAUCCUUGAGUAAUCCAUGAUAGCGAUAGAUACUGUCAAGAAAGAACUUAGCUGUUUCUUCACAUGUGAUAGAUUUUGUACAUGGUACAAAAUGUAUCAUCUUGAUAAAAUGAUCUACUAUCACAAAUAUAGAGUCAUAAGAACCUGAGAUUAGAAGAUCUGUGAUGAAGUCCAUAGAAACAAAAGACCAUGGUUUUUCUGGAAUGGAUAAUAGCUGAUGAAGUCCAAAAGGUAGAUGACGAGGAGUUUUUGAUCUUGAACAAACAUCACAUGAUUGUACAAAAUCUUUGACUGCCUUUCACAUUUGAGGCCACCAAAAAUCCCUAGAUAUCACCUCCAAAGUCUUAUUGUAUCCAAAAUGUCCUGCUGUUGGGAAGUCGUGAUGAGCUUGAAGAAUACAUAAACGUGCUUCUCCUUCUGGAACAUAUAGGCGUCCUUCGAAAUAGAGUAGGUUGUUAUUGAAUUCGAAUUUAGAGGGAUCAUGAGAUUUAGAAGAAUUAUUCUUGAUAUCAUGAAUAAGAGGGUCUGAAGACAUACUUAAUUAGACUUGCUUGAGAAAAGUUAAAUCAACAGUCAAUGUUGAUUUUAUUACUCGAAGAUGAAAUUGCUCCGGCUUCAAGAGAAUCAUUCUUUGUUGCUCAAAAGCUACAUCUCCUUCUUUUGGUGCAAGAUAAGAAUGUCUAGACAAGGCAUCGGACAAACCUUGUUGUUUUCUUAGCUGAUAAGUAAUGAUGAACUCGAAUCUUGAUAAAGACAUGCUCUAACGAGAUUGACGACGAUUUAAUACGCAUGCUAAUAUGAAAUAUUCGAGGUUCUUGUGAUCCAUAUACACGGUAACUGGAUUAGAAGCGCCUUCUAGAUAAUGACGCCAUUCUUGAAAAGAAUCCAAAAUUACAAGAAGUUCUUUGUCAUGGAUCUCAUAAUUGAUUUCUACUAUUGAGAAUUUUCUUGAAUGAAAGGCUACUAGAUGAAGUUUGUCAUCUGUUCCCAUUUGUGAUAAAACCACACCUAGAGCAAAGUCUGAUGCAUUUGUUUCCAUAAAGAACGCUUUGGAAAAAUCAACACGAUAUAAGAUUGGUGCAAAAAUAAACGCUGUCUUCAAAGAUUCAAAAGCAACUUUUGCUUCUUGAUUCCAUUGCAGUUUGUCUUUACAAGUCAAACUUAUAAGUGGAGCUGCAACUCGAGAGAAGUCUUUGAUGAAGAUCCGAUAGUAGUUGGCAAAUCUCAAAAAGCAUUGGACAUCUCUUACCGUUUUUGGAUCUUCCAAUCUAUAAUAGUUUGAACUUUCUUAGGAUCCAUCAUAAGUCCAUCAUUUGAAAUGAUGUAAUCUAAGAAGUCGACUUGAGUAGUGUGGAAUACACACUUUUUUAUCUUGGUAUAGAAUCUCACAUCUCUUAAUUUUUGUAACACACGACGAACAUGAAGUUUAUGUUCUUUUGGAUUCUUAGAAUAGAUCAAGAUGUCGUCUAGAUAACAAACCACAAAAUCAUCCAAAAAUUCUCAAAAAAUAUCAUUCAUUAGAUGUUGAAAAGCUGUUGGUUUAUUUGUAAGCCCAAAAAGUAUGACGUUGUAUUCAAAAUGUCCAUACCUAGUUCGAAACGCAGUCUUCCAUUCAUCUCCUUUUUUGAUGCGUACUAGAUUGUAUGCUCCCCGAAGAUCUAUUUUUGUAUAGAUCUUAGCUUGAUUUAGUUGAUCAAGAAGUCCAGAUAUUAAAGGUAGUGGAUACCUAUUCUUGAUGGUAAUCUUGUUGAGUCGUGGAUAAUCAACACACAUAUGCAAUGAUCAAUCUUUUUUCUUCACAAAUAGAAUUGGAGCUUCUACCGGAGAUUUAGAAUGGCAUAUGAAAUUCUUGGCUAGAUUUUCUUCAAAAUACUCGUUGAGUUCAGUCAACUUAUUUUGUGAUAAACUAUAUAUUGGUCUGAAUGGCGGUUGUGCUCUUUCUUGAAGGUCAAUUGAAUAUUCAUAGGGAGGAUGUUUUGAGAAUGUAUCCGCAUUCUUUUUUUCAAAUACAUCUUGAAAUUCUUGAUAUUAGCUUGGAAUGCCACAUGAAGUCUUUGCACCGAUAGAAACCAAUGUGGCAUAAAUAAUAUAUGGUAAUUCUUUCAUAGCAGCAUGCAAGAAAGCUUUUGUACCUAUAAACACAAGUUUAAUUGAAUUGGACUUAUGACUCUCUACUUGAUUAACUAUACUAUUAGUUAUACUUUUAGAGAAAGUAAGAGUUUGGAAAAUCCAAUCUAUUUGAGGGUUGUAUUUUUCUAACCACGAUAAACCUAAAAUGACUAGAUUAGAGGGAGAUCUAAUGAUAUUAAAUACUAUAAAGCUAUUAUGACCAUUGAUUAUUACUUCUAUAGGAAGGAUUUCAUGAGUAAUAUCUCUAGAAAAUAAUGGACGACCAUCUAUGACUUCUACAUGAACAAGUUUAGUUUUCUUUAUUAAAGAUAUGUUAUGUCUUUUAAUAAAUUCUUCAUCUAAGAAACACGCUGAGGCUCCUGAAUUUAACAAGGCAGAGGCUUUGUAAUGUUUAGGUCCUAAAAUAACAUUUAAUGUAAAACAAGGAGAGGGCUCUGAGGAGAAAAUAAAACCUUUACUAGAUGUUGUGCAAGGUUCCAGCCGCACGGUUCCUAUUGUAGCUGGACAAACUCGUUUUCUGACAUAUUGUCUUCUUUGAUAGCCAUACUCCGCAUUUUGUGGUUGCGUCAUUUCUUUGGACAAUGUUAAGUAGUGUGUUUUGGUUCUCCACAAUAUAAACAUAAUCCUUCUUGACGACGACGAGUCUUUUCUUGCUCAAUAAGAGGUUUAAAACGUACUGCAUCAAUUUGCAUAUCCUCUACUUCUGAAUGUAUGUGUUGAAGAGGUGUUAGUGUUGCCAUUGAAUUAUAGUAAUAUUGAGGUCCACUUGUACGGUUCUCAGAUCAAAAUUCAAAAAGGUGAUUGUCGCACUUCACAGCAAAGUCAAUUGCUUGACUUAAUGUUUGAAGAUCAAGAAAGUUGAGCAUUAAUUUUUUUACCUCAUAUUGUAGUCCGUAGAAAAAUUGGCUACAAAAUACAGCAUCAUCCCACUUGAUAUCAGUUGCAAGUUGUCAAAAUUUUGAAGCAUACAACGUUAUUGAUCGAUUGCCUUAUCGUAAAAUAUGGAUCUUAUUGGUUGCAACACAAAUUACAUCAUGUUCUCCAUACAUGGAUCGAAACUCCACCAAAAAAUCCUCUAGAUUAUCCAAUAUUAGAUCUCGUCGUUCAAGAAAAGAUGAAAACCACGAUAGUAUUGAACUUGAAAGAAGCGUAUCAAUGAAUCUAACUUGCGAUCUUGGAGUUGGAUAGCUUUGGGAUUGAAGUUCAAUCACAAGUUACACUUGAUUGAUAAAUCCUCGAAACUUGGAUCUCGUGCCAUCAAACUUCUCGGAUAAGGUAAUUCUUGGUUAUCUAACACUGGAAGGGCGUUCCACCAUAGGAGAAAGGCCAUGAUUUGAUGCAGAUGUUGAAGCAGCUCCAACCAUUUCUAUAUCUUCACUUCCUGCCAAUCUUGUUGCUCAUUGUAGUGGUAAAUUGAGUUGAUGCAUCACAAGCAUUAACUCCCUCAAUUGCUCUUGCAUUUGUGCCAUUGCACUCUUCAUUUCAAGAAGUUUUGCCAUGAUAACAUUUAGAAAAGAGAAGAUGUCUAAUAUCGCUCAAGAUAAAUAGAAGAGAGGACUUGAGAACAAAGAAAAUACUAAGGACAAUAUCAAUUUAGAAGAGGGUAAUCCAUAACUUCUAAUAUGCUUAUAUCUUAUCAAGAAAAAAGGGUAAUCCACUCUUAACCAAUAUUAGACAAAGCUUUGAUAUUAUAGGUGUACUCUUGUCAAUCUGUCAAGGACAAGAACUCAAUGAAAAAGUAAUUCAGACAAGUGAGCCUUCACUCAAAGAAAAGUAACAAAAUAUAAAUAAACAAGUAUGUAUAUUGAAAGAGAAAUUGGAAUGGCUAUUGCCAAAAGACAAAAAAACUAAAGAUCCUUGAAGCUAGACUGGAAGCAAGAAAGGAGUUGAUAAGAGUGAAAAAGGCUUCACUCUUGUCUCUAUAUAUAUUAUCUAAUUAAGGACUACGUGGCGACGUUCUAUAAUACCUCCAAUAAGUGUUGACUUUGUAAGACACAUGCCUUGACUUACAAGGCAAGUUUUUCUACAUGUGGGCCACAUUGUUAGCUUGGUCUUCAAGUUAACAACAUGUGUGGCACAUGACCAACUUGUUGACUACGUUUUUAAUCCAAAAAAUCAAUUAAAGACACCUAUAAAGUCAAAGCAACGUCUAUGAAGCUUCUAGGAAGCUUUUAUACUAAAUACUAUAGAAUUAACUUACUUUUAUCUACUUUUACUUACUUCUACAUAUUUAUAUAUGUAAUUAUUGGCUUACAUGAGUAUGUCCAUGACAACAAGUGUACUAUAUAUGAAAAAAGAGACUCAAAAUGGGCCAACCUCCUUGUUUAAUAAUUCUACACCGCAAUUCAUGACAUAUUCUCUCACUUUUUGGUAAUUCCUUAAAAGUAAACCUCCUAAUAAUUUAUCACUGUGGGAUAGAGUGAUGACUUGGGGAUUGAAUUGAGUGCACUAUUCUUCUUUCUUCUUCCUUUUUAUUAUAUAACAUAACAUUAUACAUGUCCUUGUAAUAAAGAUUUGCAAAAACGUCGUUACCUAAACCUCCGCCACGUAUUCUCUUCGAUAGUUGUUUCAUAAGGACAUAAAACCCUGAAGCUUCGCCGGAAUCCCGCAGCACCAGUACUUCAUAUCGACAUGGACGGGUUACGACGUUCUCUAGGCCAGCUCGACAGAAACUGGUGCUCCAAUCUCUCGUCAGCUCUGGCAUCCUUGUAGCACGCGGACCCACCCCCUAGAUACGAACGAGAAGAGCUCUGUUCGUUGCAUUUGGAUGCUCCGCUGUCCUUUGGAACCUCCAAUAGUCUACUGCAGUGCGCAUCCAAACAGGAUCUAAGCACUCUGUAACUACUUUCCGAUGCAUGUGCACUUUUUCUCCGUCCUGAGAUGAGCACAUCCUUUCUAAAUUCGUCGCGUCUCCUUUCGCAGAACCCUCAGCGGGUUCCCUUUCAGAAUAAUUCUCCUCCAAGUGUCGGAAAGAACCUGUCGAAGGUGUCCAUGGAAAGUAUCUCCGUGUUUCAUUCAGAUGUUCAUUUUCGAAUAGAAUCUGAAAGAAAAAAGAAAAGAAAGACGUUAAAAGAGUGCCCUCUCCAACAAGACCUCCUCCAUCUCGGGAUCAUUCAUGCUACAGCUCUGGAUCCUACACUGACGUAUUGUUUGUUUCUGUUUCCCUGCAAUCUACACAUGUCAUGUAUAGCACAGUCUCGUCUUUCAUAUUAUUGUGCGGAGGUGUUAAGAAUGCAGUUACGCUUGUUUCAAGUCCCUGAGCUGGGUAGAGUUUGAGAUAUAGAGAAAUUGGAGGUGUUGCAGGAUCUUGCGUAAUUUUGCGAAUUCUUUGUUGGUUGGUUUGUUUCCUGGCCGAGUGGCAAGGAGUCCGGUUGAUUUGAGUUUUGAGGACAGAGGAUUUAGGAAUUUAAUCUGUAAGUGAGGUUUGAUGAGCGUGUGUGUGUGUUGUGAGUUUAAGCGAUGAAUUGGUAGUGAAUCAGGGUUGAUCGAUCUGGUGAAUUAGGGCUGAGGUGCUGGAUUGUGAGCCUUUUAGGGUUCAUAUUCGAAGAGCGUGAUUGGAAUGUGCAAGUACACGGAGCUGGGCCGUUACUGAGGCCUGUUUGAGAAAUUGUUUGACUGUUUUGGGAGAUUUUAGGAACAGUGAGUUUGUUCUGAUCAAGCUGUUUUCCAGUUUUCGCUGCUCUAGUUGCUACAAGAUUUGUUUGACCAGGUUUUAGUGUUUAGGGUUUUAGCAACUGUGGCUGUGAGGACGUCACGGUUGAACCAUCGGUUUUUGUUAGGACAGCGUUUUUGGUGAGCUGUUUUUGAAGACAUUGUCAUUUAUUCUUUUCAGAUGCUAUAAAACCCAGGUGAAUGUAAAGGUCUAUCUCAAUAGAAGCGUAGAAAGAGUCUUGUUCCUGUGCGAUAGGAAGCGUUUCUGUGAGUAGAAUGUGUUCAUAGAGUUGUGACGAUCAUCCAAAAUCAAGGUUUUUUUUCGUUUUUGUUUGUUUGUUUGUUUGUUUGUUUGUUGGGUAGACUAGAGUAUGAAAGGUUGUGAUACAUGCUUUAUUGAGGAACAUCCAUCAUUUUCAUUAUCUUGUAAGCAUUACUUGGUUUCUUGGAAAAUAAUUUUUCUUUAAUUUUUCAAAAGAAAGGCGUAUUUGAUAAGCAAUCGGCUAUUUAAUAUUCUGUUCAAUCUUGAUCUAUAACUCUUGUGUGAUUAUGGACGGUUGUGUGCACUAUUCUAAUAACACAAAUUAACUUAAGUCAUUUGACAUUGUAAGUCUGCACAAUACAUUUUUAGCUAACUUUAACUUUAUAAGCACGAAGAUCACUACUAAUUUUUUACUUUUUGUUCAAUCAAAUCUAGUUCUUAACUUAAUACAUUAACUUGGUUAUUUAAUUCAAACUUAUGGUGUUUGCACCGUAUAUGGAUGUAUGUAUGUAUGUAUGUAUGUAUGUGUAUUUUUAUUUUUUAAAAUUAGAUAUAAAUAGAUAUUACAUAUGAAAAAUAUAUAAGAAUAUGAUAAACAAAUUGAUAUUAACAAACUAAAAAAGUAAGUGAGCAUAAACUUUUAUGGAGUAUAUAUUAUCAUGAGCCUUUAAGAUUCUAAAUUCAAAAUUGAUGCUAAUAUUAUUCUAAAAAUAUAUAUAUAUAUAUAUAUAUAUAUAUAUCUUGCAUUUGAACAAGUUAACCCCAAAUGAAAAAUACUAAUUAUGCAUGUGUGUUAUUAUACUUGCAAAAUAUAUAUAUUUCUUUUAAAUGUUAAAAAAAGUAUUAAAAUUUUAUUCUAUUAAAAAUAGAAUAGAAUAAAUAUUAUCAUUAUUAUUAAUUUUUAUUAAUCAAAUUAUUAAAAGUAUGUUUUUCAGUUUUUCAAAGUGAAUGAUGCCAACACACUAAUGAAUAAUGGCUCAUUUUUCAUAUUGAUAUGUAUGUACACACAUGCAUACGCACUCUACAACUUUACACAGAUUGAUACACAUAUAUUCCAAUUAUUCUUUGAGCGCAUGUCAAUAAAAGUGCACUGGGUAUCUUCAAGUCAAGUGGAAUUUGUGACAAAACAUACCGGUAAAUGUGACCAAUCCAACACAGAUGAUAUGCUUGGUCCAGAAGCUAUGAUCGACGGGAGUACCGACAUAUAUUGGCCGACACGGUCAGCAGCAAAGUGUGAAGCUCAUAUGCAGGCUAUUUGUGGAAACUCCAUCUUCUUUAGUAUUCUUAUGAUCCAAUCGUCCCAGAGUGGUACAUUUCAGUCCAAAGCUCCCACGACUAGGGCUGCAUUUGAUGGACCUUGGUUUCAUGUCAAUGCACAAAUUCCUCCAACAUGAGAAUAAGCUCCAUUUACUACCGAUUACCUGGCCAAAUAUAGAAUCUAACGACAUGAUCAGGAUUGGUGCUGAUCUUAUUAAUUCUCAUCUACCGUAUGACCCGCUGACAAGCGGUACUGUUACUUGAAAGGACCACCGCCAAUUGCGCAAUUUGUCAUAUCACUGACGAGCUCUUCCGUUCAGUGCAGACUGCACAACUUGUACAAAGUGAAAGGAGACGGUUGCUACUUAACUCAUACAACACUAGUGUAUUUACUUACGAUGCACAUGCGGUCCUUCCUUGAAGCUCUGCUGUAGAUGUGACGUGACCUCUUCAUUGCCGAAAGGGAUUUUCUUCAGCGGUACCGAUUCGUCCAUGGAGUGUUAGGAAAUUAGGUACUAGCAAACAUGACAAACCACCAAUGGAGCCGAAGUCACGUUGAACGGCUCUCCACAGCUGGAGAAUUGAGACGGGACUAGUCGAUUGCCUUCAGGACAGUCCGUGUUCACAUACCACGAACGCUGGUUGACAGGCCUCGAUGAUGCAUUGUGGCCCUGGUCAGCUACAUAUCAAAUUUUCUCACCCACUAUACUAUUAAACCAAACUUCUGUGCAUAUUGUGUAUUCGACUGCAUCAUACAGGUGCGGAUGCGUCACCAUAGUUUGCCUGCAACUAUGCUGCGGCGACAAUUUCACGCUCUGCGUCUCUCUUCCAUUUCAAGCGCAAAAGAAAGAAGCACGCAACGAUGAAAACCCAGUAGGAUAUGUAGGAGACCAACGUCCCCACCGUCCCCUCGUUACGCCACCCCACAACAGCGUUCAAGAUUUUCCAGAUGCCGCUGUCGUCUUGGCUGCAGCAGUUCAUUUUCCAGAUGAAAUGCUCAUUGUCCGUGUACUCCUCCAGCUCAUGAACGGACCCAGCGAAAAGGCCAGCGGAGAUUAAGAGAAGCAAUGCAGUUGAAAACAGAAGGAACCAUUUGAAGCCCACCGAACUGCAACCUUUGAACAGCAGCCAACCGACUAAAAUCCCGCACAAAGCUCCCACCACGGCAGGAAUUGGAAGUGCUGUACCGGAAUCAUUCAAUCCGAUGCCGCCUAGAAAGAUAACCGCCUCGCACCCUUCUCGCAAGACAAUGCUCAGCGGCAGUAGAACGAGCGCGUAACGACUCCUCCUUCGUUGCACUCCUAUCCCGGCUUGUUGCUCCUCCAAGGUGUCUUCCGUUACCUUGGUGAGCUUCUUCUCCCACUUGGCCCUCCAUGUGUCUACUCGCACCAUGGAGAAUGCCAUCAGUGUGAUGAGCACCACUGCGAUGAGGCCUAGAAUGCCCUCCCACAGAGGUUCUGAGCUCGCCCAAGCGUCCUUGGCCACCGUGUAGUACAAUGAUAGGAAAACAGCCGCGGCUAUAAACGAAAGCAACACUCCCCCGACCACCCCUGACCACACCUGCCACUUCAUCCUUCGUCGCACCCGCUCAUUCUCCACCAUCCUGUCCAAGAGAGCCAUCAUCACGGACAAGAUGAUCGCCGCCUCCAAAGUCUCCCGGAACAAGAUGAAAAACGCUGGGACGCUGAAAAGCUGCACCAUCUUGCCUCAACUUGACUGCACGCACCUCCGAUCGACUUCCCUCACUCCGUUUCUCACAACCUGCAGAACAGUUUAUGACGUUCAGCGGCACGGGGAAUGACGCAACAGAACGAGUGCGUCAUAGACUGAAGUGGCUAUCCGUCUUUAUAUACUCACCGUAGAAGCGCCCUGAAAGCAGCUACCGAAAGGUCUACCGGAAGGUGUGCAGAAGGCCCUUCUCAUUCGAGACCGCCGUGGUAUCGGCGUUGACGAAAGAGGAUCAGUUCUGCGAGCGGAUCAACGGCUGCAACACUCAAGCAUUCUGCACUCGCCUCCGGCACAUGCCCCCCGCGCUGAAGCACACGCUCAGCCUGUGCCGCGCACUCUUCCAACCUCCCACAUCAGCUCCGCAACAGACACCUCGUCGACAAAAAAUGCCCCCUCCUCCGCCCUCCUCCUCCGCACGCAGCAACAACAGCCUCCAUUAAACUCCAAAUCCUCCCUGCUAGCGAGCAACACAGCCCCAACUCCCCGCAUCAGCUCACACCACCACGGAUCACUCACUCGAUCAGUACCUGUGGUCCCAGCAGGUAGCGCCGCGGCACUGAUCCAUCAGCAACCUGGCGAAUUGGUCAGGGGUCACUGACUGCGGAGUACCGUGGAUUAGAAUCAUGUGCGGCGCGUUCCAAGGGAGUGGAGGUGUACGUCUCCUCCAUUAGCGAUUGUUAGCUUGUUGGGAUCAAGCUCGUCGCCGUGAUCACCACCGCGCGGCGUGGUCGUCCCGCGACGCUCCCAAGCAGCGAUCAGCGAGCGCUGCUGGCUGGUAACUCGUGACGAGCCCUGGUGCGUGUCGCCGCUGCCGCGGCCGUGACGCGCCAUGACGUGACGCAGCUGCGCGUCACCCUGCACACACGCCUACGUUAAUAUCCAAUCAGUGGUGCUGAUGGUUUGGUUAUUAGGAGUGUGUGGGGUGUGUGAAGUUGCCAUUUAGUGGGUGAAUUAAAUAUUAUUUAUUUUUCUAAUUCAUGCGUGCGGGAUUGAUAUUUGGAUGCACUACUGAAGUGUCUCUAUGUACUAACACAUGUGAGAUUGAAGUUUUUUUUUUUUUUUUUUUUUUCUUCAGAUUUGGUAAAAAAAUUCCUUGUUUGAUUGAUGGAAGUUGGGAGGCUGUUUUACUAAGUGAUUAUUUCAAUUUGCUAUCAGUGGUGCAAGCAGUGGACAUGAUGAUGGAGAUGACACCGUUAUAAUGACAGGACUGUCUGCGUAGCAUUUUUAAAGAUAUUUUUUGCAUGUUUGUUUUAAUGAUGGUUUGAAAAAUGAUUCUGAUAUGGUAAUAUUCUAUUUUUGGUCGACAAGAAUAUCAAAUAUGAGUAUGCUUUAAGAUUUCGUAAUUUCAUUAUCUCUCUCCCUCUCACUCUCCUUGAGUCUGUGUGUGGUUGUAUUUUAAUUCAAGCAUUUUGAUUCAUUAAAAAAAAUUAAAUUAAAGAACCCCAUGAAACCCAUGGAACAUAUAAAACAUGAAAAAAAAUCAAAAAUCAAAAAACGAAAAUCAAAAUCUUAAUCAAAUUGAAAAAAAAUAAUCAUUUCAUUAUUAUUAUUAUUAUUAUUAAUAAUAAUUUCAUUCUUUGUUUUAGUUGCAUUAACUGUAUGAUCUUCAAAGUUAUUCAGUGUUUUCUCAAGUAGUUAUUUAGAAAGGUUGUAAUAUAUACUACAAUACAUAAUUUGUGAAAGAUAUAUUAGAUUUUGUCAUUUCUCACAUUAGGAAAUUUAUUUUUGAUAUGAUUUUAAUUGAAUUAUUUUUAGUUUAAUUUUAGUGUAAUAUUUCUUAUGGGAUGAUAACAUGUGUUUUUAAACCUGUAAAUUAUCACACAAAAGAAAAUAAAAUGAGUUCAAAAACUUUUAUGCUCAUAGAAACUAACCAUGUUCCACUUUUUCUAGGAAUGGACAUCUAAAUAAAGAACUGUAUUGAAUAUUUAAACAUAAGUUGUAUGAGCACUUUUCAAUUUAAAAGUCUUUGAAUAUGCUUAUGCAAAGCACUGUAUUCAUAUUUGACUUAUUCAAUACAUCAAUAAUCACUGGAAUUUGUUUGUUUAUAAACAAAUUGUAUAAUUCUAUGUUAUUGAAACAACUUUUUAUUAACAUCUUUUUUAUCUUUUUUAUCUUCCUUUUUUUUUUUUUUUUUUUUUCGAGUUUAGCAAUGUUCAUGACUUUAAUGCAAUGUACAUACAUACAUACAAUAUGUAAACAUAUAUACAUAUAUAUAUAUAUAUAUAUAUACAAACACAUACACAAAGACAUAUUUGCUCACAAACAUUCAUUCAGAUGUAUAUAUAAUGUAUGUUUUUUGAGAAUAAGACAUUAAAUUUUGGGUCUUAAAAAUACCCAUUAACUUGCUCAAUGAAAACCAACCUCAUUUCUAUAGUUUGUGUGCAUAGGAAAGUGUGCUACACAGUGCAAAACAAAAAAAGCACUGACAAUAUCAAUUGAAUCACAUAACGCAUGGACUGAAAAAGAAUGCAACCAUCAACGCCACAUCUACUUACACCAAUUAUCAAACAAAUCCUGUCCAUACUAUGCAUGGGAUACAUUUUUCACCAGCACAAGAUUGACUUGCACUAGAAGAAAAUGAUCCCUCACACAAACAAAAACACACAGUACCCCAAAUGGACAAAUAGAAGUGCAGAUGAAGUGCCACCUCACUCCCACCCUCCAUGUCCAAAUCCUAACACACCCCUGGAACACUCUUUUCUGUUCGAUUUGAUAUUUUGUACAUUUGUUUCAGUAUUCUAGAAACCGAACUAAUUCAAGGCAGAGUCCUCCACAACCCCAUUUUCUCAUUCAAUACACAACUGUGCAGAUGCUCCUUCUCUUCCAUUAGCUACUGCAGAGGGAAAGAACUUGGGAAGGUAAGUAGGUACAUUGGGAGGGAGGUGGUUGCAGGGGACGAUGAGAAGCUGUGUGUCUCUUGAAAGCAUCGAAAGAUGGCAGUGCAGAGUUGUGAUGGAGACCAGGACGAGCAAACAACAGGCACCCAGCAUAGCACUGCGCCAGUGCUGGGAGGUUCGAGCAAGAGUACAAGCAUAACACAACACAACACACCAGAACACACAGCACAGGAGAUGAGAUGAGAGGAGAGGAGGGACCACCAUGGCCGUCUCGGGAGUCUCAUGGCCCUCACGGGAGUCUCAUGGCUCUCCCUGUCACGUCCUACAUCAGACAAAUAGGAGCUGUGCAAAAGCCCCCCUCCCUUGCGCUGCGCCCAUCGUCGUCGCGUCCGUUACAGUCCCGGUGCGCAAGAUAAGGGGUACUGCUGCUUUGGUCUAUCAGCUCCUCCUCUUCCCGAAGCAGCAGGCAGUGGAAGAAGAAGAGGAAGACGACGAUGGCUUGUGUCGAACUGGGCCCCUCCGCCCUUCAGUUGCUUACCAUCGCUGCCGCCGGAACAGUGCACAGGAUCUUCCCACAACCGCAUGAUCUCGAUCCCCAUGCUUCAUUGUGUGACAGACUGAUUCACUGUCAGUGAUCGAUCGAUCGAGGUAUCUAGCAUGGAAGGAUUGGAUGGGAGCGGCGGCGCCGACUGGAGCCUCGACGGAUCUCAUUCCGAUUCAUCUCUUGUUUCAGAGUAGCAGUUGUUGUUGCGGUGGGUUACUUAAUGCAGCGAUUAUGUCACAACAAUUCAGUUUUCUAUUAUAACAUAACGUAGGAUAAAAUUGUAGUAGAGAUGGUGCUGAAGACUGUUUAAGGAUUGACUGAAGUUGUUUCAUUCUAGGAAUCUUUUAUCAGGGGUUUCAGAGUACGACGAUGUAGUGGAUUAUUUUAUUUUAUUUUAUUUUUGAAAAUCGAGAAGUCAAUAAGAGAUUGCCAACACACACUUCAUUAGUAAGCAUAAUUUGUCAAUUGGAUAGGAGGAUGAUGGCUCAUAAUUUUAGGAGAACAUUUAUUAAAGACUUGAAGGGUUCAAGUUGAUAAGUUCUACUUAAAGCUAUUAUCAUCUUCUACUUAAAGUACUACAAGAACUAGAUGUAAACCGAUAUAAGCAAGAGGCAAUUGCUAUAUGAGUUGAAGCUAUUUUGUUCUGAAGGGAAUGUUCAUUACACUUUUAAAUUUAUGUAUGAAGUGCUUUAAAUUAUUUUGCCCUUGAUUCAAUCAACUUUAGCUACUAUGAUUUUGGAUGUUUUUUAUUUUGUAAAAAUUUGUAAGUACUGGGUAGUGUGAGUAGUUAAGAGUGAUUGAACUCUGGAAAGGUUGUAGAGAUUGCAAAUUCUUAGUGUAAAUAGUAGUUUUUUGUCAUAUAUACCAUUUUUGGUUUUUUUGCAAGCAACCAUAUUCUUUUCUUUUUGGUUUUAGAGUUGGUUGUGAUCAAUUGUUUUGCAAGCAUCAUCAUAAUUAAUUAAUAUAUAAAGAACCAAGAAUGCAUUUCAUACAAAGCUCACUAUAGCUAUGAUAUAUUGUUAUAUAAGUACUAUUAUUUUUAAUUCAUGUGAAAAAAGCCAUUAGUGCAUUGCAUAGAAAAAUAUUAUUUUUUGUAAUCAAUUGCUAUUUAAAUGCUAUCAUCAUUAUUUUAUGUAUGAAGAGUCAUUUGAAUAUUUGAAUAUUGCAUGCUAAGCUCAAAACAAUUGUAAUUGUUGCUUAAUGUGUGAGUGCCAUUGUUCUUGAUUAAAGUGUAAAGGAUCAUUGGUGCAUUAUAUACAAAGCUUUUUUAACUUAUGAUUGAUUGUUAUAAUUGUCAUUGUAAUCAAUUUAUGUAUAAAGGGUUGUUGGUGCAUUACAUGCACAUAUGUCUUUCUUUGUGAGCAAUUGUUACAUUAUUAUUCACAAAAAAUAUUAGUUAUUAAUAAAGGCCUUUAUCAAUAAAACAUUGUUUUUUUUUUUAACAACAAUUAAUGCCAUUACAUCAUAUUUGGGCCCUUAUUAUUAGUUGCAACUUAAAUAUAUUCUUACACUAACUCUAAUAUGUUUGAUAUUCUUGUCAUUGAUGUACUCAAUGGCUUAUAAAUGUUUAUGAGUUUGAUUGUAUAGUAUAUAUUGACCUUGUUACAAAAAUCAUCAUCAAUUUACAUAAUAUAAAUGUAUUAAGUGUAAUGUGUAUUGUAUAAUAUAAAAGUUGAAGCAAUCUUGUUUUCUGAAUUUUAAGUUAUUUUAAAUACCAUAUAUUUUUGUAGAUAAAUCAAUUGAAAUAUUUUAUCUUAAUGCUUUCAACUCCAAAUAAUUUAUAAUGUAUAUAUUUUUUUAAAUUUAAAUUUUCUAAAUUAAUAAUUUAAAAUUUUUUAAAAUUUUUUAAAAAAUAGAUUCUAUCAAAAUUUUAAAUUUUAACUAAUAAUAAAUUAAAUUUUAUUAUCAAUUAUUAAAAUUAAAAUUUUAUAUUUAACUUAUAAAAUUUUAAGAAAUUAUUUUAGACUAUUAAUAAUAUAUUAAUAUAUAUUUUUUACAUAUUAUUAAUUGAAGUAUGUAAAAAUAUUAUUUCUUUUGAUAUAUAUAUAUAUAUAUAUAUAUAUAUAAUAAUAAGAUUAAUAUAUCUUAAUUUUUUAUAUAAUUAGAAAAUAUAAUAAAAUAUUUAUUAUAUAGUUCAUAAGAUAAAAAUACUAAUUAGUAUAAAAUAAUUAAAUACAAAACAAUUAUAUGCAUGUAUAUUAAAUUACUAGCUUCAAAUAAAAAUAGAUUUGUAUUACUAUUCAAAAUGAAUAAGUCCAAUGACUCAAGGACAACUAAAGACUCAAGAGCAAUAAUUGAAUAAAGAUAAGAGAAACAAUCAUAGUACCACCACUAAACCUGGAGACAAAACUUGAUCUUGAGCUAAGAAAGUAGAAUACUUAAAGAUUGGAUAGUCAUUGCAUUAAGCCAUUGUAAAAAAAAUGUAAAGAAUAUGAUAGUAGUGGUUAUAGUCAAACUUGGAAUAGAGUAGCACUGGAUCAAAAACCAUAUAAUUUUGAAGUAUAUACUAUAAACAUAGUUUAUUAUUGAAUUGGUGUGUAUAUUUCUAGUUCUAAACACUUUAUAGUAUUUUGUCAUGUGAUUGCUUGUUAUUCCAAUAGCUCAAGUAACACUUUGAUGAAAUUUCGUUUAAAUAAAAUAUUAAUUAUAUUCUAUAGAUUAUAAAUAAUAAUAAUAAUAAUAUAAUUAGUACUUAUAUGUUUUGAAUAGCAUAAAUAAAAUCUUUUUAUAUAUAUCAUUAUAUUAUUAAAUAAUUUUAGUCCUUAAGUACUAUAUUUUAUUAUAAAAUACAAGAUUUUUUUAAAGAACAUAAUAUGCUUUGUUUUAUAUUUUUGUUUUAUUUUUUUAUUAUAAUGAUUUUUUUGUGUAAUAUAAUAAAUAUUGUAAGAUAUAUAUUUUAUAUAAACUACUUAUUUUUUAUCCUUCUAUCUAAGUUGAUCUACAUUUUGAAUAGACACUAAUUUUAUAAUUUUUUUAAAAAUAUAUAUAUUACUCAAAAUACAUUUUUUAUAACAUACAUCCAUAGCAUAAUAUGUUUUUUAAAAAAUAUAUUUUUAAGAUCAUAUAAUUUUAGUAAGAUAAAACUAAUAUUUAAUAAGUAUCUAAAUAUCUAAAUAAUGUUGUUUUAUUUUAAUAAUUCAAUUUAAAAUAUAUUAAAUGCUAUAAUAUUUUUUAAAAUGGAUAUUCUUUUUUGGAAAGUAUUAUAAUUUUUUUGCUAGUGUUGAAGAUCCUUGCUUUGAUUUAAGAAUGAUAAGGUAAAAAAAUAUCAAAACUAUUGCUUAUGAGAGAUUAAUUUCAACUAAAGCUUACAUUGGGCAACAAGUAUCAAGUUAGAAGAAUAGUUGUUUGUUAGAACUUUUAAAAUCUAUUGGUUUUUGUUAAAAAUUACUCAAUUUUUAUUUAAUUGCCUCAGCAUUUUACUUUGGAGAAUCAAAAUGACUUGUGAAAGAGGACCUUUACCUUUGUACAACAUGAAUUUAUUUUCUACAUAAUCAAACACUUCUUACUUUAAUAAAGAAGUGUCAUUUUGAAUAUGUAUUUAAUGUUAAGCUAUCCUUAAUAAAUCACAAAUAUGAUAUUAUAUGGUUAAAGCAUAAGUACAAUUUUAGUUUUAACAUAGUUUUAGAUUAAUUUUAAUUUUACAUAAGUUCUAUAUGCAUGAAUUAUUUUUAUUUUUUAACAAUAUUUUAAUUAUAGUGUCUUUAUUCAUACUGUGUGUGUAUAUAUAUUUAUAUAUUUAUUUGAAUCAAUUUAAAAUAGUUUUUGUGGUCCUGUGCUUUUUGAGGAAUAUUUUUAGAAAAAAUGUAUUUUUAGAUCAUUAACUUAGUGUAAAUGUCAUCUAAUAUUACAAUAGAAUAAUAAAUUUUACUACCAUAAAAAAAACCACUAAUCUAUCACAAACGCAGCAAUUAGCAUAAUCUCCGCAACAAAAUCAAAACAGAAAGGCAUGAGGCAGGUGGUGCUAAUCAGAGAGGGUGACAGCACCCACCUGGUACCAGCCCUUAUCAGAACGCCGCUGCGUGGAUUGUUGAACCUUCCGUUACCGCCCAUGCGAUAAUUAGUUACAACCGUUUCUCCCAAUGAUGAUGAGAAUAUGGAACAAGCUUUAGAGCAGUGACCCAUGACCUUGGCAAAACAACCAAACAAACAAACCCACUAACAGAAACUGCACAAACGUCUUCGAAAUGUAUGCAUUGAGUCGAAAGCGCCAACCUUGAUGAUGCUUGCGAUGGGAAAGAAUGCGGCGACGACGAUCAGGUUGCGAAUGGAACUGGGUGAUCUUUUAGCAGCAGGAAUGUGUGGAUCGACGCAUGACUCCGCUGUGUGUGAUUCUUCAAGUGCUUAGAAGGCUAGAUCCCUGUUUCCGAUCCAAUGUCGAAUAGUUCUGUAGUUGGAGCUCCCGAUGGUGAUGAAUUUAGCGUUGGGGGCCAUCUUUGUGCGAUGUGCUCACUUGUUGAUGAGGAUUUGCCUCCAACACUGGGCCGUCUCCUCUUGACCUAAUUCUCUCUGAUACUGUGGUCGUGUUUCCGGUUUCCGGUGUGAAGCGAGCGUUCUUCCUGUGUUCCACUUUGGAAAGGUAAAGACAACGAACGAUGUAUGUGAGAUGGUGAGAAAUAGCACCCGUGGUAGCGAUGGUGAUGUAGGACGAGAAGAAGAGCUCGGGAGGCAGCCUAGAGUGGGUGGCGGGCAUUCGACUGCCAGCAUCAAACUUGCAGAGCCGCUGGUCAGAAGAGCUGAAGGUCCGAGUUCUAAUGGAAGUCAGAACUGGGCAAACGGUAGAUCGGGCAAUGAAGUACGUAUCGUUAGUAGCAAAGGUGGUACGAACGUUGGCGCAAAGCCUGUUCCUCGAGGAUCAAGCUCCUUCAUGGGCAGCAACCGAUUCGAUGCUUCCAAAAAGAAUCCUGAUGUUUCCAAACCCGUGGUGUACACUUUCAGAGAACGGAGUACUGAUCCUUCGAGAUUGUCGAGCAUCAAAACAAUCAAGGAUCACAAUGGUGCCGGCCCAAUAGAUAACGUUUUUAAAAUUUUGAGCAAUUCAAACAGAAAUAAUCAUGGGGAGAUCAUUUCAAAAACCUCGAAAGCUGCACUUGUGGAGGACCGCGUUAGUGUAGCCCUCGAUUAUUGCACUUCGAACCGCUUGAAUAAUCCUCCAAGCUCAAAACCAAGCCAAGGCUCAUCAAUGGCGAAUAGAAACAGCACCCGUGCAACGAGAGGCACCUCCCAACUCCAUCGCAAUAACACUGGUGAUAUCGCUAAAGAGCAGCAGCGGCAACAGUGUCCAGGUCUUGCGCUUUGCUGCAACCCCAAGGAAAACAAUACUGUGAAUAAGCAGGAAAAUUGUGAAUCGGGUAAAGCUUCAUUUUUACAGAAGAUGUACGCAGAUUCAUGGAUCGCAAAAGCGCUCGUUAACUGAUGUAAUGGUUGUGCCAUGAUUGAAUGAUUGGGUCCAUUUCUUGAAACCUGUAUCUUUUGAAUUAAGUACUCUUUCUAAGUAACAAAGUUUGAGAGUCUGGAUCUGAAGUUGAUGCAGAUCAACCCAUCUCGCGUCACGUCAAGGGGCCAACCAAAACGGACUUGCAAGUCGUCGACGGAGAAUUUUCGUCAUCACAACAACCUUCAGAUGAAUCGCAAACGAAAUUUACUCCACCGCAGCCGCCCCAAGAAGUUCGAGGACGUUCUCCAUCCCAAGAUUACGUAUUGCAGGAGUGGAUGCAUGGUCCUUCAAGUCCUACCGGCCAACUUGUUAACGUCUCGGACCGACCGAGUUUGUGUAUGAGUGUGCGAGGCAAUGAAGCAUGCAUAGGUUCAUCAGAUCAUGCACUGUACAUCGUUGACUGUGAGAAAUGUACCUUAAAACGAUCACUCUAUGGAAAACAGUAUGGCCACACCGAGUGGGUUACAUGCUGCGACUAUCUGAAAGACGGACGGAUUCUUAGUGGUGGCAUGGAUGGGAAACUGUGCCUCUGGGAUAAGAACGGAAUACGAACAAUUGACCUCCUGGGUCACAUGGCAUCAAUAUCUGCAGUAAGAUCUGGAGCAGAAGGCUCACUAGCUAUAAGUGCAAGUUAUGACAAGACUUUGAUGCUAUGGAAUGUCAACCGUUCGCAAACAAAGAAUGCAGCAUGCCUCAAAGGGCACAAAGCUCCGGUGCUUGGGUUUUGCCUGAGCUCCCAGGGGGCCAUUGUGAGCGGCUCACGUGAUGGUGAUGUCAUCCUCUGGGACACUGCACACGCCACACCCCUCCUCCAUGUGAGCAGUGCUCACAAGGGCCAUGUAACUGCAGUCGAGUGCCUGGAGGACACCAAAAAUAAAACUUGGGAGGAAUGCCGAGAGAUGUACCUGACCGGCGGCCAAGAUGGAAUUCUCCGAGCUUGGGAUUUCCGAACGCGAGGGCCUGUACACUCGGCGGUGCUGCAUAGAAAUGCAGUUACAAAAGGCGCUGUCAACAGCAUCGCUGUGUCUUAUACUGCCUGUGGAAGUGGACCAAUUGUUGUGACAGCUGGUGCAGACAACUCGAUGAAAGUCUUAGAGCCACGCAUGGGAUUCAAGGCCCUUCACACAAUCUGCACCCAUCGCGACUUCAUCUACAGUUUGUAUGUAGCUGGGCCAUUGGUGUGGAGUGGUAGCGGGGAUGGGUCAUUGUUGGUGCAUGAGCUGCUCACGGGCCAAUGCUUGUACGGUCUGGGGGCUGACUCCAAAGGUGCAGUGAGGUGUAUAUCUCUCGCUGGUCCUGACCGCCUUGUUGUAGCAGGGGACGAUGGAAAUGUGAUGAUAUACAAAGUCUCGAGCUGUGAUUCAAAGACAAUACUUCCCACAGAACACUUUCAAUCAUAAAUACAGCCAAAGCAUUCAUAAACUCGUGGAAUUUAGGCCCAUUAUCCCCUUGAGGUACUCUCGCAAAGGCCCCAAUUCAUGGCUCUAAGAUACUGCACAAGGUACCCACCAUCCUUUUAGGGGUAAUCACUUUAACUCCGAAAACUUCUGCAUCGUAAAAUUCGGAGUUCACACUGUUGAACCACAGUCUGGAAUUGAAUGAGGUAGACUCUAAAAGUGCCAAAAACAAAAUCCCAACCUGAAUUUUUUCUACCUAACACAGAGAUCAAUAUGCAAAGACUGCACACAGCAUCAUACACACACCCUCCAAAUGCUCACAGGUGAUGAUUCUUUAACUGUAGCAAGUUUGGUGAGUAUCUUGCUGAUUCAUGUAUACGAAAUCACCCUACCGUGAACCUAUGAACCUCUUAACAAACUAAUCAGACACGAGCUGGACAAUACGGUCGUGAAGAAUGCCUCCAUUAGACGCAAGAAUAGAGCCAGCAGUCAGUGGUAAAACGUUCCCAUUCAUGUCGGUCACUUUGCCUCCAGCUUCCUGCACAAUACAAAGCAUUUCGCUAAGGAGUGGAAAAUGUACACACACAUUCUGAAACAAGAGUAACAUGUCUAACCUCAAGAUGAAACGAUUAAUUUAUCAUCAACAAGAAACUCGUAACAUGUCUGACCUCCACGAUCAGUCUUGCAGCUGCGACAUCCCAAGGCUGCACAUUAUAUGAUAAAAACAAUAUCAGCAUCAGCUAUUGACAGCAGUAAUCUGGGCCAGCCAUAUACUACCAGCUCUCAAGACAGCCUUUCAUGCCGUUUAAUGACUUGAUACAGCUCUUGCUCAACAGUUAUUAGAGUCGGUAAACUCAUUUCUAAAAGAAAAAUCAAAUACCGGAUGCACAUCUAUUAAUUGCAGAAUGGACCACCUAAAUUGAAGUUUCAAAACUGUCCACCAAGUCCCCGACAUGGCAUGGUUGUUUAACCCAUACUCAGAAGUGAGGACUACAAAUAUUGGGCCAGUAAAGACAAGGGUACACGAAUGACCUUAAGAUUAUGCUCAAAAAAGCAACCUAUACGACCAGCUCCAACAUAGCUCAUAUGCAGUGCCUGAAAGAUGAUCGAUUCCAAUCAACGCACUUCAAUUUUAAGAAGAAAAUAGGGAGUACCACAAGCAACCCAAACUAACUCUCCUUAUCGUAUUACGCAAACUUCACUUUAACAAACAAACAAACAAACGAAUAAACGAAAGAAAAACAAACAAAGAAAAGAACGCUCUUUAAGAGAAGGAGCGGAGCGGAACACAUACAGCAGUUCCCAAUGCACGAACCGAGCGUGCAUUUGGUGCCACUUUUCCUAUGUCCUCCAGCAUCCGUAAUCGCCAUUCAGGCUGUCACAAACAUUGUCAAUUGAUACAACUUGAAAAUCUCGGAAGAUAAAGAUGCUCAUGAGUUAUUCGUGAAUACGAACGCACACACUCUGCAAGAAUACAAGACCCACAAACUACACAAGGGUAAGUUCAUCAGAUCUGGCUUAGUGUGACCUCGAACUGAAAAAUAAGGAAAUAAAAUACCAUACACAAGAAUUUUGAACAAGUACCUUAGAUGGAAAGCCUACAGACACAGUCGAAUCCUCCAAUUCUGUAUCAUGAGGCAAAACCUUUAUGGGCAUGCCAUUUAAAUAAGCCCCUGCCAAUAGGAAUGAAUGGAUUUCUUAGAAGUUGAUCUAGGGAAGAGAGGGGAAGAAGAAUUUUAUAUUUGUAAUCGAAGUUCUAAAAAAACUAUAAAAAUAAAAUAAAAUGCAACAGUUCACGUAGGAAUAGAGACCAUAGUAACAAACGUGAUGCUUUCUGCAUCUGACUCGUACAGUUACCAGACAAUACAUGGGCGGAUUAUAAGGAAAUAUGCCACAUACGUGUUUCGGUGGUGUCGAAGAGUUUGAAAAGAUCAAUCUAUCAGACUAUGAUCAGCUUAAAAAGGCUACAGAUGGAUUCUGAAACUAAGACUGAGAAUACUCUUGUAACCUUCCUAUAACUGCAUGCUCCAUGACCGUGGUCUCGUGGAAAUACCUUGACCUCUUCUAGCAUAAAACAACUCGUUGUUGAAGGGGUUGUAGACAACUCCUAUUUCCAUGUUCUGACCAAGAGCAACACCAAUCGAUACAACUGACAACGGCAUGCCUGCAACCUGCCACCAUCGCCAGAGCGAAUCUUAGUUCGAAAAGCACAAAGCUAGGGCGAUACUUGAACAAUCCCUGAAUCCCACUUUAAAGAGCGACCGAAACUUUUACUACUUCAAAGAACGGCAUGCAUCCGAAAGGAGCUUCUCGAUGUAAUCACUAAGAAACAAAACUUGCAAAAAAUGGUCAACACAAACAGGCUCGAUAAUUACUAAUCAUUCAGCAACACUUGGGCACAAGCUUGGGCACGAUAGCUUACAAAGUUAAGGGUGCCAUCUAUGGGAUCCACAAUCCAUGUCCAUUCAGAGUCUUUCAAACCGCUUCUCAGCCUUUCAAACUCCUGAUCUGUAAAAGUUUCCUCGCCAAGGUAGAAAUGAUUUGGAAAUUUCUCCUACACCCACAUUGUUCGCAUAAGGACAUUUCUCAAACCACCUGAUAAAGUAUUUCUAACUAAGGGCACAACACUAGGAUCCAGAUAAAGAGUAUGUAUCAUCCAGAAAAAAUUAAUUUACCCUAGAGAAGUAAAUUAGCUCCACAGAAAUUAAGACACAUUGGUUUAUCCCGAGAUUCAGCAAACAAAAUUACAACAAUACUAAGACUCAAGUAUUUUCAUUUAAUUAGACGGAACUAAUUCGCAUGCUUCGUACCUGCACUUGAGUCCGCAAGAAGUCCUCGCAGGCCUUGUCGACUUCGGUAACAAGAUCAAAACGCGACUCUUUCGUGUCAACCUGUAAGCCACAGAGAGAGGGAAAGCCGUCCCACAAUGGACAUUCCACACAUAAACCGUCUGCAGUCCAGCAAGGCCUGCACCAAAGCGCCUCCCUCCCUCUCUCUUACUCCAUGAUUCCUCAACUAGCCCAGAUGAUUGCACCAAUUGACUAGCGAAUUAACAGUCACCAGUUCUUUGGAUCGGAUGCGUGGUAAUUCAAUAGCCAGACUUAUAUUGCACAUAAAUCAAUCUGACUACCCUUUUCAUUCAAAUUUCCAACAAGGGCUCACUACACAUGCACAGUGCUCUGUUAUCCUCUAACCAUGUUCUAGUAAUUUAUAAGUCAGAAAAGCAAGAAGACGAGCAGGAGUUUCUGAAUUUCAAACCUGUAACGCAAGUCCAGACUUGUCCUUGAUCAUCGUACCUGCCUGCAAUUCAUUCAGUAAUUAAAGAAAUGGCCGUACAGUGCAUACUGUCGAGCCUGACCUCGUCUGGAGACGUCACGAAGAUAUAGAUUCUUGGAAUACCGAGUUAAAAUCCAAACAUAAACUUUAGAUUCAAUUAGCACUAAGUAAAUUCACAUAUUCUUCGAUGUCACAGAGGCAAUUCCAAAUUGGUUCAUCACCAGAAAUUACGAGAUGCACGACUCUUGCCACAAUCUCCAUUACAGUUUUCAAAGCCUCUUCAUUCUUACAAGCUAAGUUACAGGCUUUCAUUAAAAGGGAAAAAAAAAAAAUUGAAACAGAGAACCAGAAGUACACUACAAUGCAGGCAAUAUUCACAAAUCGUUCUCACAAGCCAGGGGCUCUCUAUGGCAUACCAUUCAUAUCCAACACCAGAUUCUAACAAGCAAUACAGGUCAAAAAUCAUUCCACUAACCACUAUCAUCCAGUCACAAAAAUAGACACACGGAAACAGGAUUCAGCUGUGAGCAAUUCCUGAAAACGAAACCCAUUGCAAAUUGCAACAUAAAUUCAGUUCUUUCGACACAUUAAUUCAAAAAGCAUCGAAAAGGAGAAAGUGAAAAAAUGAGUAGAUAACUGGAUUCAAUUCGCCAAAGUACCUUCAAUGCAAGGUCCAUAGCCAGAGAUUCGAUGGCAUUGCCUUCAUCCUGCACGCUCAAGCUCCGCACGCAAAGUCUCCUGAUGGAAUGCGUCUGGGAAUUCCAAAGUGCCGCAUGCCUGAGCUUGGGGCCACGCAGCGGCUGGAGCAGCGAGGUGGAGGGACUCCAAUUGGAGAAAACCCUAAGAAUGGACGCAGCCAUGACCACCCGUGCCCCGCAAUGCAACUCAAUCACCAGCAGUAGUUACCGAAGCAGCAACAACAACAACGGUUCCGCGACCCCAGAUUCACCAGUUAGCGACGAAGUCUGUUCGGAUCACACCUCUUGCAACGUCGAUGACAACAGUUCCACCUGGAAUCAGCAGCUUCUGGUCUCACCCUCUUGGUCUUUCCUUUCUAAAUCUGCUCCCACUCUUUUGUGCGCGGUUAGGCUUAAAUUUCCCCAUUUUUAUUCAUUACGAAAUGAGAGAUGAGUAUGUUCAUGUGUGUAUGAAUAUACAGAAGAGAGGUUAGAUAUAACACAAAGAGACAAAGAAGUGUUUUUUUUUUAAUUGACUGUGAAGAAGGGAACGUGAAGAAUGAAGGGAAUCAAUGAAUAUGAGAAUGAGGGAGCAUGGAUGAACAAGGAAAUAGAUGGAUGUGCCACAGAUUGUAAUGCUCCAUGGCAUGGGUUUUUGCUAGUUUAUAAUAUGUGUGGACAUAUAUAUAUAUAUAUAUAUAUAUAUAUUUUUUGACUAAUUGAUAGAUAAGAAAGCUUAGGCAUAAGAUAAAGAGACAAAUAAGCCUUCUAAUUAGGAGAAAUCAAAGAAAUUGUUAUUUAACAGAGAGCCAUGUACAACUUGCAAAAUGGCCUUUUAGUUUAUUACCUAUAAACAAAUUCUUUUUGCUAGUAUAUAUAUGUGUGUAUAUAUGUAUAUAUUCUCACAUUUUCAAGCACAUUACUUUGGAUUGAGAAUAAUUUGUUAAUUUAUAUAUAUAUAUAUAUAUAUAUAUAUGUGUGUGUGUGUGUGUGUGUGUGUGUUUAUAAUUUAUUAUUUAAAUUUUUAAAUGGUAUCAGUUUCAAUUUAUUUUUUUUAUAGUAAAUUUAAUAUUUUAAAAAAUUAAAAUUUUAAAAAAUUAAAAUUUUAAAAAUAAAAAUUAUAUAUUUUUGUUAAACUAUUUGAUUUUUUCUAUUGAAUAUUAUUUACUUAUCUAUAUAAUGUUAUUUAAAAAAUACACAUAUAUUAUUUAUAAAUAAUAAUUUAAUUCAUGUAUAUAUAUUUUUUAAUUUAUAAUUUAUAUGAAUUUUAGAUUUGUAAACAAACGGUAUUUAUGUUCCACAUUACAAAAUCAUUUCAAAUGCAUUAUAUUUAUGUAAUGUAAAAAUACUAUUGUACUUAUAGUAUUUUUUAAGUGAAUAAAGUACUUAAUUGUGAGUUGUGAUGCAAUAAAAGUUUAGUUGACCUGUAUACUUCAAAUCACUAAUUUAACUCUUUUGAGAUCUAAUUUGUAGCCACCCACAUCUAUAUUAUAAGACAUCUAAUAUUAUUUAUGAUGUGGAUUUCUUCUAUUCUAGAAUUGUUGUGCCAUGAUCUUUUUACAAAAAUCAACUUAGGACUUGGCCUAAGAGACCACAAAUAAAUAAAUAAGUUGUACUUAUCUUUGACUUGCAAUUUUGUAAAAAAUAUGUAUAAUUUAAAACUCAACUAACUUGCUCACAAAUUUUUUAAUAAUAGGGAGUUUCAAUCUUGUUGCAACUUGUAGUUUGAAGGAACUAAGUUCUAAAUUUUUAAUUAAAGAUAAUAUUUAGAAUCCUAAUUAAGUAUAAAAAUCAUUUGUAUUUUUUAUUUUUUUUAUUUAGAACUCUUAGAUUAUUAUGACUUUGAGUAGGUUUUUGUAAGUUUGUUAAAAGUAUUGACAGUGUAUCAUCAAAAAUGAGCACCAAAAUUUCUAUACUUUAUAUUUAGAUAUUAUUUUAUACACAAAUAUAAAAUAAAAUCUAUAUGAGAAUCUGUCACGGACAUAUAUAUUUACCUCAAUAGUUAUUCUCAUAAUAUUCUUGAAAUCUUCCAAUCUAUGAUAGUUUGAACCUUCUUGGAAUCCAUCAUAAGGCCUUCAUUGGAAAUGAUUUACCCUAAAAAUUCAACUUGAGUAGUGUGGAAUACACACUUUUCCAUCUUGGCAUAUAAUCUUGCAUCUCUAAAUUUCUGUAACACAUGACGAAUAUAAAACUCAUGUUCUUCUAUGUUUUUAGAGUAGAUUAGAAUGUCGUCUAAAUAGCAAACAACAAAAUUAUCUAAAAAUUCACAAAAAAUAUCAUUCAUAAGAUGUUGAAAAGCAGUCCAUGCAUUUGUGAGUCCAAAAGACAUGACAUUAUAUUCAAAAUGUCCAUACCUAGUUUGAAAAGCACUCUUCUAUUCAUCUCCUUCUUUGAUACGAACUAAGUUGUAUGUUCUUCAUAGAUCUAUUUUGGUAUAGAUCUUUGCUUGAUUGAGUUGGUUAAGAAGUCCUGAAAUCAAAGGCAAAGGAUAUCUAUUUUUGAUGGUAAUCUUGUUGAGUCCUCGAUAAUCCAUACACAUUCGCAGAGAUCCAUCUUUCUUCUUCACAAAUAAGAUAAGAGCCCCAGCUAGAGAUUUAGUAUGGUGUAUGAAGUUCUUUGCUAAAUUCAUCAAUGUAUUCCUUUAAUGCAGCUAUUUCAUUCUGUGAUAAGCUAUAGAUUGGUCCAAAUGGUGGUUGAGCUCAUUCUUGCAGAUCAAUUGAAUAAUCAUAAGGUCAAUGUUUGGGGAGAAUAUCUGCAUUCUUCUUUUCAAAAACGUCUUGGAAUUCUUGAUAUUUCUUAGGAAUAUUACUCGAUAUUGUUUCACUAUUAGAAAUGGGUGUAGCAUAUAUAGCAAAAGAUGAUCCUUCUUCUACAACAUGUAUAAAAGCUUUUGCACCUACUAGUAAAGGUUUGGACAUACUAAACUUAUGUACUUCUAUUUUUAUAUUCUCGAACUUUUCAUAGAGCUCCAUACACUAAUCCUGGCUAUUUUUCCUAUCUCCGCCAAAAAAUUCAAACAAUUCGGCCGCACGUAGACAGCUUUCAUUCCUACAAUGGCGCCAAUCGUGGCUCAGUGCGGCGCCGAAGAGUUGCUAUAUUGCUUUGUGCUUCGAUUAGACUUCCAAUCCUCGCAAACACAGAGAAUUCCAUUGAGGUCUAAAACGACGUUCAGCCACUUGUCAACCGCCCUGGACCUCAAUGGACGACCAAGGUCUUCCAACGGCCCCUCACUACGAACUGGAGGAUCGGAUACCUGCUAAGACAAACGGCCCACGAAGGAGCCAAUUAUGCCUUUCACUAACUACAAAUGACCGCGACGAUCCCGAAAUGCACCAUACAAUUACAUGCCAUAGACAAAGAAGCGCACCGUGGAAGACACACAUACCAGAGGAGCCUAGAACACGGGAUAAUGAAACACACCUUUUGCUUUGAAGAGGUGAAUGAUUCGGACCGACUGUCAGAGAUCACGGUCCGCGACUCAGGCAACGACUUGGCAGAAACAACGAAUGCCACCGAGGUGGGAUAAAACAACGGAGAGGGAGAAGCAGAAGGAGUUGACAAAGUUGCAAGGAUUUCAUCACCUGUGAUUCAAUGUAGAAGCAAAUGAGCCCCUCAAGUAUUUGAAACUCAUCGACUGAGUAAAAAUGUACAAAAUUCAUAUCAAAAGUAUUGAGCUCCCUGGUUGGUUCAAUUAGGAACUCCGUAUCAAAAACAAUUUGCCUAUUCAACUAUACUCUAGACGCACUAGCCAAUAACACAAAACACCUCGAGUCGAGCUAAAAAAAAUUGACAGCGAGUGAUUAUGUGUCAAAACUUGCAUUUGGAUCCGAAAAGGCUAAUUGAUCACUGCCAACCGCUAUCUCUAGAGUAUCGUCCUCUAGAUUUGUGGGGCGCUCCAUGGAAUGUGAUUCUACUGACGCUGCCUCCACUCUGGAAACUUCAUCGAAUGAAAAAUUGAUUGCCGGAGACGUCGGACUGUGUUGUUGAGAUGUAGUAGGAGCCACUUCGCCCGAGACAUUGACAGCACUUGAAUGCGGAAGAUUGGCGGCUUCCGCAUGUCCACUACUGGAUCCGCUCAUGACAGAUCGAGAUGGCGCAUUCCCAAGCAUCAGCGACGGAGGCUGGGAAGGAGGGGCAGGAAGGGCGUCUGGCAGUUGGGGAUUAAGCCUCACGAAUGCAGAGAGGAGAAGAUUUGUCUGCUGCUGCUGCUGCAGCAUCAUGCGGGAUGUGUCUUCGUGCAUCCUCCGGGACUCCUCGAACAAUCUCAUGCUCUCGGCACGAUCACGAUCUUGUCGAGCGUUGAUUUCUGCAAUCUGCUGCUCGUGCCUCUGCUGACUGUCUGCCAGAAUCGCCAAAAUGGACUCCAUGACGGUAGCCACAGAGUCCAUGUCCUUCCUCUUCCGCCCCCCAGAAGAUGACGCACCAGGAGUUCCACCGGAAGGUGGAUUAUCAGAUGCUUGUGUUGACUGCGGAAUAACCCGAGAUCGCCGCUCAGGUAGUGUGGCGUUGGGCUGAAUGGGAUCCAACUCUUGAAGGUCGUCGUCGUCGAUUUUGACCUUCUCGUCGACUUCCUUCUCCUCGUCUGGGUCAUAGUCGUGGUCGUCCCCUUUGUCGUCGUCUUCAUCAGAUAUAACGAGGACGUCAUCAACUGGUGUUGUCCUCCGCUUCUUUGAUGGAGAAGACUCGAAGCGGUCACUGAGCCGUGCUCCAACUCUUGACCGUGUGGGCGUGGUGGCCAUAGACUUGUAUAUCGCACUCACCUUGUAUCCAUUGGGAAGGAAGUCAUCUCUGUCGAGAGUGAGUGCUUUCCUAGAGAUCUCUUCCCACCGAUCCGACUCUCCGGUCCCUCCGACCGCAAAGACAUCCACGGAACUCAUCUGCAUGAAAUGGCACGCGGACAGCUUAGUGGAUAUGAAAAAAAGAAAUGAAUGUGAUUGAGAAGCAAAUCAGAUCGACUCGAGCUGAUUUAAAAGAAAACCAACUCGACUCGAGUUGAUUGAGAAGCAAAUCAGCUCGACUAGAGCUGAUUCAGAAGAAAAUCAGCUUGACUCCAGCUGAUUCAGAAGCAAAUCAACUCGACUCGAGCUCAUUGAGAAGAAAAUCAGCUCGACUCAAGCUGAUUGAAAAGCAAAUCAGAUCCACUCGAGCUCAUUGAGAAGCAAAUCAGCUCGACUCGAGCUGAUUGAGUACCUACUAUUGCCGCGCAAGUGAUCUUGCCUCCCCCCCAUAGUGAAAAAAUGGACCCCCCUGGACGGCAGAACUUCCGCACUAGCCAGAGAUAGAACUCCAUUCGUAGUUCGGUGUUGCAUACUCGAAACUCCAACUCGUUGUAGCCGUGAGGCUUGGUAAAUAUUGGUGUGUCGGGAGGAAGAAAUUCCGGUCGGAUCUCGACACAGUCAUGGGCGUCUACAUCUUGCAAGAAAGUGAGGAUCACCUUCCUUGGCGCUCGCCCAACUGAGGAAUCUCCAAGACGUUCAAACUUUGCAGGAAUGUAGUCUGCAAAGUCGAUGUGCAGGCCUUUGAAGGCCCCGUGCGAGUUGAUGAAGUCCAUUGUCUGCAGUCUAUGGCUCUCGCAGCCGGAUAUGAAGAGCCACCUCUUUCCAUCUGCGAAGUAUGGACUUCUAUUCUUCUCCAGAGCAGCAAGAACUUGAUGGAAAUAAGGGACGGUGUUUUGUUCUAUAAGAUCAUCCUCCACCCCCGGAAGCUCUCGGAGGUCGAUGAUUCCAAGCCCGAUAUCACGAGAGCUCUCGUUAUUCCAUGCGUUGUCUUUCCACUUAUUCAAGGUGUUCGUCUUCACAUCGUAAGUCUUGUAAUAGGCACACGCGUAUGGCACUUGGAACCCGUUCUUAUGAUUCAAGAAAACUUUCAAGAACUCUACUGCGGCCGGAGAAAUCUGCGCGCAGGUCUUGUUCUUGGACUUCAGUUGCUUCGCUUCAGCAAAGUAGGAUUCUCCAGGCCGCUCAAGGAGGACGUUUAUUGACGCACUCGUCAUAUUACGAGCCGUCUUGAACGCCUUUCAAUUCUCAUGAAUGAGGUUGCCCUCCGCGUUGAUUAAUUCCAAGCUUGGAUCUAUGUUGUCGAGCUCCUUCUUCACUAGCUGCUUCCUCUUCCUCCUCUCCACCCAGUCCUUCGUGCUAUAGCAGCUCUCAAGCACAGACGAGAUUGAUUUAAUCGUCACCUUUGGAUAGGGGAACUUUCGCUUCUCCCCAGAUUGGUUAAGAAGGUAUUUCGUGAGCCUCUCCAGAUCAUUCAGGCUCAGGUUGCCAAGCCACUUGAAGUACUCGCGGCUGAGCAUGCAACUCUCCUGCUUCUAGUUCUCUUUCUUGUUGAACUUCGCAGAGGUGUCGGGGUUGUAGAGCUCCCUGUGGGCAGCACUGGAAAUAACCUCACUCCAGAGGUUGUAGAUGGGCUCCGGGGCAGUGAUGAUCUUUAGCUCAUUGACUUGGGAAGGAUUCUCUGGGCAUCCCGUAUUCACCCAAACCGACCGUGCUCCGAGGAUGUUGGUCGCCCAUGACGGCUGUAUCAUCUGAAAGUGAUUGUUCCGAUUAUAGUAUGCUGAUAUGGACCUCAGUAUCUCCGGAUCGCUCGACCAUACAAUAAAGCAGCUCCAAACGCGGAAGUCGCUCUUCACAUCGUCAUCAACCACGUUACUCUCGUCGGUUAUGACCCUGCUGGCUGCAACACUGUGCUGCCCGUUGAUGACAAAAAACUCUCCGUCUUUGAUCUCCUCCCACGUUGUCGGCUUUGAGGUUCUGUUCGUGGGCAUUACGCAUAACGUUUGUCGGGCCUUUCGAUCGGGCAGGUUCAUGAGAUACACCACCAUUGCAUCAACGAGUUUGUCCUCUUUCGAUCGAAUGUUGAACUCCGUAGGUGCAUCAAUGAGUUUAUCUAUGGAGAUGCCCUUCUUUGUAUUGACCCCGAAGAUGUAUGCAUCUUCGCACUCUGACCAGAACUUCUUGUACACUGCGGUGAUGUGCUUGAAGUCGGGCUUACUCUGGGGUUCAUACGACGACGGAACGUCGGUCAUCGCAUCGGCAAGGGUCGGAUGUUCAACCUCCGACACCUGGGAGCUCCCCGAAGCCGCUCGACGAUCUCCAGAAGGCGCAAAGGGCUACUUCUCGUCGAUCCUCGCCCUGCAGAGCUGGACCGUGGCUUCGCUUUUCCCUGGCUGCUUGAAGGCGCAGGAGCUGCUGUAUCGACCGAAGCUUGACUUCCACCUAUUGCUUGAACUUCUCUCCGGACAGACCGCGGGGCAGCUAAUAGUUUCUGCGCCUCUAGUUUACCUAUGAUGACGGAGAAAUCUUGCAGAAGUGAAUUUAUCUUGGUGCAGAGCCGCUUGCCAAAAGCUGGGGACCCGUCCUUCUCGUUGUAGUCCCCCCUGUCGAUUUUUGCCUCGAGUUUCUUCACCUCUCCGCUGUAUUCAGUGGGCUCGAGGCUUUCGAGGAAGGGAGACAUUGUGAAGGGGAUCCGCUUCGAGGGUAUGAGAACUGUGAAGUAAUAUUCAUCUGUGGGAUCUAUCAAAACUCCGGUAGUUACGCACUUCACCAGGAUCAUGUCGCCGUCUAAGUACUCGACAUCCUUUACCCGCUCUGCUGUCGUGAACUUCAAGAAUGCUUGGCUUUUCUUGAAUUUGAACAAAAACUGGAUGUCAUGCGUGAAUGGAAUCAUAGCUAGACUCCAUGCCUCGAGCUCCUCUGGGUCAAAAAACUUCCACGAGGUUCCAUAAAUCAACCGCGGGUCGGUCUCGUCAUCGUCAUCGGCACGCCGGUCGAGCUUAUCCAAGUACAUGGACAAUGAUGCCUUGAUGUCCUCCAUCUGCAACAGACGUAGAAGCAAACAUGUCAGAUUAUGUCCCAUCGACUUAAUGACACAGUUACUCCAAUGAACCUUUUAAACUCUUUUUACUAUAUCAAAUGUAUUAUUGGACACAAGAACAAUAAUCUUAUAUAUGAAAUCAGAUCGACUCGAGCUGAUUUAUGGUUCUCGUAUUGCGUAGGGUGUUCUAUGUAGGCCAAUGUUAGUAUUUUGGAAAACAACGAUUACGAAUACGAAUUUAUGAUUUUAGUCAGGUUUUCCAAUUGUAUGAUUCAUCUUAAUGUGUUUUAAAUGCCGAAACAUGGAAAUCUACUAUAUAUUCUUCACGUCAAAUCAGAUCGACUCGAUCUGAUUCUUUGGUGUUAUGCGUAGUAAUUUUGUAAAGGAUUCUGUACCGGAGGAAAGAGUGAACUCGGGGUACAUGGAGUUUAUGUGUCAAUGAUGACGCUAGAAUUAUAAGUUUUCUACAUUAGAUUUAAUUAAAAUGGUGUCAUUUUUUAUGCUAAUAUUAUGGUUCAUUUUAUAUUCCUAUGUGAAUGUAGCAAUGGAUAUGCAUUCAGCAAUUUUUAAGAGAAGUUAACUUAAUUUGUUUGGAUUAUGACUAAUUAUUCUGGCCUCAAUAAUAUUUCGGUGCGUAAACUAAAUCAGAAUAUUUGAAGGGGAAUGUAGCUUCAUGCGAUUGAAUGAAUCAGCUCGAAUCGAGCUGAUCGUAUUCGAAGACUGAAUUCCUCCUUUUACGCGCUCAUUGAAAUGAAGCUCGUGGAUCAGCUCGAUUCGAGCUGAUAGUAUGUCGAAGCUAUCGUAAGAAUCAGCUCGAAUCGAGCUGAUGACAUGUCGGGGCUAUCGCAAGAUAUAGUUAGAGCUUAGCUAAUGGUAGGUCGAACGAUUGCAAGAUUCAGAGUUUGUGCAGCUGAUGGCUGGUAAGGGAGAUUGCAUGAAUCAGCUCGAGUCGAGCUGAUGGCAGGUAAGGGAGAUUGUAUGAAUCAGCUCGAGUCGAGCUGAUUGCAGGUAAGGGAGAUUGCAUGAAUCAGCUCGAGUUGAGCUGAUGGCAGGUCAAGGAGAUUGCAUGAAUCAGCUCGAGUCGAGCUGAUGGCAGGUCAGGGCAAUCGCACGAAUCAGCCCGAGUUGAGCUGAUCUUCGUCCACGUCAGAGUUUCUAUUGCCAUGUGUAUGGGAAUAAGAAACUCUUGAAUCAGCUCGGCUCGAAUAGAACGACACUGAUUUUGUAGAGAAUUACCUGUGGGAACUGGAUCUGCGAGAUACUGAUGACGUAAGGGCGCAACUGUGAUUCCUCAUGCGAUGUGCGCCCGGCCGCGGACGUGCUCCUGUUCUGCCCUAUUUGUUAUCGUACGAAUACAAAAACCGCGCACCGUGACACUACAGAUCCAAGACGACACCAGGCAGUAAAGGAGAUCAAUUUCACAACCAAUAAAUGAAAUGCAAUGUCAAACACAAAUGUGAUUGAAAACGAAGAGGAAGAGACCCAAGAAUUCGACACCGUAGAUAAAUACAAGUCGGCACUUACAGGAACGUAGGCAGCGUCACGCACAGGGAAAUCAAAACAGCUCUCUGUGGCGUCAAAAGCUCCUGCCCUCGUCACUUGGGAUUGACAAUGCAAUAAAAUAGCUGGAACAGCAAAGGAGAAGUGAGGAACAGCAAACAAGAAGUGAGAAACAGCAAAGCAGAGGAGAGAAGCGAGGGUCACGACAACGUGACGAAGCACAGAGAAAAUGCGCUAGGAGCGAUGUGCGCAACAAAAAAGAUAAAGAGGAGAAAUUUGUGGGCGGUAAUGUUGUUUAACCCCCACCCUGAGCAUAUGCUUUCACGUGCCCUGGCCGUGUUCCCUUGCGUGAUUUCGGCGGGAACUCGUCGGGAGCUUCGACGUCGUUUUCACGAGAACUCAUCGGGAACUGCUGGGGAACAGGAUGGGAAAUGUUGGAGAGAAACGACGUUCUUUUCUAUAAAAUCUCAGUUUCAAAUCAUUCCUAUAAUGUGUGUACAGAAAGUAUAUAAUGACCGUUUUCUGACAUUUCACAGCAAAAUCCAAAUGAUUGAAAACAAAACAUGCCUUUAAAUAAAACCAAUUCUUCACACUAGCAGGUCGAACUAAUACAAUCAGUGGAUUGCAUUUGGUUGUAUAUGUAAAGUUUUUUAAAAAGGAUAAUUUUAAUUUACAUGAUUAUUUUAAAUUUUCCAACCUUUUUCAUCUACUCCAAUUUCUUAAUCAAAAAACCAUUCAUGUCAUUGCAAAUACUACCUUUUCUUCCAUUUCAUUCUCAAGACUUGAAUCAAUGUGAAUAAAAAAAUACUAAUUAAUCACUCAAGUAUCACAUUCAAGACAUUCAUUCAUUUUGAAUGUCUAAUGAAUAGUUUACUUUUAGUACAUGAAUAAAAUAAGGAAUUUUGAAGUUCCCAAAUCAAAUGUGACUAAUGUGACUAAUGUGACUAACCCCAUGACAACGGAUUACUUAUACUACUCACAUUAACCUACAAACUUCAAAAUUCCAUAAUAUAUUCAUAUCAUGUUUAUAAAUUAUCCUUUAUUAUUUUCAAUUAUCCUUUCUUUUUAUAAAUUAAUCUCAAGUCGAGGAUAACUUUUCCAUCUAUAAUAAAAAUUUCAAUUAAAAAUAUAAGAUCAAUCAAAAAAUCAAUUACAGAUAUAAGAUCAGUAUUAAAUUAAGACUAUGAAAAGACUCAAUUUAACGAAUGUUGAUAUUAUUGACAUGCGCAAUAAUUUAUACAAGAUAUGCAUAAUACGAGGACUAUUACUUAAUAUAUUUUAUUUUAGUUUUUCUUUUACCACAUAAUUGUAUAAAUAUAGUCAAUGCUAUGUAUUUAAGAUGAUUACAUAUCGAUACAUAAAAUAUCUGAAUCAUAUUUACUUUUAGAGGUAUGCACACAUUUGCAAUGAAGGAUUAAACGAACAAGUAAUUCACUUGUCCUUCUUUCAUAUAAUCAUUUUAUCACUUAUCAAAGAAUAAAAUGUCAUAGCAAGAUAAUUGAUAUAUGAAGUAGCAUACAAAAUUGAACUUGAAAUAUGAACGUUUUAGAAAUCCGCAUCCCACAUCCCGAUUGAGUCCUGUCAGCAUCAAUUCUCCACGGAGUCCUGCCCUGCAGCCCCAUACCCUCGACACCCAAGUAUCGAACCGUGUCUGGAUCCUUGGCGUUGCCCCUGUCUAUUGUGAUGGACGGUUCAGAUCUGCUGUGGAGGAUCGACGGUGCAUAACGUCGUGCCCAGGGUAGGUGGGCUGCGUUGACUGCAUUCCCGCAGAGUCAGUUCUGCCGAUGUCAAUCCUGUGUUUUGCAUUCCUCUUUGCUCGCACACUAGCUAUGUUCUUCGAUUUGGCGGCUUAGUCGACCUCCAGUGUCCAAGUGGUAUGCCCUCCGAAUGUCCCUUCGUUUGUCUACUUACGAUUGAUAACGCAUGAGCGCUAGAAUUAAUUUUGCUCUCAUUCUCUGUACUUGCAAUUUCCAAUUUUUAGGUGAGCUUCCAUGUCUGAAUUGAAGCGGGUUCCGAUGUUGCCCAUUGUGUUGGUUUUCUUCUUAUGUUUUGUACGUCUUCAUGUCCAGCCGUUUGGGCUGUUGCGGUCAUCCCCCAGCAAGAGUAAUGUAUGGAUUAGUCUUCUCUUUGUGCUCUCGUUUAUUACAUUUUUGGCGAGUGAGGUCCUGCAAUGACCUAAUGAUGCGGAGGGGCAUUUUUUUUCAAUAUAGUACUGUUCAUCCAGAAUUCGGUACAAUCUUGUCCUGCUACAGUAACACGUACCCAUACAAUUCCACAAUAGUGCAGAUGACUUGCUUUAUAACUAUGUCUCUCUGAUAAUUUAUAAUAUGUGCUAUGGAAAUCAGCUCGACUCGAGCUGAUUUUCUGAAAGGUCCAAUACGUCCUCGUUGUUCAAAACUAUUGUCAAGAAUCAGUUGGAAUAGAGCUGAUUUUAUGAAAGGUCCACUGCGUCAUUGUUAUUGAAUACAAUCACCUAAAAUCAGCUCGAGUCGAGCUGAUUCUCUGAGACGUCCAGUAAGUCUUCAUUCAAAGGUAUUAAUGUCAACAAUCAGCUCGAGUCGAGCUGAUUCUCUGAGAGGUGUAUUACAUCGUCGAUAUUGAAAACAAACGUUCAGAAUCAGAUCGAGUCGAGCUGAUUCUAUGAGAGGUCCAGAAUUUUUGAUUGGUCCAAUACGUCCUUGUUAUUGAAAACUGUUGUCUAGAAUCAGCUCGAGUCGAGCUGAUUCUCUGAGACGUCGAGUGCGUCUUUAUUUAAUAGUAUUAAGGUCAAGAAUCAGCUCGAGUCGAGCUGAUUCUUUGAGAGGUAAUUUACGUCCUCGGUACAAAAAAUAAUUGUUCAGAAUCAGAUCGAGCCGAGCUGAUUCUUUGAGAGGUAAUUUACGUCCUCGGUACAAAAAAUAAUUGUUCAGAAUCAGAUCGAGCCGAGCUGAUUCUUUAAGAGGUCCUUAUUUUUUGAAAGGUCCCAUGCGUCCUUGUUAUUAAAUUUUUUUGUAUAGAAUGAGCUCAAGUUGAGAUGAUUCUAUGAAUGGUCCAGUUCGUCAUUUUUAUUGUUUUCAAAAAUCUAAAAUCAGCUCGAGUCAAGCUGAUUCUCUGAGACUUCCAUUACGUCUUCAUUCAAAAGUAUUAAUGUCAACAAUCAGCUCGAGUCGAGCUGAUUCUGUGAGAGGUGUAUUACGUCGUCGAUACUGAAAACAAACGUUUAGAAUCAGAUCGAGUCGAGCUGAUUCUCUAAGAGGUCCAGAACAUCCUCGUUAAAGAAAACUAAUAGCUAGAAUCAGCUUCAUUCGAGCUGAUUCAAUGACAGGUCCAGUUCGUCCUCGUUAUUGAAGACCAGUAUCCAGAAUCAAGUCGAAUCGAGCUGAUUCUAUGUGAGGUCCAGUUCUUCCUCCUUUAAAUAACUGACAAUCUGAAUCAGCUCGAGUCGAGCUGAUUUUCUGAGUACUCUAUUACGCCCUCGUAUUAGAGAACCAAUGUCCAUAAUCAACUUCAGUUGAGCUGGUUCAAUUAGACGUCGGGUACGUCCUUGUGAGUGAAUUCUAACAUCCAUUAUCAGCUCGACUCGAGCUGAUGUACGUAUCACAUAUUCUUAUCAGUGCGGAGAUGUGCGCUGCCAUUCGAAAAUUGGCAUUCACUGAAAUGUGGUUCAUCGUUUUGCUUUGUAUAAUUUUUUCUCAUCCAUAUAUGUUCGCUAAUCAGAUCCACUCGAUCUAAUAAGUAUGAAUACUGCCUCUUGUGUCUGGAUGUUGGCGUAAGGUUUCUUUCAUCGUUUUGAUGAAGUGGUUGUUUUUGUCCAGAGGACUCGUAAACGCUUUGAAAUAUAAAGUGUACAUGGCUCAUUCAUCAGGGGAUGAUUUUGAGGACGCUGAAUCCAUCAGUCCUGCAGUUCCCGAGUGCGAAGGACUUCCUCGGCGUCUGUGGAUUACGAAGUGUGUGACCCUCUAUAAUGCACAUGGAAAAUUGGUAGGCGAGGGUACAUGCCAUAGUGUUAAUUCUGAUCUUGUGCUCUGCGCUAAUGGUCCUCUUGAUGGCACUCAGGUCGCAGUCCACAUUUGCAAAACUCAUUCCCAAGAUGACAUCCCCCAAGAUCUUGUGUACGCACUUGUGGCAUGGCCUACAAAGCUAGUCCAUUGCCAUGGUGCUAGUCUCCACGACCACGAGGCUAAGGAUAACUUCAAUCAAUUGCACGCAGCUCGAACAAACUCGGUGCUCUCAAAGUCCAAAAGGCCAUAUAUGAAUGGUAUCCGAAAUCCCUCUCAAGAGUCACCUCUAAAGUACAAAAAACUCCUCAGCGAAGAGUCUAUCAACUUGGUGUCAAGUAAAGUGUGCUGUAUGAGGAACUGCGUGCAGCCUUUUUCAAGAGAGAAGAUUAAAUCAUUCCGCGAGCAAAUGUAUAAUGGAUCUACAUUCCAGUUCAGAGCCCAUAUGAAGUUAGAUGUGCAUAGGGCGGUUCACAGAGAUGCAAGCGGGCGGAAGAUGGUGACAGUGGAGGGGAUCACCGUGUGCUUGCGUGCAUAGAUGCAUAUUUCUGGGGUAUCAGAAGCAACAUUCUACCGCUACCAAGCAUAUGUAAAAGCUAAUCGGGAGGCGAGGGACCAUGGCAACACUGGAUUACCGAAGCCAAGGAAGCACACUGAACAAGCGACAGCUACGUUGAAGUGUAUCCUUGAGAAGGAGGCAGAUCACAUGCCACAUCGUACUCGCAGUACAAAAUCUGGGAAGAAGAUGGUUUCAAUGAUUCUCCCAGCUACCUUUCAAUGGAAAGAUCAAAUUCCAAAAAUCAAUGAAGUUAAUACUGCUUUUGGAUUGAGGGAGGUCUCUUCUUCAAACUUGAGCAAGAUCAGAGCAUCUAGGUUUCCAGAAUUCGAUGUCAAAAGACCCGGAGAUAAUUUUGCACAAUGUGGUACCUGCGACAAGUACAAAGAGCUAACGAAGGGUGCCAUUGGAGGAUCUGAACAGGCUAUGAAGUGGACGAGGAAGUUGGAGAAACAUCUUGGUAUUGCUCGUGCUCAUAGGGAGUACUAUUAUGCUAAGCGAUACUACUCGCAAACUUAUCCCGAUGAGUGCGUGACAAUCAUGCAUGACAAGAUGGAUCAUGCCAAAACUGCAUCUCCGGUAUUUUCACAUAAGAACAAAGAAUUGGAUGCUUUGGUGAAGCUACAUGUAUCUGUGACAGGUAUGAUUGCUCAUGGACACGGUGACGUGCAUUAUGCUCAUUAUGGAUUGGAUAUCUUUUCCCAUGAUUCAAAUUAUACUAUUGGAUCGAUGACAAAGUUGUUGCGUGAUUUGGAGGAACCUCCAAAAUCAUCUUCCUGAGAAUUAUUUUUGGGCUCUGGAUCCACAGCUCUAUUUCGUAGCAUUCUCAAGGGUGCGGAGAUGUGCAAAACAUCACUAGAUCCACAACCUGAGAGAUUAGUAGGAGCAACACCGUUGCCACCCAUUUCGAAUGUGCAAAUGGAUAAUGCCACAGGGGAGAACAAAAAUAGAUAUGUUUUUGCUUUUUGGUCCCUACUUGUGGCAAAGCGGAUCUUUCGUGAAGUGUAUGUAAAUUUCAUGAUAGUAGGACAUACACAUGACGAAAUCGACGCCUUAUUUGGAAGAUGGAGCAUGCUUCUGAAGAAAGAGAACUUCCCUACUAUCCCUGCACUUAUGAAGUCGUUCAUGGACGUGGAAUCUAUUCCCACUAUCCCUCAUCUUAUCGAGGAGGUGCCGGAUUUUAAAAAUUUUAUACUUGGAUCUAUUUUAGACAAAAGUGAAGUUCUUGUAGGUCACACAAAACCACAAUAAGUCAAAUUUUACUUGGAUGCAACAAGGUGUCCAAAAAUGAAAUACAAAUUGUUUUGUACCGAUGUAGAGUGGCUAGGAGAGGAAGGAGCAGGCAUUAAAAUUUGGAAAGAGGAUGCACAGGGAUGUAGUUUGUGGCCUCGUGGUGAGCCAUCGCCUGUUCCACAACGUACAAUGAGAGGUGUGGAGGAUAUUGAGAAAGGAAUAUCAGGGUUCGUGAAAUAUUGGGAGGAUUUGUGCAAUGUUGAUGUCACUAGAGAGUAUCGAAGACGGUAUGAGCAUUUGGUGGUGUAUUGGCGUAACGUGAAGGAUGCAUUGCAUGAACCAAUCAUUCCUUGUAAUAUCAUGAGAGAAGGUUUUUGGCCAAUUACCCGUAUGAGAGACAAUCUUGCAGAUCAAUUAUCAGAUGAUGGCGAGGAUCAUGAGGAAUUUGGAGAAGAUGAUCCAUAUGUUGGUCCUCUGAGAGGUCGCACACAACCAUCUUUUCGGGUAGGUCGAGAUGUUCGAGAAGGAUAUUUUGUUGCAAUUCGACCUGCAGAAGGUGAAAUACAACCAGUGUGGAUAGCUAGGGCUUUGUCGAACCCAGAUUGUAAUCCUGAGAAGCCAAAUUGCAUUCUCAUUCAGUAUUUUCAUCCGACCUUAAGAAGUGUGGAUGUACAACAGUUCUAUACAUGUUGGGAUAGCGAGAGAGGUUUGCAUUGGAAGAUCGAAGAGAAUGAACCUCCUAUUUGGGAAGAAACGAAUGCUCUUAUGACAGCGUGGUCACCACGAAUCAGAAAGGAUACAAGUGAAUGCGUGAUCAAAAUUCCGGCUCCACAAAUUGAAAUAAUCAAGCAGAGUCUUGCAUCGUAUAUUAAAAAUGUAUGAAUGAAAUAUACAAAUUUGUCAUUGUGAUUUGAAUAUUCAUAUUUUGGUAACAUAGUUUUUAAAAUUUUAUAGUAUUGUAACAAAGGUAGUAGAACUCGUAGUGUAUAAUAAGUGGUUUUAGUUUGAUUUAGUUUUAUAGAUAACUAUUGUAGAUAUUCCUUAACUAUAGUUUUAUAUGUACACAAAAAUUACUUGUAUAAAGUUAUAUCAAAAUAUUUGAUUAAGUUAGAGCAUUGUUAUUUUCAAUCACAUCUGUAUUUGACACCUUGCAAAACAAUAAAUACUCUCAUUUUAAAGGAAAUUACUUAUCACAAGUACUGAAUUGCUACCUCAUUGACCUUAUUUGACUAUACAUAUAAUCCAAUUUUUGUUACUUCUAUUUGAUUGUUUUAUUUUGAGAGACACCAAACCUCUCAAAAUAAUGAAUAUUGUGUUCUUUCUAGUCUUAGUCUUGUUUCAAGACUUUCUAAUCUUCUUGUUUUUGGCAAUAGUCAUUCUAGUUAAUAUUACAUCACUUUUUUGAGUGACUUUUUAGUUCUCUUCAGUGAUAGAAGAAUGUAUUGAGGAUUCUCUUUCUUUGAGAUUCAUGUCCUUGAUAGAAUCUUUCUACAUAAGCAUAUAUUGAUUUAUUUUCAGAUGUUUUAUUUCUUUAUGUUAAUUGUUACAAAUGCCACAUAAAAAUUAUGUAAAAAAAACCAAUUUUUAAUAUUAAUUCAAAUUUUUUUACAUUCUUAUAAUUGAAAUCUUUUUAUGACAAAACAAUUAAUAUAAACUUAUGUGUAUAUCUAUCAUAACAACUAUACUUAUAUUUUGUUUAUUUUUAAAAUAAAUUAUUGCUAAAAUUCUUUGACACUUACAUAUAGAGAACUACUACAAAGUAUUUUUGAAUGAUAUAAAAUAUAAAUAAUUAAAUAUUUCUAUUUGACCUACAAUUUUUAGAAUCUUCAAAUAAAUUAGAAAAUUUCUAAAGUAAUACCACCAUUAAAGUCUUCAAAAUUCAUCUUUUUAUUUUUUGUAAAUUCUAUAUAUAAGUGAUCUUAACAUAUUAAAUAAUUUUACACUUACAUUAAAAAACAAAGAUUAUUCUAAAAGUGCAAAGAUAUUAUAGAAUAAAUAGAUUAAUUUUAGAUUUUUUAUUAAUCAUAUAUAUAAGAGGUUAAAUUUAAUUAAAUUAAAUUAAAAUAUGAAUUUAUGUCCAAAUAUAUGUAUAUAUUACAAAUAAAUUAUAUUGAUUCUACAAAAAAUAAUAAAUAAAUAAAUAAAAUGCAUGUAAUUAAUUUAUGUAGAUAAAUAAAACAUAAAAUUACAAUUAAACACGAGCAAUCAAAAUAAAACAGAUUGUCUUCAAAUCAAAUAAUAAUUAAAACUUAAAAAUAGUCCUUCCAUAUUUUAAUUUUUAAUAUUAUUUUAGAAUCUUUACAUAAAAUUAAAAAUCUUCACUCUAUUUUUUUUUUGAAGUAUUUGUAUAAAAUAUAUAUAUAUAUAUAUAUAUAUAUAUAUAUAUAAGUUUAUAUUUAAAAUUAUCUAAUCAUUUAAUUUACAUCUUCUUCAACAAAAACACACAAGUCCAAUGACACAUCAAAAACACCUGUUGAAAAUAUAAUGUUUAAUGUUGACUAUAUAUAUAUAUAUAUAUAUAUAUUCUCUGCAAUUUGUAAUUUGUACUUGUACAUAAGGUCUAACUAGAUUCAAACGCAGUAAAAAUUUAAUAAAAUUCAUAUAAAACUCUCAAUUUUAUGUAGUACCUUUUUAUUUUUGGAAUGGCUUGCCAAAAACAUUUGUGUGUAGUAUUUUAAUAAUAAACGAUUUAAAACAAAUCUAAAUGUAUUUAUAUUUCUGAAUAAGAACAUGAAUAUAUUAUUAAAAAUAUUCAUGUUCUUAUUCAGAAAUAUAAAUAUAUUUAGAUUUGCCAAGAAGUAAAUUAUGAUAAUCUAUUGAUCAAUAACAAGUCACUUGGAAGCAAAACAAAACUUUGAAGAUGAGCUGAAGCCAAUUAAAUGUGGCUUAUUUCCUCCAAUGUUUUUACAUGUCAAAUUCAAUAACAGUUAAAUAAUUUUUAGGCACACAAUAAUCAUAUAUGCAUGUCAUAAUUUUACAGAUACAUGAUAUAUUGUACCUAUAUAAAAAAAACUACAUCCUUGUGAGAACAUGUUAUUUUGAACUGCCAAUUUCCAGUUAUGGCUUUGGAAUUAGCUGCCAAUUCAGUUGUGUGCCAAGGCCCCUCAUUAAUGUAUUAAGACAAAUAUGUUUGGAUUGUUGGCUCCUUGUCACAAUAAAUGUCAUUUUUAUGGUAGGAUGCAGAAGGAAAGAUUGGAAAUAAAAGGGUGGUCACAAAAAUGGAUUUGAACAAUUUUUGCCUUUAGGGAUUUUAAUUAAAAAAAUAUGCACAUGACUAAUCAAAUUUAUGAUGUGUUUAUAAAAAAGCAUCAAAAUAAUGUUGCUAAAAGCCUCUUUUUAUAAUAAUAAUUAUCCAAAUAUAUACAUGUACAUGUGUUUGUAUUGAUAAAACAUAAACAGAGAAUUGUAAUGUUAAAAUAUUUCAUGAUAUUGUAAUAUAUUGUAAUAGUGAAACCCAAAUAAUCAAUGAACAUGAUUACUUUUUAAAUAUUUUUGUUAAAAUAUUAUUUUAUUUAGUUUUUUAUAUUUACAAAACGAAAUAGUGUGUUUAAAAUACAAGCUGCUAGAUUUAUUUAUUUAUUUAUUUAUUUAUUUUUAUCUGUAAUAAAUAAAUAAAUCAUGCAUGUAACUUGUGUUUGUAUGUGUAUGUAUAUGUAUAUAUAUAUAUAUAUAUAUAUAUAAUUAUGAAUUUUGGUUGAGGAUUUUUUAAAUUUAUUUUUAAAAUUAAUUAAAUAAAAUUUCAGUUUUGAAAUUUCAAUGGAAAAUUUUUGUGAAAACUUUCCUGACGUCUGCUCUUGGUACAAUAGUACGCUCUUGUGAUUUGAAGAUUACUGUUUCAGCAAUAUUUCCUAAUGAAGAUCUAAGCCUAAAGAGGUUCGAAUCCCGAAUUCCAAGUCAGGACUUGGGAAACAGCCCGGGGAAGAUCCCCCCCGCCUCUACACAGCCGAAGGGGACAGAGGUCUUCAUGGGGUCUUGGUUAAGUCUUCAUCCUCGGUGUGCUUGAACGGAGCUCUUGUGCACAGUGCUGUUUUAGAGUGUGAUUUUGUGUGUGCGCGUGUGUGAGAGAGAGGAAGCGAUUAGGGUUUUGAGGGCGGGGUUCUGUUUUUCGGAGGCGCUUCCUCAUCUCCGACGACCUCGAGGUAACGCACAAGCACGAGACAACAGUUUUGAACUUAGGGGAACGAGGGAGAUGGCGCGUUACGACAGAGCGAUCACUGUCUUCUCACCUGAUGGACAUCUAUUCCAAGUUGAAUAUGCACUAGAGGCUGUCAGAAAGGGGAACGCAGCAGUCGGAGUGCGUGGUACCGACACGAUUGUCUUGGGCGUGGAGAAGAAGUCCACAGCCAAGUUACAAGAUGCUCGGUAAUACUAUUUGCUUUGCUAUGCUUUCUUCCUGGAGUCGGAUCGUUUUGGGUGUAUUGAUAUGUCUCAGACAAUCGAAGUAUUGAUUUAGGGUUUGGAGCUACAUCUCGGUCGUAAUUCGUCGGAUUUGCUCAAAUUGGUUCGGCAUGGUGUAGGGUGAUUUGAUUUCGGAUGGACUAUCUAUUGGUUCAAGAGGAUCUUCUGUUCAGUUGGUGGGGUUGUGACGUUUUCUGGCUGGAUUAAAGAGUUAGUUUUGUUUUUCCAUUGAUGUCAGUGAGCAUAUACGGUGUAGGGUUUGAAAAGGUUAUGCGAUAGCGGUGGAGUGAUGGGUUCGGGACUUUGCAAGGAUGAUUUUUCAGCGUUUGGCUUUAGAUGUCGUUAGCAGUAUCCUUCAACGCUGAGGAAUGGAUGCAUGUUUUAAUUUGAGGAACUGAUUUAUAUGAAUUUUGAUCUGUUUGCAGUACCGUCCGGAAGAUUCUGAAGCUAGACGAGCAUGUAUCCCUUGCCUUCGCUGGCUUGACUGCUGACGCACGCGUGCUCGUCAAUCGUGCUCGAAUUGAAUGCCAAAGUCAUCGUCUUACAGUAGAAGAUCCUGUGACGGUGGAAUACAUCACUCGCUUUAUUGCUGGCUUGCAGCAGAAGUACACUCAGAGUGGUGGAGUGCGUCCUUUCGGUAUCUCUACAUUGAUUGUAGGAUUCGACCCUUACACAGGGGUACCUUCCCUUUACCAGACCGAUCCCUCUGGAACCUUCUCAGCUUGGAAAGCCAAUGCUACAGGUCGUAACUCAAAUUCAGUGCGUGAGUUUCUGGAGAAGAAUUAUACUGAGACCUCAGGUGCCGAGACAGUCAAGCUGGCUGUGCGAGCGCUUCUAGAGGUAAGUGCCAAUCUUUAUGUUCGUUGUUGGUCAUGUUUUCUACUUUUUUAAAGUCUCAUCCCUACACGGAAAACUGAAGGUUGCAAUAGGUACUGAUGGUCAUAAUAGUUUUUUUCGUUCAUUACAAAACUUAAGAAACUCACUUCGUGGCUGCAUUGCGACAGGUGGUAGAGAGCGGUGGGAAAAACAUUGAAAUUGCAGUAAUGACCAAGAAUGAAGGUUUAAGGUUGCUAGAUGAGGCAGAAGUUGAGGGGAUUGUUGCUGCGAUUGAAGCUGAGAAGGCUGCUGCCGAAGCAGCGAAAAAGGGUCCUCCUCGUGAUCAGUAGGCAUUGAUAUUAGUUCAUUGGCCAUGGCGACAGGGUUAUACCUCAAGGUGACAACAGGUGACAGUGGUCAGUUUUCAAGCACCAUUGUCGCUUUAUGUAAACUUGUAAAGCAUGCUACCAUUACCAAUUCAGCGUUAUCUUUAGAUUGGUUUUUGAAUUUUGCAAAAUUCUACUUGUUGUUUAAUGGGUGUGAUGUGCUCUGUACAUCAUAGGACGGUCAGAUUAUGAAGAUCUCAUUUAUGAUGAAUUGAAUUUGCUAAAAUCCAUAUAACUAGCUAUAUAAAAAUAGGAUCCGCUUGACUUGAAUCCAGUGGGUGAAAAAUAGUCUUGAACUGGCUGGAUAUUCACGGGCCCUUAGCCUUGAAUGUACUCGCUCCUAGAGUGAUUGGAGUGAGACGCACAUGUUAGUUCUUUUCCUGAGUCAAAUUGAACUAUCACUUUGGUAUUUAUUAAGUAUAGACCGAAUUUCCUGGUCUUCUGUGGAUAAUGAAAUUUGAAACUUAAGGUUCCCACUCAUUUAAUGUGGGAUAUGGUGGUUUUCAAAACAUCCUCGUUUUUUCUUCCGAAUAGGUUAUCCUUAUUCAAUAAUUUGUUGAUUUCUGAUGUCUUCAAAUUGAUGAGUUUUGUGACAGUAUACACCGUCGAAUACACUGGAACGUAAAUUGUAUUUGCAACAAACAAAGAUCUUAACAAUUCUAAUAAAAUUCUAAACAAAUCUUAACAAUUAUAACAAAACCUUAAUAAAAUUUUAAAGGAUCUUUAAAAAUUCCUAAAAUGAAUCAUUAGAUAAUUUUAAAAAAAAUUAAAGAAAUUAUAAAGGAUAUUAAAAAAAAUCCGAAAGAAAUCCUAAAUAAUUCAUAAAGCAAUCAUAGAGAUUUCUUUAUAAAACAAAUCUUAAAAAAAUUGUAAAGAAUCCUUAAAGAAAUCCUAAAAGAAAUUCUAAAGAUGUUACAAAAAAAUCUUAAAGAAUUCCUAAGCAAACCUUAAAAAUGUCUUAAUCCAACCCUAAAUAAAUCCUAAUAAUCCUAAUACAAUUCUAAAAAAAUUCUAGUCAAACUCUAAUUGAAACCUAAACAAUCCUAACAAAUUCUAGGGCAAUCUUAAAACCUUAAUAAUUCUUGAUUAAAAUGUUGAUCAUUCUUAAAUUUUUAUGCACAUUACAAUCUAAUGGUUAAAAAUAAGCACAACAAAUUAAAAAAGAAUCCAAAUUACCAACAGAAAGUAAAAAAAUCCUUAAUUGCUUGUAUAUUAGCCAUCUCCCUUUUCCAACCUUGAUGUUGAUCUUCUAGCAGCAAUAACUGCUUGUUGAACAAUUCACUUGCACUCAAAAUAAGAUUUUUUUAAAAAAAACUAAGAUUAUAUCACUUCUUCAGAAAAAUUUGCUUCAACCCAAUUGGUAGAUUGCUUAAGAUUAAAGAAACCCUUAUUUAUCCUUGAAAUCCAAAUUUCAAAACCUAACCCAGUUGGAUUUAAUAGUCUUUUAUCUAACCAUUAGAACAAAUUCACAGAAAAGAAAAAUUCAAAACAAGUAGAUGCACAAGCCCGGAACAGCCGUAAGUGCACAGUUUGUAGCCUAUGCGAAGUCUGGAUUUGACCAUGGUUAACAUCGAAGAAGUAGUAGGGCUUGCAGCAUAAUUUUCUUGACGUCCAAACCAAGAGCACACAAUUGGGGAAGUGUUACAGUCGCCGCCGACCCAUUCAUGCAUAGCCUGUGAUAGAAUUAUAGUCAUGUUACUGACACUCGGAAACAACUGCUGUUCAUGCACAAUUUAUAGCCUACACUAGCCUGCUCCUUACAUUGGAUCUUUUCGUUGGUUGUCGGAGAGCCAGUUCUUCACGCUCCUCAACAACUACUACACCAUUAGAAGUCUUGCAGCUGAGGCCUGCAGUUGAAUGUGAGUAAUGGACAUAGCACGCUACUUCGAAGGUUUUCGAAUAAAGGACAAUACAUUCACAAAGAAGAUCUGCACGAGACAAUAUGCAUCUAAGAAAUGAUCUAUGAUUCGAAUCUACUCUUACUUUACAUGGCAAUACUGUCCUCAAGCUACAGUAAUUGUGCAAAUUGAAGUCGUGAAGUAACCUUACAAAUUCUGAAGCAACUGGAGACAUUGAAAACUUUUGAGAAAGGUAUGGUUGGGAUGGGUACGUCCAUCGCCCUUCGCAUGAAGCCUUAAACUAAUGCUCAGAUGAUGAAGACCUCAAACUUGCUCGUUUUCUUCCUGAACUUCCCAAAUCCAUAUGCAUAUCCUCGGUGAAUGCUUGGACCCUUCCAAUCUCCAAAUAUCUAGGUUCAUAUGAACUCAUUCUAACCAAUCUUUCUACACAGCUCCGACUCUCUAUAUCUGACAUAUCAGGUUCAUAACCUCCCACUCCCUGCCAAAAACUUGCAUCGUGACACAACGGAAUCUGCGUUGAAAACGAAUUAUUGUACUUUGGGUAGUUUCUUAUUGACGUUUUUCUCAUUGAGAAGGGGUGCUGAUUAAACACAACAUUUCACCACUGUCUUCCUGUGGUGGUUCUAUUGCUUCUACUUCCCGUUAGUAGUCCGUCGUUCGCAUUCGUUCUACCCUAAUAAACAUUCCCAAAAUCGAUCCGUUCGAGAGAUUCUCUAUCACCAUUGCUUGAUUGCUUCGAAGAAACUAUGAAGUUCUCAGAAUCUAGGUGUUCACUUUUGCUCAACCACCGCGCAUCACUAUGCACAGUUGUUACUUCUUUAAUUACUGGAAGUUUAGUGGAAUUGGCCCUAGAAGUUCCAGGGACUGAUAUGUCACAAAUCAUCGAUUCAUGGCACAAAACUGUGGAUUGUAGAGAUGUCAACUCCGUAGUCUGCCAUCCAUAUUGUUUUCCUGAAUGAAGCUGAGAAAAUUUAGUUAAAUCUAGGUUAGUGCUCAAGAGUCAUUUUACGAUAGUACAUUUCGAUAAGUGAAUUUCAACUGAAGUCUACAAUAUCACAAAAGUUUUUUAAUAAAAAAAGAUUGCUUCCCUUAUCUGUCAACGUAUGAACUCCAGGUAUUAAGUAUGUUAGAAACAUAGGCGCAUUCAUCCAUGCUGUAAUCCUAGACUGUAGCAUCAUUAUAGUCUAAUUUGAGAGCCAUGAUGGUAAAUCGAGUUGAUGCUGACGCUCUUGGUCAAGGAGAUUCACGCCAGGAAAACCUCUGCAAAUCCCGAAGUUUCGUUUACUACUUUUGAUGCUUGUUUCCUGAUUUGCAACAAAUAAUUGUGGUGAAAUGAGUGAUGGCAGCAAUCUGCGAUAACGUUGACCGUUUCUGAGGCCUUCGAAUUGCAAAAUAUAUCUGCAGGGUUAGUACACUGCUCAGACCUGGACUUUAUGUCAGAGUUAAAAUUUAUUAGACUCGUCAACAGCAACGGAUGCUACAAGUGUAGCUCUACUAUCAUUGGUUGAAGGGUGACCAACUCCGCUAAAUUUGCAAUUCUGAAGGCUCUGCGUGUGCAGACACGGGACCCCUACCUUCACUUUUUAAGGCAAUGACAGACCCUGACCAUGACUCUGCUUCGGAUUGUUUCAUUUUUUGUUCAACACGGUUAAUGUGGUACUAAAUUUCAACCAAAAACUAAAGGAACCUGCAACCCAGUAGCAACUUCUCGAGAUUACUACUAGACCCAGUCGCUAUGUUUUCACCAGCGUUGUAAUCGAUCUAGAUAUCACUGGUAGUUUUGUCAUAAGUGAAAUGAGUGCUGUCUAGUAUUUCAUCGAUGAGCCUCUUUUACUGUCACUCCCACAACCCUCAACGACAACUACUUGCAUGAGCUCACUUCCAGGAAUCACUAGGCAUGUCUCGAUAGACGUGAUUGCGGAGCUGGACAAGUGCAUUCAUCGCUUCCGUUCUCAUCUUGAGUGAUUCAGUAACCAGUGAAAGAUUUUGGCACAAGACCAUAAGUCAAGAAGGUAGACAGGCGCAAUCACGACAGCAGCCAAAAACCUAGAAACACGGGAAGUACUGUUGUGCCAUUAAUGAAUAGUGCAUUAUUUCAUUGGCAGGUGGAAACACCUAAAUAUCAGUGAAACUGCUAUUGCAGCAUUAUUGUCUAUGUUCUGUCGACCAACAAUUUCUAAAAAGUUCUCUUCAGACAUGGUGGUGUGCAAUGAAAUCGGAUACGCCUCUGCUGUAUAUGGAGUUCAAAUGGACCUUCGAUACUGAAAACUUGAAUUGUAGAGUAAAUUCGAGUCGGCUAUUGCGAUGGAUUGUCAAACAUGUCGAGGGCGGUUUCAGUACUAUCUUCUCCUUUUCUCUAUUGCAUCAUUUUUAUCUUUGUAAUUUCUCUUCUUGACACACGAGACCUUCGGUCUGCCUGGUAGCGCAUCUUAGUGAAACUGGAACUGACUUUGAUGUGUGCUAAGAGCUGACAUUCGAAUUGCUCCUCAUGUGAAAUCAUCGACGCUUGUUCUUCUCUUGCGGUGAUCAAGCAAGAUACCGGUCCCCUAGAAUAAACGCUCCCUCGCUGUCUAGAAUGAGUCGCAUUCUGAAGUAUUCAGAAUCUACAUCACCUUGUUUCCUCACUUAAAUCUCAGCUGCUGACGGCCUUAUAUCUCGUUAUUUAAAUAUGUAGUUCUGUGUCUAGAUCCUCUCGAGCCUUCGAAUAGUUUCAUAGAGCGCAGAUCUUCGCAAGUUCUUAUUGUUACCCAAUGGCAGCUGCGUCACUAUCACUGUGCUGGCCACGAUUACUGAAAUCUGAGCUGCUUGGUUUUUUCUGCUUUCAUCCAGCUUGAGUGCAGUCGACUACCCAACUCAACCUCUACCGACAUUGAGAUAAACGACCGACAAACAAAUCUGUUACCGACACUGCGAUCUAUCCGUUGCUACCCAAACACCCGCAAUCUUCUUGAUGUGGUUUGCAGGCUCAAGCAAAAGCAAACCUAUUGCAAAAUUAUGAAACCUCCUGUUUAUGAAGUAUGUGAGGACAAGUGUGAGUCCUUCGGUCUAUUCAUAUAAAUGUCAUACUAUCAUACAUGAUGCUAAUUGUGAAUAUUGAUCGAUAAGUCAAUGGAAAAUGUCAGGAUGGUAUUUUUAUUUUAUUUUUUAACAUAGUAUCAUGUUCAUUGAAGCAUUAUUGCAAAUAUAAAUACACUGAAGUCUUUAAUCAGUUUAAAUUUACACGAAAUUAUUUAUUUAUUUAUUCAUGUAGUUGUAAAUGAUGGGUUUGCUUUGCGUGCAAAUGAGAAUCCAGAAAUCCUAUAUAUAUAUAUAUAUAUAUAUAUCAUCUUACGAUUUCUAUUUUGGUAAGAAACAGUUAUUGUACCAAAAGAAGAUAUUGCAAUUUUUAUUAAAAUUCUCGUCUGUAUCUAUUUUUUUUUGUAUACAUAAGUUGAAAUAUGUCCAAAAAAAUUGUUGCAAUUUAUUAGUUACAUCCACAGGUUUGUUUUUUAAGUUUACAAUUUUUUAGUUCUUUUUUUGAAGUGUCUGUGUUAUAUAUAAAAUUGCAAAAGCCGAGGAAAGCAUUUUGCACAUCCAUACAUACAUACAGAUUAUUUUGGAUAGUCGACAUAUUGUCCUAUAUUUUUACACACAUACACACAUGCAUGUGUGAGGAUAUAUAGAGAAUACUCAAAGUUUUAUUAAUAGGGUAUUCACACGAUCUAAUUAAACAAAUGAUACCACUUACCACGAUCUUCAAUCAUGAAGAGAUGGAAUCAUAUGGAAUCUAACGUGCAGAAUAUGCUAUCACUUUUACAUGUUGAAACUGGAGUACCAAAUGAAGUAAAAGUUCCGAAAAAACACACAUCCCCCAGAACAACUAUAGAAAAAAAAAAUACCCAUUCUCAGUGUUAACUACAGAGAAAACUCCACACCCUCCAUCACAUUAAAACCUCUACUCUCAAGAGAACGAGAUGACGUGGGCGUGAUGUGGAAGUAACCGUUCUAGUUAAAUUGCGGGUGGGCAUUACGCGACCUAAAUCCCGGUUUCGGAGCCCCUUACGAACUCCGAAAAGGCCCAGUGGGGAGGCAGGCGAAGACAGAUUGCGGCUCUGACGGCUCUGAGUCUCGCGUUUCCUGCGUGUUUUAUUUGUGCCCUGCGCUGUGGCGGAUGCAUAGAUGGAAUCUCACUGCCUAUCGCUCGUUGUUGUAGGUUGAGCUGCAGUUUUCAUGUAUCCAACGUUGGCCUCCGUUGAGGUUUUUGGGUGGUUUUUCGGUUGUAGAGUGACUCUUCACGGCCAACAGGUUUUGAGGAUCUUGGGACCCUGCUGUUAGAUACAUGUUCUUGAGAUCGUUGUUAUUGGCGUUGCCCACUUUUGGUUACUUUGUUGUCAAACAUUUCUUCUUCUAGCAUUUGAUGCAGAUUGGUUCGAGUUGUAUCUGGAUGAUCUGCUCACUACUUCGCUGUGUUGUAUUCCACGUAGAAGGAUUCUGGUUCAUUCAUUGUGCAGAUCGGUGGAUUUUACGAGAAGAAACCAUUGUUUGUACAAUUCUUAGUUUGCUGAGAAAGAUCGAGGUUUUCAUAGGAUUGGUAUGGAUCAAGCAGUCUCUGCCACAACGUUCUGAAUGAGUUGUAGAACCUCUGGUCCCCUGCAUUGCUUCUGCUAGAUUCUGGCUAUGGAUGGCAUUCCGACAGUGGCAUUUGAGUUUGGGAUUUCCGACAUUUCAUCGUGACUUCUUUUCUUCAUCUGGGAGAUCUUAAUUGGCGAAUUUCUGUUUUCAAGAAGUGAUUUCAUGCAAAGAGUUCAAACAAGGGUCUUCAUUCUUUUAGAGCUGGGAGAAUGUGUGAAGGCUGCAUUGCACCCCGUGUCUGUAGGAAGGACCAUGCGGACCGGCUGUGGCGAACCGGGAUUCAACAAAAGAGAGAGAUGGUAGUGGGAGUAGCGGGUGCUUUGGGAAAUGCUCAUUACGCCCUCGCAGGUAUCGGCAAGUACGUUCUGUGUUGACCUCACAUCGCAAUUACGAAACUAUUCAUGGAAGAUCCGAAGUGGGAGGGAGGUUCAUCGCUGUCUGCUGUGAUCGAAUUCAGUGCCUCUGGCAUUGUCUCACUAUAAUUACGGAUCUUGUGCAUUCACGUAGGUCCCAGCACAGUUGUCAGAAAUUUAGAUGCAAUGGAAGAGGAGCUGGUCAGUCAGCGAUUUUAUUGAACCUUGUUCCCGAGUGUAAAAGGUUGUGGGGAUUUCUGAUGUGCAUAUUGUAAGGGGAAUGCCAGAGAUGGGUGCCGGUUGCGAUGCUUUGCCAGGUGGUCAACCAAGUUCAUCCCCGAAACGCCCUUUAAGCAAGUCAUUACGUAGGUCUGCAUCCAAUCGAGCAAUCCCUGUUCGAGGGGCAGAAGUAUUUCCUUCAUCGUUGGCCCAUCAAAAGUUCUUAAAGGCGUCUCUAGAGCAAAACCCUGAGUUACACCUUAGAACUCAACAACUUUCAACCUCUAGUACAUUAUUUCCCCUUAAAACAACCACCCCAUCGACCUCGCUGCCCCCGCCUCUUCUCACAGCGAAGUCCAAGCAUCUGUCAAGAUCCCUCACAUCCCUUCCCCUGGAGCCGGAGCCUGACAAAACCGCCCACUCCAAAACUAUUACGAUCCCCACACACUCCGACCUCCUUCCCAACGCCCGGAUGCCAUGUUUAGAAUCCUGCGUAAAACCCAACGUCGUUACCUCUCGGGAGAAAGACAUGAUAAUUCCAGUUCCAUCGCAGCAAGAUACUCUAGCAGGUGGGCCAGACAUAUUCGUAAAAUCACUUUUUAGAUCCUCCACAUUCUCUGCUCUUCGGAAACAUGCUACUCCACCUUUACCUGAAGAAUCCUCUCUGUAUACCGUUGCUGAUCCCCCCUCUGCCUCCAAAUCCUUUUGGAGGUCAUUCACCUUUAAGCACAUGCCGAGCAAGGGCGGGGAAUCUGUGCAGGAGCAGAAUGCGGACCCAAUUGUAUCUGGAUUGUCCAAAUGGGCGCGGAGCAUCGUGACUAAGCCUGCUGCAGAUCAGGUGAUAGAGGUUGACGAAUCCUCGCCAUACAGUCUCCACUCUGGGUCUUCCGCCAAGUGGACAUCGUCAGUAGGAGUGCUUCCUAUCGCGGAGGUGGAAAACUCUUUUGAUGUGUUCACCAAAGGGUUGCUUGAUUCUUCAAGAUCUGCCGUCAAGGCUGUUCAGAACAAGGCCCGACAUCUCGUCUCCCAGAAAUGGUAUCAGGUAUGUUGAGAUGCACACGAUACUUUGCAUGUUUGAGCCAUCAAUGAAGGGUAUAAUUCUCGUGUCUGGAAGAAUUUCUGCAAUUAGUGUGAGAAUUAAUGUGAGAAUUAUCUCUGCAUAUGAAAUCGGUGUUUUCCUGAUUGUUGUAUGAUUUGCAUAUGAGCUUCUGGAAGAGCCAGCGGUCACUUCAAAGCAGUCAUCGAUUCAUGUGCAUGCAGCAUAGAACUUCCCAUCUGGAUAUGGUGUACAUUGCUAAGAAUAUUAUUGCGGUGGAGUUUCCGGUCAUCGAAAGUAACAUCCUAGGAUUUAUGGAGGUGAGUUAGCUUAAGUUGCUUCAAAUGUUAACAUAAUGAAGACCACAAGCAAGUCCUCCUUUUGCAGGUAAUAGCCUAGUCGACAUGCCCAGUAUUGGCUGAUGUAUAUGUAAUGAGAAAACUUAUUCACGGAAGUUUAUGCUAUCUUGCUGGUGGAAAUUUUCCUAUAGGCUGAUUACCGAGACUAUAUAGAGGAGCUCGUCACAUUUUGUGAGAUGCAGCAUUUGGUAAGUCUUCCUGAGUGUUCAUGUCACUUUUCCUGCAAUUCACGUUGUCUUGCUCGACAAUGAACUGGACGAAAAGGAGGUUUACCUUAACGUAUUUUUAAUUUAUAUAGGUAGAUCCUUCUCUGUGUGCCUCUUAACAGGGCAAGUACAAAAUCUUCAAUUUAUGCUCGGAGGAGCUAUAUGACACUUCACUUCUUUAUGAUAAGGUGUGUUAUCGUUUAUUACUUAUCACAUCAAUGACAACGAAGGGUUUUAUUUCAACACGUUGUGCCCCAUAUCAGAUAGCUCAAACGUUUCUGAACAUGAGCACCUUUUAUGUGGGUGUAGUAACUCUUAACCAAACAUGCGCUCAACGAUCUUCAACGAAUUCUGUGUUGUUCAGUUUUGUUGCUAAUAUGUACCUCUCCUUGCAGGUGGCAUGUUUCCCCUUUCAAACCAAUAAUUGCCCUCCUUUGCAGCUCGUGUCAGCAUUUUGCGAAGCUGUACACACAUGGCUCAAAGCAGGUCUUGAGAAUGUGGUAGUGGUACACUGUAAGGGAGGGAUGGCGCGCACUGGACUCAUGAUAUCCUGUCUUCUUCUUCAUCUCAAUGUACGUUCGUCUCUCGUCGCUUCCUCGAAGUGACUUGGAUUCCACCUCCAAUGCAAUAUUUCGUGUGGACUUUUGACAUCGACACUAGUUUGUAAUUUCAUCAUGCCACGUACAUUUCAACACUUACACAUUAGCGUGAAUAUUUCCUCAUGCAAUUUGGCAACGAAAUACUACUCUUUUACCACUAAGCAUAUCUUCUUUUUCUUUUCUUUUUUUCUUUUUUUUUUCCAGUUCUUUUCUACUGCAGAGGAAUCAGUUCACCACUACAACGAGAAACGAUGUGUGAAUAGUAACGCUUUAAUACUUCCCAGCCAUCUUGUGAGUGUUCAUCCUGUGUGUUAACAGUGAUAUUCAUUUUACAAUCUUAGUAAAGCAGCUUGUUACUAACUAGACACAAAUAAUAUAGGUGCAGUAAUUUCGACCUGCGUUUUAAGAUGAUUAACUUGGAGGGUUUUCUUCUUAUCUUUUACUGAACGGAAGUAUUGGCAUACCCUCAUGCAAUUUAGACUUACAUGUAGGUGUUUCUGAUAUGGCAGCGGUACGUAAAAUACUAUGAGGAGGUCUUGAGAAAACACCACGGAUUUACUCCAGGUGGGCGAAGGUAUUAUGCAUACCAGUUAAUUUGUAUGCAUGCUUAUAAUGCCUUUGCUAUAUCUGCAUGCUAGUUUUCUCCUGAACAACCCCUUUGUACUAAAGCCCUGAACUACUCAGUGAUACCAAUGUCUACAUGCUUAUGGUUCUAGAUCCUUUAUUGUCUGUGCAAGUGAUUCGUACUUCAUCUUUUGAUGCACUCGAAGAACAUGUGGAUAUCCUGCUCAUGUACAAGUUUCAUGUAACUAUUUAUGCCGCUUGAAUGUAUUUUGUGUUCCCGUAACAUUCUAUUGUUGUCCUUUGCUUGUUGACACGGUGUUUGUUUUCAUUGCAGAUGUACCUUAAGGAGUAUACGCCUGAUCAACUGUCCAUCUUGGAUCCGUCCUUCUGUGACGAUUUCAGAUCAUGACGGUACCACACAUGCUGUUCCUUCUGAGAUUUUUAUCUUCAGAGAACUUUAUCAUCGCAAUGUUCACUAAAGACCCGAAUGCUCAUCUGUUUGAGUGAAGUCCUAUUUUGGAAGUGGCCGCAAUCUGCUACAGUUUUUUCUGGUUUCUACGUACUGACUAGGGUUGCAUGGUUACAAUGACCAGGUGUGUUAUUCACUAGUAUAAAGCAUUCUAACUUUAUGCUGGUGAGUUUCUUUCCUGCUCUUUUACACCUUCGGUGGUUCACUCUUUGGAGACAGAACCGAUGAUCAUAUUCAGAGACGAAACUUAGAUCUGCUCUAAGUGCAUUUAUAUGCACUGAAGUUUGGUUUUUCCUCUUUAUACGCAUAGAGCAAAUGAUUUCUUUUUACCCAUUUGAAAUUUUAUAUCUUAAUGGCUGUUGUUCCUUGGGCAGGCAGAAGACCUAUGGAUAAGUGCUCUUAACAGCAAAGUUCUUCUUUUUGAGCUGCCUAACGGUGGGCAUGCUGCUGCGGUUGAUGGGGACUUCAGAAUCCACUUCCAGAAUGGAGAAGUUCAGUUUUCCUGGUAAGAUUUUUUCUUCACUAUUAUCCUUGGCCUUUCAACCUGAAACAGGCACCGUUUACAGCGUCGCAGCAAGUUUAAGUUUUCAGUAUGAGAUUGUUAGUCGUGUUUUAAGUAAAUUUCAUAUGUUGACCAAAUUGAUUGAAUUGAUCACAGUUGGUUAAACACGAAUAUGAUGAGGAGAAGUAUUGUUCUCCGAAUAAAUGAUCUUGAUGGAAACGAGGUAAAUUUUUCUGAAGUAUGCCAUUUUUCUGGGAGUAAAAGGAAGCUAACGGUUCACCCAAUUCUUUAAUAUUACCAGAACUAGCUUUCGCGAAUAGCCGCCUAGUAAUAUGCGUUCAUCUCUAAAAAAUCUUAUCUUUACAGGGGCUGAGCGAAGCAACAGGAUUUCAAGUAGAAUUGGAAUUUCAGGAUUCGUUUAUAUCCGUUAUGAAAACAACUAGCACAGCAGAAACUGCUCCAGCAAGUAUCAGACCACCUCUGCCUUCAGACAUGACCUUCGGUAGAAAAUUUCCAUGCACUAAUACAGCAACAAAUGGAGAAGCUAUUUUCACAGGUAUGUAAUCCUUGGCUGAGUUAUCAUUGGCUCACAUUUCAUUCUAAUGCAAUGAAAUCAGAAUACAGUCAACAUGCCGACAGCAUGGUACCUCCACACACCUUGCUGUCGAGCAUGCUUCCCCGACAUUAGCACAGCUAUCAACUGUUAAGGGAUAAAAUCAUGAGCUGAAUCCUAUAGCUGACCUCUGAUUGAUGUAAUGUUGUGCCCAAAUGCAUGUUUCAUAGAGCAUCUGGUCCCAGCACCUCACACGUUUGAAUGUCACAAUUAGAUCACCUGCCGCGCUUCAAUGGGAAGAAUUGUGCUCUUGCAGAUAGUGAAGGAGAAGACGAAGAAAGUCCAGGGGUUUUGCCACGCUCUUCUGCGGAGAAACGUGACAUCAGAGAAUCUGAGGGAACUUCCCUCAUGAGUGAAGAUCCAGAGUCUUCGUUUCAAAGUAAAGGUAUUGCGCGUUUGACUUCUAGUGAUCCUCCUAGCGAUUUUCAUGCGAUGGCUGCUGCCAAUUCUGCGGAUGCUUCUCUUUUCACUUUUGGUGAUGAAGAGGACUAUCAAAGUGACGAAAUUUAAUCUCAUGUAUGGUGUUCUCUGCUGAGUGAAGACCUAUCUGGACGGAAAGCAUACAUUUUGAGGGUGAUCAGGAGCUGCCAGCAGACAAAUUGUAAUGAUACUAAAAUUCAUAUUAUUCUGAUCUCUGGCACUUCUCUUCAAACCGAUUGCAUUCUAGCCUUGAAACUUCCCUAUCGUGCUAAAUGAACUUGCAAUACUCACAGAUGACCCCUUGUUUAAACAACUUACUAAAUGUGAAACAAAAGACUGUUUGCUGGAGUAGAGCAGAACGUUGAAUGAUAGUUCCAUAUGAGCACUGUAAAUGUAGGUCGUGGUAAUAUCUCUGAAAUACACUCUGAACAGUUCUUCCUACUAGAGUCAUCUAAAGAUUUGAGGAUUAUCAUCUGAAGUAUAUUUGCUACGAAGUAGAGUGGUUUGUCAAAAGAGUGCUGUCGUUUAUAGUAUUCGUGUGCAAAUUUUUCGAUGACUCUUAGCGAAUUGACCUUCCACUGUUUUAUUCGUCUAGGAUAGGCUGAUAUGCACUGAAUUUCACAUGUUGAACGAUAAGAUGAUAGUUGCAAAGAAGUUGCGAAAUGAAUUAGUGUUGAGUCAAGAUUAUUUUCAAUGAAUUGGCGCAUGGAAACCUACAAAUUACAAUAAUUGAUCAAUCUACUGAGAAGAAAUGCUACAUCGGCGAUCAGAGGUGUCAUAUAGAAAUGUGUAGUUGGAGAUCCCCAACGACCGGA
rnacentral:lncRNA from 1 species